rnacentral:lncRNA from 1 species
UAAUUUUUGUUUUCAUGAUUCGUUACAUGUUGGGAAAUUAAAUUAUUAAUAUCAUAUAUACACACAUGCAAUAAAAAGAUUGUAACAUGCUUGUUCUCUUAUGCUUCGAAGCAAGUCAAAUAUACUUUUUAGUUAGUUAUGAUUUUUAAUGGUACUUUUUUACUAACAAAAUUUUCUUUGACAUGACCAAAUAUGAAUAUGGUGCAUGAAAAGUUUAUGUUUUCUAAUGUGAACAUGCACCUUACACAUUUAAGGUUACAUUUCAUAUUUUUUCGGGCUGAGGCAGAUGUGUUCAACAAAUUCAAGGACAGCCAAGGAAAAUUUGAGGAUUCUUUGAUUAGCGAUGUACCAGGGCUGUUAAGCUUGUAUGAGGCUGCACACUUUGGAGUACACGGGGAGGAAAUUUUAGAAGAAGCAUUGAAGUUUUCUGCCACUCACCUCAGAUCCUCGAUCCACCAGGCGAGCAAUUCUCUCUCUAGACAAGUUAGUGACGCAUUGGAGAUGCCAAUUCAUAAAACUUUGACAAGGCUCGGAGUUAAGAAAUUCUUGUCCAUUUACCAAAAAUCAGGUGAUGACGUGCUCCUGAAUUUUGCGAAAUUAGACUUCAACAUAGUGCAGAAGAUCCACCAGAAGGAGCUAAGUGACAUUACAAGGUUAGUUUGUUUUGUGAAGCUUUACUACUUGCACUUAUACAUCUGAAAAAUUGCUAAAAUUCUACUUUUGGAUAAGAAUUACAGGUGGUGGAAGGCUUUAGAUUUUGGGAAAAAAUUGUCUUUUGCAAGAGAUAGGCUGGUGGAAUGCUACUUUUGGAUAUUAUGUGUCUACUUUGAGCCUCAGUACUAUCUUGCAAGGAAAAUUCUAACCAAAGUUAUCGCCAUGACUUCUAUUAUUGAUGACAUCUAUGAUGUUUAUGGGACCCUAGACGAACUUCAACUUUUCACAGAUGCAAUUGAAAGGUGAAUUUAUUCUACUGUCUAGUUUUGAAUUAUUCUUUGUAUCUUAUUAUCUAAUAGCACAUUAUUUAUAUUGAAAUAUAUAGUCAAACAGAUUUAGAUUUGAUAUUGAAUAUUUUUGUGAGCAGGUGGGAUUUUAGUGCCAUGGAUCAGUUACCAUCAUACAUGAAACAUUUUUACAAAUCUCUUUUAGAUGUUUAUCUCGAAGCGGAGAAAGAUUUAGAAAAGAUAGGAAAAUCGUAUAGUGUUCAGUACGCGAUUGAUGAGGUAAACAAUAUUGAUAAAGUUGCUUGACUUUUAUCAAAAUUACAUCCUAUAUAUCUAAUCAAAGUUUCAAUUUACAGAUGAAAAAAUUAGUCCGAGCUUAUUUCAAAGAGGCAAAAUGGAUAUACAACGGAUAUGUUCCAACACUAGAAGAGUAUAUGAACGUCACACUAGUAUCUAGUGCUUACAUGAUGCUAUCUACAACAUCUUUAGUAGGUAUGGGAGAACUGGUAACUAAGGAAGCCUUUGAUUGGAUUUCAAGUGAACCAUUAUUAGUACGUGCUUCAUCAAUAAUCUGUAGACUAAUGGAUGACAUGGUGGGAUAUGAGGUAAGAAAUCCGAAUUCUUAGUUGGCUUUAUUCUAUAUUACACAAGUUCAUCACACAGGUUUUUUGUUCUCAUGGCUGUCAACAUAUGAGAAAAAUGUAAUAGCCUGCUCAGCAUUAGAUAAAAAAGUUUUUUUGUUGCGUUACUUGUCUGCAGUACGAGCAAAAAAUUGCAUCAGUUGAAUGUUACAUGAAAGAGACAGGGUCUUCAAAAGAAGAUGCAUUUGCUGUAUUUCAAACACAAGUCAUGAAUGCGUGGAAGGAUAUAAACCAAGAAUGCCUUAAUUCAGAUGCAAUACCAAUGGCUGUUCUCAUACGAGUAGUCAAUCUUACACGUGUCAUCAAUCUUCUAUACAAAGAGAGUGAUGGAUACUCAAAUUCUACAGCUAAGUUAAAAGAUUUUGUAACAUCGACACUCAUACAACCAGUGACAAUAUCCAAUUGAACGCAGUAACUGCAUGGGCUACUUCCAUUUUAAUGUAUCACCAUAUUAUCAUCCAUAUUUAGUGCCGUGUUGUCAAAUUCUAUGACACAAUAUUAGGUCUUGGUUAAGGUUAUUCAAAAUUGAAUUUCCUUGCAUGUAACUGAACAUUAUAUCUACUGGAAAGCCCUUUGAGUAGUUAAAAACUUUGUAUUUGUCUUGUCCAAUGUUCUAAAUAGUGAUAUUAAUGAUUAAAGUUUUUUACAAUCCCAAAUAACCCAUAACUAUCUAAUACUAUAUAUACCGAACCAAAUUUCGUCCCAAAAGAGUGUUGAGCCAUUAUUCAUUAAAGUGGACAUCCUGAUAAAGAUCGAAUAUUGAUUCUAUAUUUCUCUUGCCUCACCCAGAAGAUAUAAACAACGAGACACCAAAAUAUAAAAAAACACCAAUAAACCUUUGCCAAAUAUCUUUUAGAGUUUUAUAGAUCCAGAGAGGUGACUGGGGUUAUGGUUUGUGAAGAACGAGUUUGUUCGUAGCAAUACACUUGGAGAAAAGAAGUUCUGAGGUUCUGGAGUUGGUGCUAGAGAACACAAUCGAGGAGUUCUAUAGUGAUUACAUGUUGGGGGGUUAGAGUUUACUGAGGUUCAGUUAUGUCUAAACCAAUACUGUAAGUUCAAUAUUUUCUAGUGAAUUAUUUACUGGCACAUGUGCUUGGAUGUUUUUUCUAUUGAAGAGUUCUCCAAGAUUUUCCCUUUGUAAAUAAUUAUUGGUGUUCUUUAUUUUACAGCUUCGAUAUUUACGAUUGAUUUAUUACUAGGGUUUAAAUUGAGUCAUACCUAGUUUAUUACAGGAGUCAUAUCAUUAAGAAUAAUUUGUAUAAAGAACUGUAGUUCAAUUUCCAAAUGUUAUAAGCCCAUAUACUAUCUCAUACUUAAUUGAUAUGGGAUUUUCGUUGCACUUUCCCAAUAAUUUGAACCCACCUGUCGACUUCAAAUGCUCCAUUAGAAUUUGUCCCAUCUGGAAAUCUUGUUAGCAUGCUUCAUGUUUUUAGGUACUUAAUUAGUUACUCCCAAAAAAAAAAAAAAGAGUAUUUCACACACCACGGUAUUUUAUUUUAUUUUAUUUAUUGCAGAUUAUUGAUUUGAAUCCCCUUUAUUGACUUUGUCUUUUAUUUGUUAUAAUUUAUAAUGAGACAUUUUUAAGAAUAUCCAAUUUUAAGGGUAUGAGUUGAAAAGUGUCCGUUUAUUUGAAUUUAGUGACAACUUGUCUAUUAUGCCCUUAAUAAAAAGUUACAUUUUGAAAUGGUAUUCUCCACAUUUGAUUUUUUUAUCAAUUUUUCAUUAAUUUUAAAAAGUGGCUUCCAUGAGAAUCUACAUUAAAAUAAUAUUUCUUGACAUUUUAUAUGUCAUUCUCGACAUUUCAUAUGUCAUUCUUGACAUUUGAAUACUGUUUCAUUUGUCUAGAAUGAAAUUUAAUUUUGAAUAUAACAUUUCUCUACAUUUAAAAAUGUCGUUCUUGACAUUUCUAAAUCAAUAGCAUUUAUUGUGAUUUGACAUGUAUACUUUUUAAAAUAAAUAUGACAGGUUAUGUGUCAAAAUUUUAUUGGCCAAUAACAAUAUUGCAAAAAUGUCCAUUCUUUUGUCUUAAUGUAGAAUUAUAAAUUGUUAAUAAGGGUAUUUUGGUCUAAAUUCUUCGAAAUUAGACAUUUUUGCAAUGGUGGGCAUUUUUGCAAAUGACUAGGUAAAAAUGGACAUUUUGUGAAAUUUUCUCAUUUAUAAUUCAAUACGUAGUAUAUUAAUUUUGUUUUAUUAGUAGGUUAAAAACGUGUAAAUUCUAUGUUUCAAAUCCAACUAAAAGAAUUAGUCAAUUUUGCAAUUUGAAUUCAAGAUUCAACUAGUAUGCAAUAAAAUAACGCUUGAUUAUUUUAAUUAAAUAUUGUUGAACAGAAUCAGUAUGAUAAUCGACCUUCAUGGCAAGGUCACUGUCAAGUUAGAAGGGGCUGGAAGCCCCCUCCCAGGAUGUCUGGGUAGAGUCUUUGGACCAAGGAUGGUUUAGAAAUUUACACUUGAAAUUUAGAUUUUAUUCUAGUUUUAUCUAUAAAUAGAGAACCAUCAUUAGAGUUUUGUAAUCAUCAUCAAAAGAAAGAUAUUAGAGAAAAAAAGGGUAUGGGAUUUUUCUCUUAUACAAUUCUUUUCAAUAAAGUGAAUAAUCGGCAGAAGAGCAUGUAGUCUCACAUUGAAAUGGGCCUCUAUAAAUUUUACGUGUUCUUGUGUCUAUUUUCUUUCUACAAUUUUAUUUCUCUCGAUGAUGUAAAAUUAAAAUUUAUAAUUAUCAAUUAUUGCAACUUUUUAUCAACUAUUUUUAGUGAUCGAAAAGCAGAUAACUGAUACGUGGUCAAGACUUUCUAGGCCUACAUAUAUUAGUCUUCAAAUUAAAACGAGCACACAAUUGAGCUUUGUCUUUUUGGAGAAUGGAAAGCAAAUACAUUUUCAUUUUGUGGUGUUUGUGUUGCACAAUGGUACUGGUUGUCCGUCUACCUAAAUGCUUCAAUUUACUUGUGGGAUACUGAAGAAAAAAAAUAUGCACAUUGCAAUAAAAUAUAAAUUUUGUCUUGCAUAUUAAAAUAUUUUAAGCUUUAAAACGCUUGGACAGGAAAUACUUUCUCAUAAAGAACAAGAAAAAAACUACGAGAAGAGGUAAAUAAUUUUUUGCAGGAAAUGUUAAAUCAAAUAAGCACUAUGAGUUCCCUAAUUGUAAACCAAAUAAUCACUAUGACUUCCCUAUGAUAUUAAAAGCAUUUACAUCCAAAAUUGAUUGGACCUAGGGCAUAACACAUACAGUGUCAUGCAUAUUACAAUGUUUUAACCUUUAAAACACGUGGGCAGGAAAUAUUUUCUCAUCAACAACAAGAAAAAGACUUCGAGAAGAAGUAAAUAAGUUGUAGCAGUAAAUGUUAAACCAACCUUUGGACCAAAAUUUCAUUAAGGAUGGUUUAGAAAUUUACAAUUGUAAUUUCGAUUUUAUUCUAAUUUUAUGUAUAAAUAGGGAACCAUCAUUAGAGUUUUGUAAUCAUUAUACAAAAAAAAAAAAAAAAAAAAGGAUAUUAGAGAAAACAGGGUUUGCGAUUUUUCUCUUAUAAAUUUCUUUUCAUUAAAGUGAAUCAUCUGUAAAAGAGCAUGUAGUCUCACAUUAAAAUGAGCCUCUACAAAUUUUACGUGUUCUUGUCUGUCUAUUUUCUUUCUACAAUUUUAUUUCUCUCGGUGAUAUAAAUUAUUGCAACUUUUAUCAAUUGUUUUUAGCUAGCGAAAAGCAGAUAACUGAUGUGUGUUCAAGACUUUCUAGGCGUACAUAUCUUAGUCUUCAAAUUAAAAACGUGCAAUUGAGCUUCGUCUUUAUGGAUAAUGGGAAGCAAAUAUAUUUUCAUUUUGCCGUGUUUGUAUUGCACAAUUGUGCUGGUGGUCCAUCUACCUAAAUGCUUCAAUUUACUUGUGGGAUACUGAAGAAAAAAAAUAUGCACAUUGCACUAAAAUAUAAAUUGUGCCAUGCAUAUUAAAAUGUUUUAAGCUUUUAAACACUUGGGCAGGAAAUAUUUUCUCAUGAAGAACCAAAAAAAAAAAAAAAAGACUACAAGAAGAGGUAAAUAAGUUGUUGCAGGAAAUGCUAAACCAAAUAAGCACAAUGAUUUCCCUAACUACAAACCAAAUAAUCACUAUGACUUCCCUAUGAUAUUUAUGGUAUCCUAGAUGAAUUUUCACUUUUUCUCGAAGUGCAAUUACAACAAAAACAGCUUUUUGUAACGUUUAAAAAACGUUGCCGAAGACCUUUGCAACGUUUGGAUGUAUGUUGCAAACCGCAAUGUUGUCGUAAAAUAGAAGGAUAUGCUAGAGUUUUUUGAACAUUGCUAAUAAUGUUUUUGCAACAUUUUUUGAACAUUAUGAAAAACGUUUUUGUAGCAUUUUUUGAAUGUUGUCUAGACUUAUAUCCUUAUUUUUUGCAACAUUUAUUGAACAUUGCCGUUUAAAUUUUUUUUUUUUUUUAACAUAUUUCAAACUCAUUUCACAAGUCUUUAAAUUUAUUUAUACACUAGAAUCAUCUCAUUCUAGUUCUUAACAAAAUUUCUUGAACUCUUGCAAUUUGUUUGGAGAAGACAUUCAUAGACGGGCUCCAGCUUCUGCUAUGACUUGGGCUCCGAUUCCUGUUUCAAGUCCUCACUGGAGAAUGGGCCACACCAGGACUUUGACUGCGGCUUCUGUAGCCAUUGGGCGAACUGCCUCGCACUGGACUUUGACUGCGGCUCCUCGAACCAUAAUAGGGUGGAGAACGUUUCCUUACUGGUGAAUGUGAGAAUGACCUUUCUCUACCGUAUCUUCGCUCCCUCGGGGACAUAGACCUGCCAAACUCAUUAGCAGGUAGCAACUUAUUAAUUCCAAAAGAAAAAGAGUGACCAUAUCAAAUAAAUAAUAAAAGAGAUGAAAAAGAGGAGAAAUUAUAUUAUAACUUGAGUAUCUUCUUCUAGGAAGAGGUGAAUAGUAAUCACGGCUAUGAGAUGUGGACCUCUAGUAGCGUGUAGGUGGAGAAUGAGAAUAACGAGGAGACCGUCUCCGGUCAUAAACAUUAGCUCUGCAACAAAUAGGAAUCAAAACAAAGAAAUGGAUAGUCAUCGAGGAACUUGACUUACAACAGAUUGUCCACCCAAUUUAAAGAGAAGUAUCAAAGUUCCACAACUAAUUUUUAGCUAUAAAGCAAACUGAAAAUGUAUAGUAAAAAAGUGAACAUCUUUAAAUUAAAAAGAUAAAUGUAUGAACAAACUUUACCUUCCUCCACGUUCCCCCUCUCUCAUUUCAGUUAGCUUCUUCCUGUUCUCCUUAGCAAAAACAACUGUGAGCUCCCGACCAUGCAGAAUCUGACCGUCCAUCUGAUAUUUAGCUUCAGCAGCAUCAGCAGGGUCCAUAUACUGCACAAAUCCAAAGCCUCGUGGUUCACUGCAAGUAAAGGAGCGUAAGGAAAAGAGAAAGUGAGUGUGGUUGUUUUGCACAGGAGUACGCCAGCCCAAGCGAAAUACUUUUUGAGGGGCGGUUUGAAGAGCUUCACUCCCCAGUCAGCGAUUAAUGAUUUGGCAUGAAUUUUUAAAAUGUCGAUGAAAAGAAACUAAAAAUUCCAGAGGAAGUUGAAAGCUAAAUAUAUUGUUUGCUUAUUGGAAAAACUAGAUAAAAAAACUCGAUGGGGAGAUGUCGACGGGAGCAUUUGUUUACGUAUUACUUUGUUAGAAUUGGGUGGUAUGAAUCCUGCUUGAGUUCGAUGACCUCCCCCCUCGAUGGAGUAACUAGUGGAUUCACAGAUCUGGCUUUCAACUACGUCAUAAUCUUCUGAAACAAGAGGCCUCUCUAUGUCAUCAACCUAUGCAAAUGACAGUGUAAAGAGGUUGCACGAGGAAAUAAAAAAUAGCACAAGGAAAGACCAAGUCACUCAUCUUUUGAAAAGAAGAGGGGGCAAUUAUGCCAAAAGAUUCAAAAUUACCAAAAUGGUUUGGAAGAUCGAGAACAAAUCACUCAUCUUUUGAAAUUGCAUAAGAAAGAUAAGCUAAAAUCGUGUCCAUUGUACUCUUAGUCCUAAGUAGACAUGACAAGAAGAACUAACACAUACAAAUCAGAAAGGGUCUAAAACAGAAAUUGGGCAAACCAAUGGAAAAAAAGCACGCAAGCAGUCUGUAUGCACUCCUUUUUUACUCACACCAUUUAAAAACACGUCAAAUAACUAUAUACUUUCACAUUUAACCAUAGAUCAAAACACAGAAGAUCGUUGAUCAAACACCAAAACCUACCUUCGCCAACUAAAUUUCAGAGUUACUGGAGUUUUGGGAAGAGAUGCUUGAAGUUCCGAUGCUGCAGAGAAAGGUUCCAUUGGAAGAACGAGAUUAGUUCUCGGAGAUCCAUAGAAGAUAAAUGAUACCAGGGAUUGAGAGUUGUUUUGAGGAGGAAGUAAUCUAGGAGGGCCAAAUUGAUUACAUAAAGAAGGUAAGAGGAAUUAAAAGUUAGUCGGGUCUGGACCAUAAUAUAAGUCUCAACGCUUAUAGUGGAUUGUUAACUAGCAAAGUGCCAUGAGCUUUUACCUAGUUGGGAUUUUUCUGUGAUCAUCUUUGGUGUUCUUUACUCAUUAGAUAUUAAUCGUGAUAUUCAAACUUAGGAUAAAUUGACUUAAUUGACCUAAUCAUCUAGAAACACUUAAAAAGUGACUUAUUACUUUUAAUUGUGUGAUUCUGCAUAUUGGGUCUAAAUAUUCGACUAAUUAGAACUUUCGAAUAGUAUCAGAGCUUAAUUGCGAUCCUUGACCUCAAUUUGUCUAGAUUUGUCAAUCAAUUUUGGACUCCGGAUAUGAGUUUGAUAUGGAAAUUAAGGAGGUUUAUGACCAAUUGUUUGAGAAGUACCCUAAGUUGAAAAAAGUGAAUCGCUCUACCUUUAAAAAAUUGAAUAAUCUUGAAUUAGAAAAGGAGAGUCUUCUAGCCAAACUUGAGGAAUAUAUUAGAAGUUUGAAUGAGUUAAGAGUUAAGAAAGAGUCCUUAGAUGUUAAGGAUAAAUCUCUUAUGAUUGAUCUGGAAAAAUCAAAUACCCAGCUCUAAUCUUUUCCUGGGGGAUCUAAGAAAAUUAAUAACAUGAUAGGUUUGAAUAAAAUAAUUGGGGAUAGAAGAGGUGUGGAGUUUAAUGAAACAAAUUCCCAUACCGCUUCUUCCUUGAAAUAAGCUUGUACAAACCUUGAAGCUUAAGGUUCAAAACUUGAAAUUUGAAGUUGCUCCUAAGUUCAUCCCUACAUGCCAUCAUUGUGGUAAGGUAGGACACAUAGACCUAAGUGUUGUGAGCUCUUGAAUAGGAAUGAGACGAAAAAAUAUAGGUGUUCGAUGACCGAAAUCACCGGUACAACUUAGGUUUCCUCCACCCAAGGUUCAAAUUUUGAAAUCUAGGAUUGUUCCUAAAUUCAUUUCCACAUGUCAUAAUUGUGGUGUUUUAGGUCACAUUAGACGUAAUUGUUGUUAGCCCUUAUUUAGGUACAAUAAUCAAGAUUUAACUACUUGAGUUACUUUCUCGAUUGUCUAAGUGAAUCACUUGACUAAGUUGAUGACUAAAUUGACUAAUAUUACAUCUUCUUCUAAGAAGAUUUGGGUCAAGAAGAGUGAACUCACUAGUCUAAGUGAUGUUGAUAAUUGUGAUAUUCCUCACAUGCCCUUCAUCGUAAGAGCAUUUGUGUGCCUCAUUGAUUAGGCAUUUAGGUGCAUCUAUUUGCAAUUUUCAUGAUAUCUAUAUAUUCAUGCAUGCACAUUCACUUAUUGUAUAUUAUGAGCUUUCUUUUUGCAUGUUUGCUUUAUAAUAAAAAAAUAAAAAACAAUUUUUCUGGACAUAUUGUUUUUCUAUCAAGUACUAGUAAGGUUCAUUAUUGGUAAAUUAAAUUUUCAUUAAUUGGUUUAGAACUUGUUUGGAGUACUUGGUAUAUGUUAUUACAUGUAUCUUAUGCAUUGCACACAUUAGACUCUUGUGAGUAUGUUUUGAUCAUAUGGUUGAGAUUUGGGAUGGCAGUCAUUUGUGUGGUAAAUUGACUUUGAAUAUAGAAUGACUUUUAAUUAGAUUGACCUAAAGUUCUAGUAUAUUCUUCUUAAAAGGAAAAAUUGGUUGAGAUUCAAAAAUUUUGAAAUAUAUGAAAAAGUGAGAUUCAUCUUAUACUCCAUUUUGGAGCCUAUUUGACUUGAGUAAUUAAGUUUGAAAGGUUUCUCAUAAUCUGAUGCCAUAUAGUCAAUUAACUUGGAGUUAUUGGCCUAAAACUAGUUACAGGGACUAUCUUAGCUGCUUAAUGGAGAAGAGAUUGUACACAAAAUAUAAAAGAAAAUGAGAGAAAAAAAUAUGUGCGCUCAUUGAUAAGGGGAGAAAGAAAAGUUAUAUACUGAAAAAUCAAUAUGAGCAUUUUAUUUAUAAGGUCCUAAUAACAUUGAGUUUGAUUAAAUAAGUUGAAGGAUUAUUAAUUCACUAGUGAUUUUUGUAUGUCCUUUCUAUUGAUUUAAGGUUUUGAAACUUGCUUACAGGAGUUUAGUGGCACUUAUCACACUUGUGUAGCUCAUACAAUUUAAUCCAUUUACGUUUAAAAUAAGUUAUGUGAAAAAAAGUUUACUUUUUUAUAAACUAUGCAUGCAUAAGUAAGCAAAUAACUAUUUAAGAUGAAAAUUCAUAGAAAAAAACAGUUGGUCUCAAAAUUGAACAAUUUUUAUUCUCCUAUCACAUGUUUUUGCAUAAUCUUUGCUUCAUUAUACAUGUGCAUAUUUUUUAUUAAUUCCUCUCUAUGCUUUACAUGAUUAUUACUUGUUUUUCCUUCGUUAUUCGCGACAAAAGAGGGGGGGGGGAGAUGUGCAUUUAGUUCAGAGAGUUGAUUACAUGAGUUAGGGAGAGAAUUUUAAAAAAUUGAAUUUUUUUUUAUUGAUAGAUGACUUAGGGAGAGUCAUUUGAUGUAUUUGCUGGAAUUUUAAUAUUGAUAUUGUAUUGUUUAUUGUCUAUAUUGAUAUAAAACUCUAUGGUUUAUUUCUAAGUUUAUAGUUCACAUGAUAUUGCUUGCUUUGAUAUUGCACAUGUUUUAUUAUGAUGUUUUAUGUAACUUAUUUAUAUGAUUUUAGUUGUUAGUUUCCUCUUACUUUUCACGUGGUAUUGUGGUUUCUAUGUGUUUUAGGAAACAGGUCGACAACUUGCUGAAGUGUAGUCUAGAAAGUGUCUAUUAUGGAGAUUGUAGUGGACUUUUGACUUUGGAAUAAAUGAUUUUGUCACGAAAUGUCAAAGUGGGAGAUUGUUAAGUCCAAAUUGUAAUUGACAAUUCCUAAGUGAAAAUCAAGUCCUAGUUGAAUUGUAUUAGGUGUUUAUCGAGUUAUAAUCAAAGUUAAAAUAGUUAAAGAAUGAUAGUAUGGGUCUUGAAAGAGUCCAAGAAGAUCAAAUAUGAUCAAGAGAAUGCAAUUAGAAGUCUAAAGGGUAUCAAAUUAAAUAGCCGCACAAGUUAUAUAUGCUCCAAAUUCUUAGUCACAACUUGCAACGCAUUUUUGACAUAGAAGACUUUCAAAUUUGGAGAAUUCUGUUGAAAGUAUUGUAGCAUUUUGAGUCAGCUUUCCAACGCAAUUUGAAUCAUCUUAAUCAAAUAUUGGGAGAGAAAGUUUUGAAGAAAAUAUUGACGAUUGCUCAGCUGUUGCUUGCCUGUCACUAGCCUAGUAUCGACCGAUGAGUCGACAUUCAGAAUUAUGUUUAGCUUCAAACACUUGGUCUGUCAAUCCCUUUUCAUCCCAAACACUUUUCCCUAUAUAUAUCCUACCCUAUGAAUGUCCAAAAGUGUGUUGAAUCAUAAUUUAUCUGUAGAGAUCAGUCCUUUGAAGAUCGAAAACAUUCAUUGAUUUUUAGAUUCAAUUACCAUUGAUUAUUUGAAAAGAAAGAAAAGCACAUAGCCUUUAUGUCAUAUUGAUAAUGUAAAGAGCAAGAGAUUGAAAGUGGGAUGGAGCAGGUUGAUGAUGAACAUCAACAACCUAAUGUUCAGAUUGAAUAUGAGAAUGUUGAAACUCAAACUAAUGGAGGUUCUAAACAUGAGUCUAAGGCUGAUUUGAAAACAAAUCAACUUUUAAUGAUUAUCAACUUACUAGAGAUAGGCAAAAAAGACAUAUAAGACUUACUAUUAGGUUUGAUUAUGAAGUUUUACUCUUAACCUUCCAAAGUUUAAUUGAAAAUGAACCUAAUUCAUUUAAGAAUGUUAUAAGUUGCAAAGAUUCCAAUUAUUCCCUUGCAUUAGUGCAAGAUGAAAUGGAAUCCCUUAAAAAGAUUUAAACAUGGAUUCUAAUUAAAAGACCUAAGGAAAAAUGUUGACUGUAGAUAUAUUUUUAAAAUAAAAAGAGGAGAACAAAAUUAGAAUGACAUAAGAUACAAGCCAGACUUGUAAUAAAAGACUUUACUCAAAAAGAGGGAAUAGAUUUCAAUGAAAUCUUUUCUCCAGUUGUAAAUUUUACAACUAUUAGAAUAAUCUUGGCCUUAGCAAUACAGUUUAACUGAGAAUUGGAUCAAUUGGAUAUAAAAACAACUUUCUUAAAUGAUGAUCUUGAUGAAAUAAUUUACAUGGAAUGACCCAAAGGCUUUGAAGUAAAUCAAAAGUCUGACUUAGUAUGCAUUCUUAAAAAAUCUUUAUAAGGGUUAAAACAAGCUCCAAGAUAACGAUACACUUUUGUGCAUGGACUUGAUUUUAAGAGAAGUAAUUUUGAUACAUGCCUUUAUUGCAAUGAAGGUGUAGGUGAAAAUUCACUUUAUCUACUCCUUUAUGCAGAUGACAUGCUCUUGGCUAGUCAUGAAAUAAAAGAGAUAGAGUUAAUAAAAAGCAAAUUGAAAUCUGAAUUUGAAAUGAAUGACUUAGGUCCUGUUAGAAAGAUUUUAGGUAUUGAAACUAAAAGAAAUAGAAAAGAAUGCACACUAAGUCUCAAUCAGAAAUCUUAUAUUUUGAAACUAUUGGAAAAGUUUGCUAUGUUUGAUUCUAAGAGUGUUAGUUUACCUUUAGCAAAUUAUUUCAAACUUUCAAAUAAAUAAUGUCCUAAAUCUGAAUAAGAGCUUAAGAGAAUGGCAAAAGUGCAAUACUCAAAUGCAGUUGGGUCUGUUAUAUACUUAAUGGUAUGAUCCAGACCUAAUUUGGCAUACUCAACAUAUGUAUUGAGUAGAUAUAUGUCCAAUCCUAGAGAAGCUCAUUGGGAAACUAUGAAAUAGCUUCUUAGAUACAUUAGGAGGACUUAUGAUUUGGGAAUUCAUUUUAGAAAAUAAUCUGAUGGUGUUGUUUUAAAAGGCUACACUGAUUCUAACUAUGCAGGUGAUAGAGAUAAUAUGAAAUCCACUUCUGCCUACAUGUAUACUUUGUGUAAUUUUUGUAUAAGUCGAAAAUCACAAUUUCAAAAGAUUUUUGCUUUAUCUUUUGUUGAAGAAGAAUACAUAGCUGCCACAAAUGCUAUAAAAGAGGGGAUAUGGUGAAAAGGUCUUCUAAAUGAAUUUGACUUUCAAUAAGAUGUUGUUUUAUAUUCUGAUAGCCAAUCUAUCAUUCAUUUAAGUAGAAAUCAUGUAUUACGUAAUAGAUCGAAAUAUGUUUAUGAUAGAUUCCAUUUUAUUAGAGAUGCUAUUACACAAGGAGUUGUGAAACUUGAAAAUAUUUCUACUUAUUUCAACCCUGCUAAUGAAGGUACCAAGGUGCUAUCAUUACACAAAUUUCUGGAUUGUUUUGUUGGAAGAUUAUUAAUUUUCCAUGUGGGCCAACAUAUGCAAUUAAUUGUGUAUAAAGACUAUUUUAAAGUUAAGACAAAAUUAAAAGUGUUCUAAUAAAGAAUUGAGUAAAUUUGGUCUGGGUAUCUAGAUAAAGUGUGUACCGAAUUAUGUAUAGAAACCAGAUUCUUUUAGAAUUGUAUUUCAUGAUGAUCAAAUAUAUAUGAAAACUAUAUAUAAGGUUAUGAUCCCCAAUUCAUAAACAACUUUUCAUUCUUUAUGUCAUCCCAUCAACACAAAAAAAUUAGAAAGAAUGCUUAAUGAAGAGAAAGAUCCAAAAACUAGCCAAAGGAAUUCAAGAAUCAAGAAUAAGAAUUCAAGAAUUUAUAAUCAAGAAUCAAGAUUAAAGAUCCAGAAGGCAAUAUUCAAAUAUUAUAAUUCAAGAUUCAUUAUUCGAGAUACAAAUCAAUGAAUCAAGGUAUGUUCUUCAUUAAUUAUUUUUCUUGGUGAUUCGACAUGGAGAUCUUGACAAUUUUAUAAAGUUUAAAUUUCAUAAAUAUACAACAUGUUUAAAUCUGUUGAAUAUCAAUGCUUACUGUUUGGGCAUCUGUUAAGAGAGCAAAGGAUGUCAUGAUUAGAAGUAAUCACUGUAGAUGAAAUUGGGAUCAUUGUACCAAGAUGAAGAUUGUGAAGAAAGUGGCAUAAUGAUGCAGACUCAUAUGUUGAUUGGAUGAAUGUUUGAUUUGAUGGAUUUGUUAACUCUUCAAAAGUUGGUUGAUAAAGUUGUUUUAAAAUUGGCAAAAAGGGUUUUGAAGAAUGCAAUUUCUUUAGUAGAAGGAAAGCCUCAGAUGUUGCCAAAUGUCAACCCCAAUAGUUGUUGGAUUGGCUGACUUUCUGAUGACUUCUAUAUAUCACAUAUUCAUCUAGAGUUUGAAGAUCAAUUCAUUUUUUCCCUCUCUCUGGCUUUUGAAGUUCUUCGCCUCUUUCUCACUCAAAAAUCUGAAAGUCUUUUGAUAUUUCAUACCCUCUCAAUGUAAUACUUUUCUUGAGUGAUAUGUAUAUUGAAAGUGUUAUGUUGUUUUUGAGUGAACAAUUGUUGUAUUUGAAAGGCUGUUUUGAUGUAAUCUAGAGUGGUUAUAGUCUGAGUGCCCAGAUCUGUAUCCUAGAUAUUUUGGUUCCGUUUUCAUACAGUGGUUUCUUUUGGUGACGGAAGCUCGAAGGGGUUUAUGGUUUUCUUGACUUACGGCAAAAUAAUAUCGAGUUCAUUUUAUAGUUCAUGUAGCUCUUUAUGUUUUCUGUCUUUUAUUGUUGAUUCAAUGAACUAAUCAUUUGAACCUAAUCAUAACAUGCUAUAGCCUUGAUUCGUUCAGCUACAUCCUGAGAAGCACUCUUGUGGUAUUUUUGCCAUUCUUAAGGAUGCAUUCUUCAUUCUUAAUUGAGCCACUUGUGCUGCCUAAUUAAUGAUUUAUUGAUUGAGUUGUGGCCUAAUCGAUCUCUUCGUUUAUUGGGUCGGGGGAAAAAGAUGAGGAGGGCUAGGUUAGGUCUACAAAAAGGUUAGAAUUAUUUAGCCCCUGUUUGGUACUCAUUUUUUGAGCCAAAAAUGCAUUUUUUCCGUCACAUCAGCACACAAUUUUUGACUUCUACACUCUAAUGGGAGAUCCGCGAUAUGAUGUUUAAAAUGCAUUUUCAUCUAAAAAAUGUGAACCAAACGGACUCUUAGGCUGGGAAGAAGAUGGAGGGUGGAUUGAAAAAUGAAGUUUUAAAGAUUUGGGAUUGUGGUUGGCACAUAUAAAAAAAUUGGGCAUAAUUUGUAAAAAAUUAAAAAAUUUGGGUACUGAAACUGCAAAUUUGACCUUUUUUUAAAUUAUUUCUAACUUCUAAAAUANNNNNNNNNNNNNNNNNNNNNNNNNNNNNNNNNNNNNNNNNNNNNNNNNNNNNNNNNNNNNNNNNNNNNNNNNNNNNNNNNNNNNNNNNNNNNNNNNNNNNNNNNNNNNNNNNNNNNNNNNNNNNNNNNNNNNNNNNNNNNNNNNNNNNNNNNNNNNNNNNNNNNNNNNNNNNNNNNNNNNNNNNNNNNNNNNNNNNNNNNNNNNNNNNNNNNNNNNNNNNNNNNNNNNNNNNNNNNNNNNNNNNNNNNNNNNNNNNNNNNNNNNNNNNNNNNNNNNNNNNNNNNNNNNNNNNNNNNNAAAUUGGGGCUUUUUUUUUUUUUUUUUUUCAAUACGUAGGAAAUAUAUCGUACAUAGACAAAUUAAGUUAAGCCUCGCACUAACCAAGUAAAGUUUGACCAAAACCAACUUAGUCAAAUUAUGGUUGGAGAAAAUAAUCACAAAAGAAAUUAGUGCUGUUCGUCGAUAACAUUAAAUCAAGCACAGGGUAGCGGGCAAACAUAUUAAUUUAACCAAACUAAAAAAGGAAAGAAUAAUAAGGUUCAAUCGCUAGUUACAUUAAUUAAGAUGUCUAAAAUCAUGAAUUUGGCAGUCUAACAAAAUUGGAUUUCGUUUUAAAUUGCUCAUAUAAGUUCUUUUAAUUUAUGGAAUCCGAUGGUGGAGAAAAGAUCAAGCGCUAGCCUAAAAGUUAAUUUAUCUCCAAGAAACUUGAUCACAAAAAUAUUUGAAUGAUAUAAAAAUAGACUCCAUAUAAUUUUUGAACCGAAAAGAACGAAUCAACCUACUCUUCAAAGGAAACAUAUAUUUUGGUUUGAAUCAAUGUUCAGGUAGUCCUUUCGACAAUUUUUUAUUUUAAUAAUUGACGCAUAUAUAUAAUGUUUCAAUGAGAGUUCAAGAUUCACACUUUUCAAGUAAGUGGGACUAUAGUCUAAGUAUCUUAAUUAGGCUAAAUAGUCAUUCAUAGAUUUAACAACAUGAAAGUUGAUGUUUGACAAAUAUUAUUAAGGUGUAAUUUUUUGUGCAAAUAGAGGGUUAAAACUAAAAAACCUUCAUCGAGUUAGAAUUUUUUAUUUUAUUUUUUUAAAUAGGAAAUAUCUUUAUAUGCAAACAGAUAUAGAGAAAUAAAUAAAGUUUUAGUAUAUGAAUGAAAGAAAUAUAGAAUUUGUGACGAUAUUCUUAUUAUUAUUAUUAUUAUUUUUAAAGAAGUAUAAUAUUUUAAGGUAAAAUAUCAGAUCUUUUGCUUAUCUAACUACUUAUAGAAAGAUGAAUAAAAUUCACUGUAGUUGCAAUAGUGUUUGAGACUUCUAUUGUAGCUAAAUAGUGAUUUCACUAUAGAUAUUAGUCAUACCCAUUUUUUCUUACUCAAAAAGACGGUGAAGCCAUUUCCCCACGCAAACCCAGACACAAGCUUUCUUCUUCAUCAUCAUCAUUUUCUUCUCACUUCUUCUUCAAUUAUUCUCUAUUUUUUCUGUGAUUAAUCUCUUCGUGCAAAAUUCUCGUGAAUAGAGAGGUAAAUCUUGGCAUGCCCUUUUUUUCAGAUUAUGAUUUUGUUUAUUCAAGAUUCUAUGUGCAAAAUUUUUUAUUUCGAGUGAAUAGAGAUGUAUAUCCUCGAUUUUAUCUGAUAAUUAUAAUUUUGUUUAUUCGAUUCACCAUUUUGGGUUUUUGUGUGAAUAGAGAGGUAUAUUUUUGGUUUAAUGUAAAUUAAAAUGCUUAUUAGUUUGUUAAUUCAUUUAUGUCUCUUGUGUAUUUCAUACAUUGGCAAUCUUGGCAGAAAUCGUAAAGUAUGGCUUCUUGUAGCAAUCUUGGUGCUGAGUCCCUGCACAGGUUUUAACACUAAAUAAUUUUGAAGGUAUGGACUUAUUUUAUCUUAAUCCCUAAAUUUAUGUGUUAAAUGUUUGAGUUUUCGUCAUUUCAUUAAUUUUGGGUGUAUGGGUUUUGUUUGUUGAUGGUUGAUGAUUGUUCCGAUGAUGCCGUGAAUAGACUUUUGAUAUGUACUGCAGAAAAGAAGUCUUGAAUUUUAUUUAUUUAUUUUUUUUAGAGUCAACUAGGGAAAAAAUCUGCCUUUUUAUUUAUUUUCAACUUUUUUUUUGUUAGGACUCUUGAUAUGAGUUUAUUCAUACUUUAUGCAUAUUAAGAAUGUGUGUAUUUUCUGUUUGUAUAAGUCUUUUAUAUUGAGUUUUUGGCUAUAAGAUCAACAGAGCAUAGAGAGGAAAAAAAAGAAGAAGGAAAUAUAGAUUAAUUUUUUAGACUAUGGUUUGGCACCUGAAGCAGGAAAAUGUAGGACUAAAGAAAUUAACAAGAAAUCGAUGAAUGAUUAGGUUAAGCAUAUAAGUUUGGUGAAAAUGAUUGAAUUGCUCCAAGUAUAAGGGGUUUUGUUAUUUUAGUUAAUAGUUGCAAAUGAUUUUUGUUAAGUUUUUAGCUAUAGGCUUAAGCAGAGCAUAGUAAGGUGAUUGGACAGACCAUUUGAAUCUCUAUCUACGCCUAUAGAAUUUCCAUUGCUAAACUUUUUGGUAGUAAUUUAUUGAAAAUGAGCCAGCAGCACAAUAUGAUUAUAUGUUGCGUGUUUUUUCUCAAUGUUGAUGGCAGUACAUUUCAUUUUUUAGGAAGUUAUUUCCACUUUUCAUCCUUACUUAUAUAAAUAAAUAUUCUCAUUUUUGCUAAAUUUUGGUCAUAUUAGUUCUCUUAAUCACUUUGAGCAUGCAAACACUUAGAACCCGUGAAGUAUGGCUUCUUGUAGCAAUCUUGAUGCGGAGUCCCUGCACAGACUGUGCGGGGACUCCGCACGAAUUGUGCGGGGACUUCCACGCACGGAAUUGGUGUGGAAUCCCCGCACAGAAUUGGUGUGGACUCCGCACGACUGUGUGCGGACUCCCAUAAAAUUAUAAAUUAUUUUUUACUUAUAUUCCCACAAUUUUAAAUCUAAUUUUUACUAAUUGUCAGAGAAAAUUCAUGCCAAAAAAUUUAAUUCAAACUUCAAAAGCAUGUCAGGAUUAUGAUAAGAAAACUAAAAUCUCUACAUCACGCUAAUAAAGACAUAUUAAAUACAAUAAUUUUACAACGCACGUGGCAUCGACUAGUUAUAUCCUAUAUUUCCAAUCUAAUGGGUAUUACAAAUUCGUUCAUUCCACGGGUUUCAUGUAAACACACAAGUGAUAUGCACAAGUCACGAUUUUUUAGUCACAUCAUCUGUUCAUCACACGUCCAUUGCAAUACCCGACAUAAAAUAAGAUUAAUUAAGAACAAAAAUUAUGGAGGUUAAAUUAUACUCUUUAAGAUGAUAUGAUUAUUUUAUGGUAAAAGAUCAGAUCUGCUUCCAGAAACCAUCUAGCCUCUUCUACUCUCAUUUGCGUGUUUCAUUAGAUCUCCGGCUCUCUCUCUCUCUCUCUCUCUCGUUUUACCUUACGUUCUUCUCCUAUUUUUGACUGUUAUAGGUUGUUUGUUUAACUAGAUCUAGCCGAGAAACUUCAGUUCGUGCUGGAUCCUUGUUUCUUUGUGGAUUAGUUUGUUACUUUUUGUAGUUUUGCUUGAGGGUUUUUUCCUUUUCCUUGUCUGAGAUGUGAAAGUUUGUUGGGUUAUUCUUCAUUUACAUCGAUCUGCCUCAAAAGUUACAGAUCUUGCUCAAUGUAUUUUUUUCGAUUUCUGUUGUCUUUGACUAUAGUCACUACAAGAAUUUUAUGUUUUCCCUACAAAAUUUAUUUGUGGGGAAAGGCUUUUAUUUGUAGGGAAAUACCUUUGCAGAUGAAAAAAGUUUGUGAGCACGUUUGUGGGGCAAACAUCGAGGGAAUAGGUAUAAGACGGCAAAUUUUUGAAAUUUGUGGGCUAAGGUUUUUUUCCUAUGAACCCUUUGGAGACAAAUACAAUUUGUCGCGUAAGUUUUCCUCCGACAAAGUAAUUCGUCUGCUAAAGUUAUUUCUACAUACGAAGCGAUUUCGCUUGUCCCUACAAAUUAUCUUGUGGGCUAAAUCGUGUUUGUCCCCACAAAUGAUAUUUUGUAUGGAAAAUUUAUUCGUGGGCCAAGAUAUAAACAUCUUUUCCUACAAUUAAACGUUUGUGACAAUAUGGAACAAAUUAUUUUGUGAGCUGAACCCUGUUUUUCUGCAAAUAAUUUUUAGUGAGGAAAUGAUAUUUGUAGGCUAUUAAAAAAGAAUUUGUAGGGAUAAAUUAAACUAUUUCUAUAUUUAUUAUUUAUUAUUUAUAUUAUACUAAGUUUUUUAACUUCAUUCAAAAUAAUAUAAAGAUACAAAAAUCAUAAUAAAUCAAUUAAAACGUAAUGUCAAUCAAUAUUGAAUCCAAAAUAUUUCAUCAAAACACGAAUAAAUGACAUUCACCAAGUAUGAUUACAUCUAAAGUUAAAAUAAGCAGAGCAAACAUGCUAUAUAUAUAUUAUUGUGCAAAUAAAAAAAUGACUGCAUACAACAAUUGUCAUACUACUUAAUCUAAUUAUAAUUUUCUAACAUUUUUUAAUCUAACUUUGCAAUAUAUAUUUUGUGUCUAACAUGGUAGACAAAACACGAUAAAGUGCGGUGGAAGGAAAGAAAAUUUUAAAGACUAUUUAAUGUCUUGGGAUAGUUGAGCUUCUGAUUUAGUAGCAGAACCUAGUGAGGUAAAUUUUGAAGACUUGCUCCUAUUUGCAGCAUCCACCAAACAAUUUGAAGGUCUCCAAGGAUCAACUUUCACUUCCCUUGGUUCGAAACCACUCUCUCUUCCAUUAUCUGGUGUUGUGAGGCUAGAUGGAUGGAUAGCACUGGAGUUCCACAAAAGCAAGGUCACUAAGCAUGAAAAGUUGAGUCUGUGGAAAUAUGACAAGGCAGGUAGAAUAAAGCAUAUGGAAGAAGCCUAUGUAUGAGGCAAUGUUGUCAAGCUUCAAAAAUAUAUUCCUUCCCUUCCUGUUGGUCUGAGAGAAUUUGUUCAAAGUCUUGGGUGAGCUAGAGCUAUUGAGAUGGUCUUCCAUGGAGUCUUCAUCUUUCUUAAAAGGUUUCUCUAUGGUGAAACUGGAACCUCUUGAUGCUUUCCUUGCAACAGACUUUGAUCUUCUUCCUUUCAUGGUAAAACUACUUUUAGUGUAGUUCACCAUAUCUAAAGAGAAGAAAAACAAAACUAGAAAGAAAUGAAGAAAUAACCAAUAAUUCACGAGACAAUCAAAUAACCUUCUUGACUACAAGACAUACUUUUAGCUCACCCUAAAUCCGUUAUUUGGUUAAAUGAGGAUUCCUAUAAGAAAAACCUCCACAGCUUUAGUGAAAACAAACAUGUAAAAAGUAGUGAAAUAUUAGCUAGAAGAAAAAUAUGUCAAAUAUCUCAUAUUAACAAAGUAGACGAUGCAAAAUAUGUAGAUUCAGCAACUAUAGUUUAGACACAAUGAAUUUUCAGAGGAAAAAAAGAAAAAAAAAACUAACCAUCAUACAUACUAAGACUGGCUUCUUUGCUCAAAACCUUGAGUCUUAGCUCCAUGUUUGCUUGUAGCAAGAACUCCAUAACUGAAAUCUCGUCCACCGAAAGACUCGAUUUCUUAAUGGUAGUACUAAAUUUCUAUUCAUUUAAAAUUAUCUUAGUAAAUAAACUACAUGAAAUAUCUAAAUCUAUUCAUUUAAAAUUGUCUUUUUUCUCAACUUCUUAAUGCCAGUACUAAAUUUCUCAAUAAUAUUAGCAGACUGGCUAAAAGGAACAAGAAUCUUAAAACUCCUUAUUUCUGUUGUUAUUCUUCCUGUUAAAAGCCUUGACCAUACCCACGGCAUUUGUAAUGGUCUCAUUCACCUUGAGGAGCGCAUCUUGAGCUGGACAGAACCCUUAUAAUUGUAUUCAUCAUUAACUUCAACAUCCUCUUUCUCUUUAACAUAGCAAUAAAUUGUGAUAAAUUUUAUCUCUAGCACCAAGAAAUAGGGCCAACACAUUGACCUUUGCUCUCGUCUCUUGCCGGAUCGAGUUAAUUAUGUUUCAACUCUUUCCAAUCACGUUCCCAAUAGCACCAUCAGGACAACGAAUCCUAUACACUAUUAGUUCAGCAUUACCCUUGUCAUCCCUGUCUCUUUCUCUAUCCAGUUGCCUCUUUUGGUUCUUGAUAUCCUCGUCAUCACGAUGAGAACUAAAGCGCUUCCCAUUUUCACCCAUUCCAAACUACAAAACAGCUCCCCUGAAUGUACUGAAAAAGCAAUUCCGAACUUUGAAUUUGAAUCAAAAUUAGAUGGCAAAAAUUGCAACUAAAUUUCACAAAAAAAUAAUAAUUAAUAUAUAAAAGGUCAUAAAUAAAAAGAAACUUUUUUUCCCUUCCUUCUUUCCAUAUCAAGCCCCUAACGUUUCAAUUUUUGUUCCCAUUCGUUAGAGUUUUGAUCUAACACGGAAUAAACCAAAAAUGUCUGGAAUCUACUACCCAUUCGUAUUGCUAAAAUACACAACUAUUUAUAAUGAAUCACAUAGAAAAAAAAUACAAAAUCCAUUAAAUGUGUUAUUUCACGUAUAGAUAGAAAUAAUAUUGAUCACUCAAAAGGGCCGUUACCUUCAAAGAGGCAAAAUUCCAAAAAUCCUUCAAUUUCAAUGAAUAAGAACUAAAAUUGAGAAUAAAUUAAAUAAUUAAAAAAAGAUUACACCUGGUUAGCUGCUACGGAUAUUUUUUCAUGGGUAGGAAUUUUGCCCCCGUUCUUGGCCUUCAUAGCCUAGAGUCCCCACUUGCGGUACAUCUGGGAACGCGAGUUCUUCCAGACCCCAUAUCGUAGCCAAGUAACCAAUAGCCCAUCCCAUCCCACCAUUAAAAGGCAAAGGGGAUUGAAUGUAGAGAGGAGAGGAGGCGGUGAGAGGGGUCAGGGUUUUGGAAAUUUUAAUAGAAAAGGAAAAUGAAAUGUGUCGAUGGAAGAGGGAUGUUUUAAGGAAAAGUGUGAGAAUUUUCAUAGGGGGAAAUUAAAAUUUUCAAUGUUAAAAAUUUUUCAUGGAGGGAAAAUUAAAUAAGAAUAAAAAUUGGUCAAUCAAAACUUGCUUUUAACAAAUGUUUUUUCUUUUUAAAAUUUUUCUUUUAAGAAUAAAAAUUGGUCAAUCAAAAAUCUGAAGAUGAGGGUUUUUAUUUUUGGAUUUUGUUAAAAAAAAAAAUGUAUUUUCACUUUUUUUUUUUUUUUUUAGUGAUCUUUUAACUUCAAAUAUAAUUUGUGGGGACUAAAUUUAAAGAUAGUAAUUGAUAAUUUUUCUCCUUAAUUAUUAGCCAACAAAGAGGUCUAAUAUUUUUGUCGGGGAAAAGAUAUAUUUUUCCCGACAAAUUUUUUGUCAGGAAAAGAUACAAUUUUCGUGGGCACAAAUUUCUCUAAUACUGAAAAUUUUGAAUUAAAACUCAACCCUAUGAAACAUUUGUUUGUGGGGAAAAGUGAAUUCCGCAGACAAAUCAAUUUGUAUCAUUGAUGGGAUUCACACAAGCAUGAAAACAGAUUCAUACUUGCAUGUGUUUCUAUUUGGCACAAUUUCGCCACAUACGUGUUAUCUCACCUAGUACCACACUACACUACAUCAUGCUAUAGUGACAAUAAUGGCCUUCUUUCAUCUCCCCAGUCAAAAAACAAAUAUAUUGGCAAAAAUUGCAAAUAUCAACUUUUCCUAACUUAUUUUUGUAUUUCCCUAGAAAACAUGCAUAUCACUUGUAGACACAAUGUCACAUGCAGUAGAUUUAAGAUGGCUAUCGACAUUCCCUAGGAUGAACAAGGGUAAGUUCUACGCCCAUUUUUUAUACUUUAUGAUUAUUAGAAGACACUAGGUGCUAAAUCAUUACUUGAGUACUACUAUAGAUUUAACAUUGCUUCUAAAUUUUUUUUUUUUAAUUUCAUGUGUUGGACUGCAAAAUACUGAUAAAUUGAAUUGUGACAUUAUCCAUAUUCCUUAUGCAAUCAAGAGUGCAAUGUGUUCAUGAAAAAUUUGCAGAGUUCAUCGUCAAUGAGAAGAUGCACAAAAUGUGAGAAUUGUUUGUUACAAAUAUUGUUAGGAUUCACUUAGCUUGUCAACUGUAUAAGUGUAAAAACCAAAAGAUCUUUGGUGGCUAUGAAAUGGAUGCCAAUCUAGUCCCAAGGAGAGUGAGAAAAGAAAGGAAGGGCAGGAAUUUGGAACAAGUCUAGAAGUAAAAAAAAGGAAGGAACUCCAGUGGCUGUUGAACCAUAUUUCAUGAUUUUGAGAUGUUUGUUUAUUUGCAAGUGUUCAUGUGGAUUCAAAAAAAUCAUAUGAGGAUCAUUCGUUGAUAACGUUGAAGAGUAUCAUACUGAACUAGUGGAUAGAUCAGGGAUACAGAAACAAACAGUAAUUGGACCAAAGAAUGCAAUUGCAUUGUAUAUAAGGUUGCUAUCUAUUUAAAUGUUAACAUACUAUGACAUGCUUCGUCUAACAUCAAGAGACAUCUGUUGUUCAAACAUAUCCACAACUUAUAAAUUUAAUUGUUAUCAGCAUUCUACGUGGGAACUAGAUUUAUGUUCACAACUAAAAAUCAAUUAUCAUAUCAAUUCUGAUGGAUACAUUGCAUAAAUAUUUUUUUCUUGAGCAACAAUAUAGGUUAUAUGAUUAUCAUGCACCUAACAAGAAAGUGUGUCAUUCUAUGAUCAUUUCAAUCCAGAAUAGAAAGCUACACGAGAGAUAUAUGAAGUUGUGGAAAUCAAAAUAGCCAAAAUUUGUUAGUUAAGUAGGAACAGUCUCUUUCCGAAGAGAACUCCACACUCAUGUUAAAGAAGCAAAAGGGAGCACGAUGAAAAAAGAAACUGUAGAGAAUGGCACAAUGAUGUUGGGCUGGACUCUUUGAAUUGAUGGGCAUGUGGGCCAGAUCCUUAAAUGUUGACUUGGUAUUGAUUAGCUUCUUGGCAAAAAAUUUGUUGCUGAAACACAAUUUCUCUUUUAUAAGAACAAAUGCCCCUGAUCUUGCCAAGUGUUACCUCUUACAUCGUUAGAUGGAGAUUUCUAGUGCUUUCAAUAUUUAAUCUAGAUUAGGGUUUGAGACGUCAGACUUUUGAUUUUCUCUCGUCUCUUGAACUCUCUCUAUGGGUUCUUCAUUUUCUCUCUUUUGCACUCUGAAAUAAGCCCUUGUUUAUGAGAUAAUUUCCAACCCUUUUGUAUAAAUCUUGAGUGAUUUGUAUAGGCUUAUUAUUUGUCAUUUUUGAGUGAAUGUUAUUCUAUAUUGUGAGGUUUAUUUAGGGAGAAAUCUUGUGUGAUUUCAUCUGAGUGCCAUGGAGCUUUGUACUGGACAGUUCGUUUGAUUCCAUUGAGUUAGUUAUAUUCUUUCGAUGACGGAAGCUCAAAAGGGGAUUAGGAACUCCAGUUAUGAACCUCUUGCCUUAGGACGAAAAUCAUCGUGUUCAUUCAAUUCUCUUUCUGGUUUUUGCUUUAAUUUUUCGUAUUUUUGUUGAGUUUUAAAGUGGGUAAUAUUUGAACUACUUGUAAUAGAAACAUUAGUCAUUUUCCUUUAUUCUUCUGUUAUUUCCUUGGUGGUUUAUGUUGAUUCUGGCAUUUUGCUGGAACCUAUUUAACUACCUCCCUCUGUUGCUUGGUGCUUGUAAUGGAAUUUGAAUUGGGACAAUUGAGAAAAAAAAAUCAUUUUUACACGUAAUCCAUUUACACUUGUAGCACUCCACAGUUCCAUUAACUGCAUCACCUACAAGGCCCUCAACCUCCAUAAUCAACUAUUUAAUGUUAUGGGCUAAGUGCUUUCCUAAGGUGAGAGUUUGCAUUGAAAUGGAUGUUUUAGUUCGACAAUUUUAUUGCUUCUUAGCCAAUUAUUUUAGAAAAUUGUGGUUGACAAUCAUUGUAUUUCUCUCAAAAAUUAAUAAGAUCUACUAAAAGGCAAGUUGAUGUACAAUAGAAGAAUUUUUAUGGCAUCCUAUAAAGUGCAAAACAAAUUUCGACCUUCAAGAAAUGUUCCGUCAUGAACAACCCAGUAAAUAAUACAAAACUUAGUAAUUAGAGGAAAAAUAAAAUGGCAAGAAAAACUAGAAAAGAGUAGAAUGCAUUUAAAAGCAACGAUGUUAAUCUUUGUAUAGUUUGAUACUAAGAAACAAGUUGUGAAGAACUACAGAAAUCUACAGUUCACUAAACAAAAGGAAAGAAUUCAAAUCGAGUCCAAAUGAACUAUUGGGCAAGUAUCAGCGGCAUAUGUUUUUGGUGCACAUUCACUUCUUGAAUAUGAGACAUAUCAUAUGGUCAUCCCCAAGCAAGACUUAUGGCAGGAGAAGUGCUACUACCAUAUGGAAUCGUUCUCUUUCCCAUCGCUCCACCAUCAAUGUAAUAAGGCCUACCAUAGUCCUUAAACCCGACAUUAACGUUCAUCGAAUGUGUAUAUGAAGGAUUUAGGUUCAUGUAUGUACUGCCAUAUAGGGUUGGAACUACCCACACUAUAACAAAAAUAACAUUUUGCAACACGCAAAAGGCAACAUUCGUUAAUUGAAUGUUGCUAAAGGGGGUCUAUUGCAACAUUCUUUAAGUGAAUGUUGCCAUUGGUUAAUAUAGUUGAGCUUUGACAACAUUUUUUAAAUAAAUAUUGCUAAUGUCACCUUUUGUAAAGAUCAAUGAUUGUUGCGAAAAGUUCUAUUUUUUGCAACUUUUAUUGAAAGUUGUUAAAAUUGCUGAAACUCUUAAUACAUAGCCAUUUGCAAUGUUUAUUAACUAUCGCAAAAAGUUCACCAUUUGCAACGUUCUUUGAAAGUUACGAAAAAUUUCAUUUUUUGCAACGUUUAUUGAGUGUUGUUAAAAUGUCGUUCUAUAACAACAUUCAACAAUUGUUGCUGAAACUCUUACUAUAUAACCUUUUGCAAUGUUCAUUGACUGUUGCGAAAUCUUUUUUUCCCCUCCUGUAAGAUCUUUUGAAUAUUACAAAAGUUUUAUUCUUUCCUUUGUUUUACUCAUCGUUAUCCUUUUCUCUUUUCCUUUCCACUUUUUGUUUCCUCUCUCAUUUUCUUUCUUCUCCUUCCACUAUGGGCACUGCAAUAUGGGUGGAAAUUGCUGAGGCCAUUCGGUUAAUCUACUUGCUCAUCUUCUUUAGGAACUAGAUUUCUGUCCUACAGUCUGCAUUAUUAAGUUAUAAAUACAGCUGCGCCACCUACGCUCGAACAUUCUCCGUCACCAUGGGUCAUAUGCUCAGCCGCCGGUAUGACGACAUUCCUCUCCUAUCAUCUAUACUUCAUAGAUCGGGUUUACUGGGUUAGGUAGAGAUUCGGGUUCCAAAUCGUUCUUCUCCUUUCAUCUAUACUUCAUAUUUUUCAUUUUUUCUUCAGGAGUACAUAUAUAAUCUCCUACCCCGUCUUUCCUACUACUCAAUAUUUGGGUUUUUGAAAAUCUUGUUCAUUUUGCAGGAAAGGAUUAAAAUAGAAAAGAAAGAAUCAAAUAAUCCGCCCGUCCCAAGUCCCAGUUUAUUAGAUAGAGAACUUAAAUUAUGCGUCUCAACAUUUUCAAUUUGAACCUGUCAUAGGUUGGACCCUUUAGUUUAUUUUGUUUAAUUGGGCUUGUAGUAGUGGGCUAGCUCAAGCCCUUUAGGUCAUUUUGUUCUAUAUAGUUGUAUCUCUACAUAUACAAGAAGUGGUUGAAUGAUAAAUUGAUCAUGGCUACUGCCGUCUAUCCUCAACCUCUGUCUCUGUUCUUCCCGCUCUUCUCUGUGUCUCUUCCCUCUGUGGUAAGCUUCUUUACCUACUUCUUCCUCUAUUCCCCAUUUCUCUUGCCUUCUUCUCAGUUCAUCCUGUGUUCUCUUUUUGUGCUCUUAAUCUGUUCUUCUACUUCCCUGUUCUUCUUUCUCCAACGUCUCUCUGUCUCUGUCUCUUUUGUAUUUGUCUUUUACUUGUAAUUUGUAAUCUCCCUGCAAUGUAAUGGAAAUAUAAAUUAAGGGACUCAGUGGUUGAUUUUGGAAUGAAUAUUAAUUGCCAAUGUUAGCUAUUUCAGUUUAUAAUCCUCAAUUUGAGUCAUUACAAUUUAUAUCCUGCAUCUUAUGUUUACUGCUGCUGAUUAUUGGUUGAAUUUAACUGAAAUUGAACUCCCAUGGUUAUUGAUUAUUGGUUGAGUUUUGGAGGAAGUUGAAGCUCAACCAUAACAAUAUGUCAUGGGUUGGACCCUUUAGUUUAUUUUGUUGAAUUGGGCUUGUAGUAGAGGGCUAGUCCAAGCAUUUUAGGUUAUUUUGUUCUAUAUAGUCGUAUCUCUACAUUUGCAAGAAGUGGUUGAAUGAUAAAUUGAUCGUGGCUACAGCCGUAUAUCCUCUGCCUCUGCCUCUACCUCAUAUCUGUUCUUUUCAUUUUUCUCCGUGUUCUGUGUCUCUUCCCUCUAUGGUAAGCUUCUUUACCUACUUCUUCCUCUAUUCCCUAUUUCUCUUGCCUUCUUCUCUUCUUCUCGAUUCAUCCUGUGCUUUCUUCUUCUGCUCUUAAUCUGUUCUUCUACUUCUCUGUUCUUCUUUCUCCAACGUCUCUCUCUCUUUCUCUUUUGUAUUUGUCUUUUUCUUAUAAUUUGUAAUCUCCCUGCAAUGUAAUGGAAACAUCAAUUAAGGGACUCAGUGGUUGAUUUUGGAAUGAAUAUUAAUUGCCAUUGUUAGCUAUUUCAGUUUAUAAUCCUCAAUUUGAGUCAUUACAAUUUAUAUCCUUCAUCUUGUGUUUACUGCUGCUGAUUAUUGGUAGAAUUUAACUAAAAUUGAACUCCCGUGGUUAUUGAUUAUUGGUUGGUGAUCGGUUGAGUUUUGGAGGAAGUUGAAGCUCAACCAUAAAAAGAUGUCAUGGGUUGGACCCUUUAGUUUAUUUUGUUGAAUUGAGCUUGUAGUAGUGGGCUAGCCCAAGCCCUUUAGGUUAUUUUGUUCUAUAUAGUUGUAUCUCUACAUUUGCAAGAAGUGGUUUAAUAAUAAAUUGAUCGUGGCUACUGCCGUCUAUCCUGCGCCUCUACCUCGUCUCUGCACUUUUUGUUCUUCUCUAUGUUCUGUGUCUCUUCCCUCUGCGGUAAGCUUCUUUACCUACUUCUUCCUCUAUUCCCUAUUUCUCUUGCCUUCUUCUCUUCUUCUCGGUUUAUCCUGUGCUCUCUUCUUCUACUCUUAAUCUGUUCUUCUACUUCUCUGUUCUUCUUUCUCCGACGUCUCUCUCUCUCUCUCUCUUUCUCUUUUGUAUUUGUCUUUUACUUGUAAUUUAUAAUCUCCCUGCAAUGUAAUGGAAGCAUCAAUUAAGGGACUUAGUGGUUGAUUUUGGAAUGAAUAUUAAUUGCCAUUGUUAGCUAUUUCAGUUUAUAAUCCUCAAUUUGAGUCAUUACAAUUUAUAUCCUGCAUCUUGUGUUUACUGCUGCUGAUUAUUGGUUGAAUUUAACUGAAAUUGAACUCCCUUGGUUAUUGAUUAUUGGCUGGUUAUUGGCUAUUGGUUGAGUUUUGGAGGAAGUUGAAGCUCAACCAAAACAAGAUGUCAUGGGUUGGACCCUUUAGUUUAUUUUGUUUAAUUGGGCUUGUAGUAGUGGGCUAGCCCAAGCCUGUUAGGUUAUUUUGUUCUAUAUAGUUGUAUCUUUACAUUUGCAAGAAGUGGUUGAAUGAUAAACUGAUCGUGGCUAUAGCUGUAUAUCCUCUGCCUCUGCUUCUGCUUCUGCCUCUGCCUCUACCUCAUCUCUGUUCUUUUCAUUGUUCUCCGUGUUCUGUCUCUUCCCUCUAUGGUAAGCUUCUUUACCUAUUUCUUCCUCUAUUCCCUAUUUCUCUUGCCUUCUUCUCUUCUUCUCGAUUUAUCAUGUGCUCUCUUCUUCUGCUCUUAAUCUGUUCUUCUACUUUUCUGUUCUUCUUUCUCCGACAUGUUUCUCUCUCUCUCUUUCUCUUUUGUAUUUGUCUUUUUCUUGUAAUUUGUAAUCCCCUUGCAAUGUAAUGGAAACAUCAAUUAAGGGACUCAGUGGUUGAUUUUGGAAUGAAUAUUAAUUGCCAUUGUUAGCUAUUUCAGUUUAUAAUCCUCAAUUUGAGUCAUUACAAUUUAUAUCCUUCAUCUUGUGUUUACUGCUGAUUAUUGGUUGAAUUUAACUAAAAUUGAACUCCCGUGGUUAUUGAUUAUUGGUUGGUUAUUGGUUGAGUUUUGGAGGAAGUUGAAGCUCAACCACAACAAGAUGUCAUAGGUUGGACCCUUUAGUUUAUUUUGUUUAAUUGAGCUUGUAGUAGUGGGCUAGCCCAAGCCCUUUAGGUUAUUUUGUUCUAUAUAGUUGUAUCUCUACAUUUGCAAGAAGUGGUUUAAUAAUAAAUUGAUCGUGGCUACUGCCGUCUAUCCUCCGCCUCUACCUCGUCUCUACUCUUUCUGUUCUUCUCUGUGUUCUGUGUCUCUUCCCUCUACGGUAAGCUUCUUUACCUACUUCUUCCUCUAUUCCCCAUUUCUCUUGCCUUCUUCUCAGUUCAUCCUGUGUUCUCUUCUUGUGCUCUUAAUCUGUUCUUCUACUUCCCUGUUCUUCUUUCUCCAACGUCUCUCUGUCUCUGUCUCUUUUGUAUUUGUCUUUUACUUGUAAUUUGUAAUCUCCCUGCAACGUAAUGGAAAUAUAAAUUAAGGGACUCAGUGGUUGAUUUUGGAAUGAAUAUUAAUUGCCAUUGUUAGCUAUUUCAGUUUAUAAUCCUCAAUUUGAGUCAUUACAAUUUAUAUCCUACAUCUUAUGUUUACUGUUGCUGAUUAUUGGUUAAAUUUAACUGAAACUGAACUCCCUUGGUUAUUGAUUAUUGGCUGGUUAUUGGUUAUUGGUUGAGUUUUGGAGGAAGUUGAAGCUGACCCAAAACAAGAUGUCAUGGGUUGGACCCUUUAGUUUAUUUUGUUUAAUUGGGCUUGUAGUAGUGGGUUAGCCCAAGCCUUUUAGGUUAUUUUGUUCUAUAUAGCUAUAUCUCUACAUUUGCAAGAAGUGGUUGAAUGAUAAAUUGAUUGUGGCUACAGCCAUAUAUCCUCUACCUCUACCUCUGCCUCUAUCUCGUCUCUGUUCUUUUUGUUCUUCUCCGUGUUCUGUGUCUCUUUCCUCUAUGGUAAGCUUUUUUACCUACUUCUUCCUCUAUUCACUGUUUCUCUUGCUUUCUUCUCUUAUUCUCGGUUCAUCUUGUGCUCUCUUCUUCUGCUCUUAAUCUGUUCUUCUACUUUUCUGUUCUUCUUUCUCCGACGUCUCUUUCUCUCUCUCUUUCUCUUUUGUAUUUGUCUUUUUCUUGUAAUUUGUAAUCCCCUUGCAAUGUAAUGGAAACAUCAAUUAAGGGACUCAGUGGUUGAUUUUGGAAUGAAUAUUAAUUGCCAUUGUUAGCUAUUUCAGUUUAUAAUCCUCAAUUUGAGUCAUUACAAUUUAUAUCCUGCAUCUUAUGUUUACUGCAGCUGAUUAUUGGUUGAAUUUAACUGAAACUGAACUCACCUAGUUAUUGAUUAUUGGUUAGUUAUUGGUUGAAUUUUGGUGGAAGUUGAAGCUCAACCAUAACAAGUGGUAUUAGAGCACCUACGUGAACUGGGAGUGGCCUUUAAAACAAACGACCAGAUGCUACAGGGUGUUUGUACUAGCCUGGACCGAAUGGAACAAAUGAUGGGAGAAAUGAAAGCUACACAGGAGUCUAUGGUGUUGAUGCUAGCUUAAUUAUAUGGGAGCAAGACUCAUUGGAAAGAAAAACAAAUAAAAAUAUAUGGAUCACCAUCCCAAAUGCAUUUGGGUAAACUAUUAUUCGAGCUCGUCCUUGACAUGGCAUCAAAUGCAUUUCCCCGCAACCAAUUAGCUAAAUUUAACCAAAUGCCUUUAGAAUGCCAAAUGCAUAUUCAGGAAAAUGCCCGGAAUUGAAUUCCCUAAAUAAAAUAUAUUGAUUUGAGUUCUUUUCGGGUGAAAGUAGUCGGUGAUCCUAGACCUGUUUACCGUAGAAUGGUUGAAUCAUUCAAAGAUGACUGUGUUAGUUGUCAAUCUUUGAACCUAUAAUCCCCUACAUGUUUGUUAGAUGCUAACUUUGUUUCCUAAUAUUUCAUCUUAAAAUUAAAGCUCAUAGAGAAGAUUUAAGAAACUUGACUAUGAAAUUGCUUAUGACACAUGAAUUUUGACAUUUAGGAUAUGGCAUUGAAGUUUUGAUAUUUCUAUGUAGAUUGGAAACUUAAUUUACACACUAGUAAAAUUUAGGUGGAAACUUAUAAAUUUAGAGUAUGCUAAAGAUAGCCUCUUUUUCUUUGCAAACAGAUUUCUUAUAAAUUUAGAGUUUUCUAAUGAUUUGUGAUAAAGUUCUUGUGCAUUGUAAUGAUAAUGUUUGACUGAAAAUUAUCAUUUCACACUAAACGAAAAAAGAAAGAACAGGAAUAGCUAUUUAAAAGGAAGAUGCAUCAGUAAAUGUCAAGAUAGCGUAAUGCUUAUGAGAAAUUGUUUGUUUUGAUGGAUUAUAUUCUGCUUCACUUUGCUUUAUUACUUUUUCUGUUGAUAGUUUUUGCUGGUUCUUCCUACUCUACAAGGUAGAGGAAUUGGCCAAAUGAUAGUUCAGAAAAUUGGAAUGUUGGUCUCAUUGAUUAAAGAUAUUAAAGUUGGGAAUUUCAAGAAAAAGUAACAAUUAUUGGCAUGUUUAGUAAAAUGGAUGGGACGAUAUUAAAAUAGAAAAAUGAGUUCAUAUCUUCAAUGGGUUUCCAAUUUCGUUCACUACUGCAUGUUUAACAUUGUUGACCUCAAAAAAUGUGCCAACAAAAUCUCAACCUCGCCCCUUCUAUGUGGAUCUCACCUGCACAUUGAACACCUUGUUAGGAGGCAAAGGCCGUCGGUUGAGAAAAAGGUCUGGCGACCGUUUGCACUCGGACGGUCAAAUCAACGGCCGAACAAAAAAAAAAUGAAGAGAGUGCAAGAGCAGGAGAGGGGUUUGGUUAGUGUUUUUUUUUUUUUUUUUUUUUUUUUUAAAUUUUUUUAAAUAAUGAUGUGGCUAAAUGCCACUAUUUCUUAAAGAAAUGAAAGAAAUAUAUAUAUAUAUAUAUAUAUAUAUAUAUAUAGGAAAAUGCAAACGGGCCACGUGAUUAAUGGGCUAAGCCCAAGAUGCAAUUGUUUAAUAGGUCCAAUCAAAUUAAAUAGUCAAUGCCACGUUAGCCAAGGUGGGAUCCCCUCCAUCACGCGUAUGCCAUGUAAUUUAUGGAUAUAACAAACAUAUCCAUACGUACACAACUGGUUGGUACUAGCUUCUUUCAGCAUUUGAUAUUCAAACAUUAUUAGUGUCUGAUCAUUUCCCUUACUAUCAUAGAAUGUAGACUGAAAGUUUAGGGAACGUUCUACAACCACUUGAAAAUUCACGAGAAUGCUUUACUAUGUGAAAUUCAAGUUUUAGAUAUUACCAAGUUUACAUUCCAAUCAAUUUAUUAUUCGACCUCACUGCGGAAUUGAUUAAUAAAAGAAACACAUCACUUUAAUUAGUUGUCUGGGUAAUUAAACAUACAGUCCAGUUAAUUCCAAUGUUGAACUGUCGAUUUAUGUAAAGUAAAUAAAAUAAUACAAAACACAACUUACGAUAUGAUGACAGAGAAACCCCAACGUGGGUAAAACUCUGGGACCAAGCCAGUAAGUUCCACUAUACCAAUUCAGUCACUACAAGUUCUGUCAAACUCUGUACCCAGUUAGACCCGCUGUUCCAGUCUCACGAUCUACUGUCGUAAAUAUUACUAGUCUCUUGCUAGCUUCCUCGAUCUACCUCUUGCAGUCUAAUCUACUGUCCAUUACAGCCUCUUGGUCUUUAGCUGAUUGUAUCGCCAAGUAAAAUUCCAAGAACCUCAUGUUCUUGUUCAGUUCCUGUGCUUGUCGUUCACCUCCCUCAAUCCCCCUUUGAGAGAGUCCCUUCCUCAACAAAUGAAGAAGUACCGGUGUGUCUUCACAAAUUGAUGUUUUUCCCCAAAAUAUUGGUUGUCGGAUCACAAGAAUAAGAUUGAUGAAUUCUCCAGUUGGUUGUGUUCUUGGAUCUCUUCACAAUGAUAUGAACGUGUUAUAACUAAAUUAAGCCUUCGAUUGGCCACCAUUUUCAUUCUCAUUCUUUUUCUCUCUCUUAUUUUUAACCACACAAUCUUCCAUAAAAUAAUUUUAUACGCAAAUAAAAAACUUUUCAUUAUUUUUCAACUACAUAUUUAAAAAAAAAUACUACUUCAACCAUUAAAAUUUGGAAAGAAUGGGGCCAAACGGGGGCUAAGUUUUCAACAACAUUUUAGUUUGUUUGAUCUCCAUUUUUUUCAAAAUAUAUUUUUCUCUUUUUUCUUUUCAACCACUCAUUUUUCAAUAAAAUAACAUUACACGCAACCCAAAAAAUUUUCCUUCAUUUUUAACACCAUACAUUCUCCAUCAAUCUACUAUUUCAAAAUACAUUCUACACUAAAAAUGGGGCUCGAAUAUAAUGUCAGACUUUAGAAGUGUUAUUGAGGUCCUAUUUGGGCCGCAUUCUUUUAAAAAAUGAAUUCUUAAACAGUGAUUUGAUAUCAUUUUAAUCACACAUUUUUCAAUAAAAUAAUAUUAUACGCAAAUUCAAAACUUUUUCUCAUUUUUUAACCACAUUUUUCAUUAAUCUAUUAUUUUAAAAUAGAUUCUUGCAAAAUAAUGUGCCUCAAACACACUGAUUAUGCCUCAUCCCCAAAUUUCGACACUAAAAAUAAGCAAAGCUUACACAAGUUUCGAUAAGAGACUCAUGUCCACCUACCAUUACGCUUAAAUGUUGCUAAGGGAAAGAGUAAUUCCCCGCUCCACCCUCAAUAAAUCCUUAUGAUAGAAGGGAUAUUAGAGAAAACUAAUAUAGGUAUGAAUACCCCCAUAUGUAACGAUCUAGGCCCCGUGCCCAAUUCGUUGUAUCAUACAUACUAUCCGCUCCUUUACUUAAUUUGAAAUGUUAAGGGUUCGAAUCAUGGUACGCGAUAGAAAUUCUAAAGGGUAAGAUGGGCUUAGAUUUUUUCAAAUUGGUUAGUAUGUAUGAUAUAACGAUUUGGACAUGAGGCUUAGGUCAUUAAAACGCGUCUUUUUUUUAUUUUAUUUUUUAUUUUGUAAUGACUCCGUUGCUGUGCUCAUAUCCAAGCUGUUAACUUACGUGCCGUCCAUUCUGGGAGAGUUUGAGUCCAUUUUACCCUUCACAAAUUUCUAUCGCAUCCUCAUGAUUCAAACCCUUGACUUUCCCAUAAGAAUGACAUAAGUUAAAUUCAAUUACAAUAGAAAAGUGUGCUUAAAUACGAAAUGCAAAUUCUAAAAAUUGUACUGUUGGCAGCCGAAUAAUUUGGAUGUGGGAUCCAGCUAGAAUGCGAUAGCAAGCUUCAUCAUGCAAAUUUUCUUUUUAUAUUUAAAUCAUGAGACAUUUGAUCUUCAUCAUUUUCGAAAAUAGCAAGCAAAUAAUUUUUUGUCGUACAGACAAUGAUGUAUAGCCUUUUUUUUUUUCAAGUGGAACUAGUGGUCCAAUCCGACUAAAUGCUAAAAUUUAGUGAGUGAUAUUCAAAAUUUUUUAAUAUUGCACUAAAAUAUAUACAUUCACAAUUGAAAUAUCCAAUUCCCAAUGAACAUGUUAUAUUUGCUGUCAAAAAUAUUUUUCACUAUAUGCAAAUGAAAAAAAAAUGGAAAUUACUUUCUGUAUAUUUUGAAGAAGUUAAAUGGGUGUAUCUGGGAUACGGCUGGAAUCGGACACUGAAGGAGUAAAUUACAAGGGUUCUAGCAGUUCUAUGUUGUAUUUUUCAUUUAUUAACAGUUAAAAAAAAAAAAAAAUUAGUUCAGCAUUUCUUGGCAUUUUAUACAAAUGGAUUUAUAAAUUUUCAAUAUUUCAAAGUAAUGAAAACGAGGUCUAAAUUAUCUUGGCCUACGUACUCCUGAUAUCCUAGUACUACAAAUACCCUUCAAAGGAACUUGUAAAUUCAAACAAGACCACUGAAGUGGGAAGCAUUUCUUCGAUUUACUGUCCAAAUUUCAAGAGUGAAAUACAAAAAUGGACAUCCAAAUCCAUGCAUCUGCUGCCCCAUUUUCCUCCAAAAAUAUGAUCAUCUAGGAUACUCAUCGCUCUGUCACAUAUCAUCCUACCAUUUGGAGAGAUUAUUUCCUUGCGUAUAGUUCUUGUAAGUGUUAUGCCCUAAAUCCAAUCAAUUUAAGUUGUAAAUACUUUUAAUAUGUUUAAUGCAUUAAUUUUUGGCAAGAUCUAUUAUUAUUUAAAUUAAUAUUUUGAUGAAUAAUGUUAAAUAAUAGAAUCCAAAUAUUCAAGUUUCAGUAAAUUGUUAAUCACAAAGAGUUGUGAUUGUGAAAUGUAAAUUACAUAUGAUUGGAUCUUAAAUUAUCCAUAGUCGUAAGUAAUAACGAGAUACGAAUAUUGUUCUUACGGAUAGACCAUCACGUGUGGCAUUUCUUACUUGUGAAGUAAAUAGUUGAUCUCACAAUCUAAAAUGUGGAAACACUUAAAUGAACGCGUUGAUAUUUUGUUAUAGAACAAAACAUUGAAAACCCGCUAAAAGAUUUCACAUGGAUAACUAUCUGAGUGUCAGUGGUUAAUCUCUAACGAUCGAUAGUGAAAUUGGUCCUUUGACUAGAGGUUGUUAUAGUGUCUUGUAUGAGAAUAGUCAUACUUUCACGGUGUUGGAUGUUUCUCUACCAAGGGCCGCUAAUACUACAUCGUUCGAAUAUGUCAAGAAUCAUAUGAAGGUUGUAAAUGACGGAUAGAGGAUUUGUCAUUCUUAGAUUGUAAGAUAUUAUGAUCUGCAUUUCAUUCAAUUAAGUCAAUAACGAAAUUCUUGGCCAAUAUAUACUGAGAAAUCGAAAAGGAGUUUUCGACUUAUAUAGACUUAAUAGUGGAAUAAAAGAUAUGAUCGAUGAUUGAAAUUGAUACACUUCCAUUUCUCGUAAUUGAUCAGAUCAUAUUGACGAUAGGAUUAUAGUUUCACGAUAAACGAACAAGUUUGGUAUUGAUACCACGUGAUAUUUUUCGUCACAUGUAUUGUCUUAACACAUUGCUAGAUAUCAAUCUGAGACGGUGAGUGUGAACUAGUGAUAAAUUAAAAGGGAAUUUUAAUUUAUCUAUUUUGAUUAGAUCAAAAUAAUAUUUUACAUCGUUAGGCAUCAUGAUCGGGAACCUAACGUAACACACACAAAAAGAGAAUUGUAAUAUUGUAAUUUGUCAAUUAAUUAAUUUAACAAUCAUUGAAUAAAUUAAUUAAUUGGAUUGGUUAUUUAUAAACCCGAAUUAAUUAAUUCAUAGACCAGGAUUAAAUAAAUAAAUUAACUAAAUAUUGGACCGGGUCAAGUCAAGCCCAUUUGGACUUAUAUAAAUAAAUGGCUAGGGUUUUCUAUUUGUAGAGAUUCUCAUAAUUCUUUGCUAGCACAAGAGGAGAAAAUCUCGGUGGCUACAAUAUGUUCUCUGUGUGGAAUUUUAUUGGAGGCUGGACAAUUGGACAGCUGUUGGAUUGCUAGGCAGCACCUAAGUGAAUAAAAGAAAAAAAAAAAAAGGGGUUUGGGGAGAGUUGGAGGCGGGGGCCUCUCAUGCAAUUUAUGAAAUUGCAGGCCCCCAUAUGUAAAUUGUUUUGGGGAGUUGUCUUGCAAAUUUUAAAUAAAGGACUUGUCACGUAAAUUGCAUAGUUGAGGGGCCUGUUUUUAAUUCUGACUUGGGUCAAAUUGCAAUUGUUAAAAUGGGUUUUAAAUUUGAAUUCUAAAUGGGUUUUUAAAUUAUAAUUAUAAUUGGGUUUGACCCAUAUUUGUAUUUGGGCCCAAAAUUAAUAAUUUAUUUAAAAUUGACAACUUUUAUAUUUUUGUUAAAAUUAGAUUUUAACUUAAUUAUUUAAUUUUAACCCUAAAUUGAAUUUUUGUUUUACUUAGGAGUUUGUCUUAAAUUAAAAUAUUAAUUCAAUUUAAUUAGAGUUGCACUCUAAUCUUAUGUUAAUUAAAAUUUGAUUUUAAUUAAUAUUACUUCCCCCAUACAAAUAUUGAAAUUAGAGUAGGGCUUUAACUUAAUAAUUACUUAAAAUUUGAUUUUAAUUAAAUUAUCACACUCUAAAUUUUUAUAGAAUUAGAGUUGGACUCUAAUAAGGAAUUUAAUUAAAAAUUGAUUUUAAUUAAAUAACUUCCCCCUAUAAUCAUGGAAUUAGAGUUGGACUCUAAUUCGAAAUUUAAUUAAAAUUUGAUUUUAAUUAAAUAUGCCUGCCAAUUAAGUUAAUUAGUUAAUAUGAUUAACUAAUUAUUUAAUUAUUUCGAUCCAUUUAUUUAAAUGAGUUUUGACGACUAUAAUUGUUAGAUUUCUGAGACAUUGCAUGUAAUAUUAAAUAUUAUAUAGGAAACAUUUAUGUGAUGAAUGUCUAUUUCUAGAUGAUUAUGGACUCGAUCAUAUGGAUGUGUUAAAUGGUUGAUUUAGUUCUUGUCGUUUUACAGGUCUAGGAGCUCUCAAUUGUUUUGAAUUUGCGAGUCCGUUAGUAUUAUUAUUGUUAUGGGGCCUGCGAGCUCGUUAUUAUUUUUGGACUUGCAAGUCCGUUGUUGUUAUUAUUAUGGCCAUGCGAGUCCAAUUUCAUUUGGGUCUGCGUGCCAACUAGUAUGGGAUACAUGUUACAGCUAGACUAAUUGAAGGGGCAAGAAAAUGAGAAGACCAUGUAGAUGGUGCAUUGAUAUUGAUUCGAUGCUAUACUUCCUAGGAAUUGACCAACUAGUUUUCCUCUUGGCUCGGGAAAAUUAGGUAGAAUAAGUACAUAAUCAUCCAUACUAUUAUAUGUAUAUUUAUUUGCAUAGUUGAUGCAUGAUUAUAUGUAUGAGACCAUUGCAUGUUAAAUCCCUCGUUAAAAUAUUAAGUUGGUAUUAUUUUCUUUCCGUCAUUAUAGUGAAAAAUGAGAAUCCUAAAUCGAUCUUAACUUGUUGAGUACUCUCAAGUCUGAUCUAUUAGGGAUAUGUUUGACACUAUGAAAUAUUUGAUAUUUCUGAAUGAUUGACUUAACUAAAAUUUAUCGUUUGUUGAGUACACUCAUUUUAGUGGCAUGUUUGUCGGCUUAAUAAUUUGGGAGUUGUAUGGAGAUACAAUUGAUAAUAGUAAAUGUUUUAUUAAAAUUUGUUAAGUACACUCAAGAUCUUGAUGUAACAGAUGAGAUCUUAGCCUACUGGGAAUCAGAUGUGGAUUCCAUUCAUUUAUGUAUGAGGGCAUGAAUUCAUUUUAAACAUUGGGAGCACGUUUAAUAAAAUUCCAUAUUAAAUUUGUGCAAUGCAUUACAAUACAUAUUGAUUCUUUAUUUUUCGUCAUUUACAGUUUUCGAAUCAUGAGUAAUCAUAUGAAUUUGAGAGGCAUACUGGAUGCCAACAAACUGACCAAACCAAAUUUUCUCGAUUGGCACUGCAAUUUGAGAAUCAUUCUCAAGCAUGAGAAAAUUGGGUAUGUCCUUGAGCAGCUCCUUCUAGGGUUAUCUACUGAAAACUCCAUUAAGAAAGAGGUGGCUGCUUACAACAAACACAGUGAUGGCAAUAACACUAUAGCAUGUGUGAUACUUGUAGCUAUAUCACCUGAGUUGCAGAAGUAACAUGACGAUAUGGAUGCCUACACUAGGAUUUUUCAUCUCAAGGAGUUGUAUGAUGAACAAUCACGUGUGGAGAGGUAUGAGACCUUCAAGCAUCUUUACCGGUGCAAAAUAGCAGAGAGAUCUUCAGUUAGUGCUCAUGUGUUGAAGAUGAUUGGUUUCAUUGAGAAAUUGGCUCAAUUAUGUUUUAUCAUGGAUCACGAACUAAGUAUUGACUUGGUUCUACAAUCUCUACUAGAGAGUUAUUUACAGUUCAUCACGAACUUCAAUAUGAAUAAGAUCGAAUGCACACUCACUGAGUUGUUUAAUCUGUUUAAAAUUGCGGAUCCCAAUGUCAAUGCUAGCACUGGGCAUGUCUUAGCCAUUCAAUCCUCCAAGAGCACUAAGACGAAGAUCAAAAGAAGUUUUAAGAAAACAUCCAAGAAGGCUAAGGGCAAUAAUAAAGUAGUUAAAGCAAGCGAGGAAAAUACUAUGUCCGAUGACCCGUGCUAUCACUGUGGAAUGAAAGGUCAUUGGAAGAGGAACUGCAAAGCUUACCUCGCAAGCUUGAAGGGAAAGAAGUCUAUUUUAGGUAUUUUUGUUAUCGAGGCUAAUAUGUCUACUUCAUUAGCGUCUUGGGUAUUAGAUAUCGAAUGUGGCUCUCAUAUUUGUAUAAAUAUACAGGGCCUAAAGAGAAGUAGACCACUAUAGAAAAGAAAAGUUAGCCUGCGAGUGGGAAAUGGAGCAAGAAUUGUUGCAUUAGUUGUAGGAACAUACUUUUUACCAUUACCUUCGGGCUUAGUAUUAGAAUUGGAAAAUUGCUAUUUUGUUGCCUCCAUUACUAAAAAUAUUGAUAUGAAUAGUUUUUCAAUUAAUGCUAAGAACAAUCGUUGUUCAUUUUAUAAAGAUGAGAUAUUUUAUGGUUGUGGUGUGUUAUAAAAUGUAAUUUAUAUUCUUGAUACUGAGUAAUCUAUAUGAGGAUAAAAAAUAAAAGGCAUAAAAGUGAUAAUCUAAAUAGUACCUAUCUUUGGUAUUGCAGAUUUGGUCAUAAGAAUGACAAACGCAUUUCCAAGUUACAUAAAGAUGGAUACUUAGGGUCAACUGAUUUUGAAUCAUUUGACAAAUGCGAGUCAUGCCUAUUAGGCAAAAUGACCAAAUUUCCUUUUACUGAAAAAGGAGAAAGAGCUGUAGAACUAUUGGGAUUAAUACAUAGUGAUGUAUGUGGACCCAUGUCAAUCACCGCUAGAGGUGAUUUCUCUUACUUAAUCACAUUCACUGAUGAUCAUUCUAGUAUGGUUUGUAUAUCUGAUGAAAUUCAAGCAUGAAGCAUUUGAAAAGUUCAAGGAAUUCAAACUUGAAGUGGAGAAACAGACAAGUAAAAAUAUUCUCACGCUGAUAUCAGAUUGAGGUGGCGAAUGCUUAAAGGGAAAAUUUUUAGAUUAUCUAAAAGUGAAUGGGAUUUUCUCGCACUGGACUCCACCAUAUACACCGCAACAUAAUGGUGUAUCUGAACGGAAGAAUCGCACAUUGUUAGACAUGGUGCAAUCAAUGAUGAGCCAUGCAAACAUUCCAAAAUCGUUUGAGGUUAUGCACUAAUUGCUAUGUGCUAUAUAUUGAAUUAUAUCCCGUCUAAAUCGGUCAACAAAACUUCAUACGAGUUAUGGAGAGAAAAAAGACCCAACUUAUCUCACAUAAAAGUUUGGGGCUAUGACACUUAUGUGAAGCGAAAUGAAUCAGAUAAGCUUGAACUUAAAUUUGAUAAAUGUAUAUUUGUGGGAUAUCGAAAGGAGACAAUUGGAUAUCAGUUCUAUAAUCCUAUUGAGAAGAAGGUGUUCAUUUUAAGACAUGUCAUAUUCUUAGAGAAAGUGUUUAUUCUAGGAAAGGGUAGUGGAAGCAAGAUAGAACUUGAACAAGUUCAAGAAUCCAUAGAUACUGUUGACCAAUUAGAUUAACUUGAGUCUGAUCCCACACUUGCUGAUGGACAGACUUUUGAUCAAGAUAUAGAAACUCCUAAAGGUACUCUAGCUUAGCGAAAUCAAGUAGGAUCAUUCGACCUCACAGAAGAUACGAAUUCACGAUUACUAAUCAAGUAUUAUUAGUCGAGGAUGAUGAACCUACAAAUUAUGCAGAAGCGAAGUUAAGUGUUGACUCAAAGAGAUAGCAAGAUGUCAUGGAAUUCGAAAUGAACUCGAUGUAUGAGAACAAGGUUUAAACAUUGGUCGACCUUCCUUAUGGGAUAAAACCCAUAGGUUGUAAAUGGGUUUACAAGAAAAAAGGUCGACGUGGAUGAAAACGUCCAUACAUACAAAGCAAGACUAGUAACAAAAUGUUACACACAAAGACAAGGUGUUAACUUUGAUGAAACCUUUUUUGCCUGUAACCAUGCUGAAGUUCAUUCGAAUUUUACUUGCUGCAUAUCAUGAUUAUUAGAUAUGGCAAAUGGAUGUCAAAACUACUUUCCUUAAUGGAAACUUGCAAGAGGAAGUGUACAUGACACAGCCAGAAGGUUUUGAGUCCAAAGAAGUCAAUAAGGUAUGUAAGCUUAAUUGAUCCUUUUAUGGAUUAAAAUAAGCCUCAAGGAGCUUGAAUAUUCGUUUUGAUGAGACAAUCAAAAAGUUUGAUUUCAUCAAAAAUGAAGAUAAACCAUGUGUUUACAAAAAGACGAGUGGAAGUACGGUCGUAUUCCUAAUAUUAUAUGUUGAUGACAUAUUAUUAAUGGAAAACGAAUCUCAAUACUUCAAUCGGUAAAAUUGUGGUUGUCAAAGAAUUUCUCCAUGAAAGAUAUGGGAGAAGCAGCAUAUAUCUUGGAAAUCAAGAUCUAUAGAGAUAAAUAUAAAAUAUUGCUUAGCUUGUCCCAAUCUUUGUACAUAGACAAAAUCUUGAAAAGAUUUAACAUGGAAGAGUCCAAGAAAGGUUUGUGUCCCAUAUCACAUGGGAUUUGCCUCUCAAAAGAUAUGUGUCCUAAAACACAUGAUGAAAGGAAUCGCAUGGAUGAGAUUCCUUAUGCUUCAACGAUAGGAUCUAUCAUGUAUAUGAUGCUAUGUACGAGACUAGAUGUUUCAUAUGCUCUAAGUGUUAUGAGUAGGUUUCAAGCAAAUCGUGGUGAGAAACACUGGAUACCGGUUAAGAACAUUCUUAAGUACUUGGAAGGAUUAAAGAUGUGUUCUUAAUAUAUGGAAGAGAUGAACUAAAGAUUUAUGGGUAUACUAAUGCUAGCUUCCAAUCUGACAAAGAUGAUGGCAAGUCUCAAUUUGGAUAUAUGUUUACUCUCAACAAAGGAGCAGUUAGUUGGAAAAGUUCCAAAUAGGAGACUAUCGCUGAUUCAAUAACAGAAGCUCAGUUUAUUGUUGUUUCUGAAGCAGUAAAGGAAGCUGUCUGGAUCAUGAAGUUCAUUAAUGAACUAAGAGUUGUUUCUAGCAUUGUUGAUCCUAUUCUUUUGUAUUGUGAUAACAAUAGAGCCAUCGUACAAGCAAAGGAACCGAGAUCUCAUCAACGAUCCAAACAUGUGCUAAGGCGAUAUCAUCUCAUUAGGCAGAUUAUACAAAGAAAUGAUGUAAAGAUAGAGCGAGUUCCCACAGAUGAAAAUAUUACAGAUCUAUUGACAAAGCUGUUGUCACAACAGAAAUAUGAUCCUCUUGUGGAUACUUAUGGUACUAGAUACAUGAGUGAUUAGAUCUAGUGCAAGUGGAAUUUUGUAAGUAUUAUGCCCUAGAUCCAAUUGAUAUUGGUUGUAAACACUUUUAAUAUGUUUAAUACAAUUAUUUUUGGCAAGAUCUAUUAUUUAUUUAAAUUAAUAUUCUGAUGAAUAAUGUUAAAUAAUAGAGUUUGAAAAUUCAAGAUUCAGUAAUUUGUUAAUCAUAAGGAGUUGUAAUUGUGAGAUACAAAUUACAUAUGAUUGGAUCUUAAAUAAUCUAUGAUCGUAAGUAAUAACAAGAUACGGAUAUCGUUAUCACAGAUAGACCAUCACGUGUGACAUUUCUUACUAGUGAAAUAAGUAGCUGAUCUCACAAUUUAAAGUGUGGAGACACUUAAAUGAAUGCGUGGAUGUUUGUUAUAGAACAAAAUAUUGGAGACCCACUAAAUUUUUUUACAUGGAUAACUAUCUGAGUGCCAAUGGUUAAUCUCUAACAUUCGGUAGCGGAGUUGGUCUUUUAACUUGAGGUCGUCAUAGUACUUUGUAUGAAGAUAGUUAUAUUUUGACGAUGUUAGAUGUUGCUCUACCAAGGGCCGUUAAUACGGUAUCGUUCGGGUAUGUCAAGAAUCAUAUGAAGGUUGUGAAUAACUAAUAGAGGAUUUGUCACUCUUAGAUAGUAAGAGAUUAUGAUCUGUAUUUCAUUUAAUUAAAUCGAUAACAAAAUCCUUGGUCAAGGUAUACUCAAAAAUCGAAAAGGAGUUUUCGACUUAUAUAGACUUAAUAGUGGAAUGAAAGAUAUGAUCAAUGAUCGAGAUUGACACACACUUCCAUAUAUCGUAAUUGAUCAGAUAAUAUUGGCGAAGAUAUUAUAGUUUCACGGUAAACGAACAAAUUUUAUUUUGUCAUAUCACGUGACAUUUUUCAUCACAUGUAUUGCCCUAACACAUUGCUAGAUGUCAAUUUGGGAUGACGAGUAUGAACUGGUGAUAAAUUAAAAGAGUAUUUUAAUUUAUCUAUUUUGAUUAGAUCAAAAUAAUAUUUCACAUUAUUAGGCAUCAUGAUCGGGAACCUGAUGUGUAGCACAUAAAAAGAGAAUUGGAAUAUUGUAAUUUGUCAAUUAAUUAAUUCAACAAUCAUUGGAUAAAUUAAUUAAUUGGAUUGGUUAUUUAUAUACCCGAGCUAAUUGAUUGGAUUAAUUAAUUUACGGAUCGAAUUUAAAUAAAUGGAUUAAUUAAAUAAUAGAUCGGGUCAGGCAAAGCCCGUUUGGGCUUCUAUAAAUACAUGACUAGGGUUUUCAAUUUAUAGAGAUUCUCAUAAUUCUUGCUAUCAUAAGAGGAGAAAAUCCUAUGGCUACAAUCUAUUCUCUGUGUGAAUUUCUAUUGAAGGCUGGACAAUUAAACAGCUGUGGAUGACAGAUCAAGGCUGCUGGAACAAGGAAAAAGUAAAGGAGUUUGCAGCUAUUGAAAAGGUAUAACUUUUAUCACAAUUCCUAUCUAAAUACAAAGAUGAUUUCGAGUGGAAAUUGAAAUUUGUUUUUUAAUUUCGCUAUGCAAAAUAAGUAAAUUCCCAACACUUCUAAAGUGAAUUAGCUAGACCUUUUAUUCCUCAUAAUUAACUAAAAUAUAAUUGUGUUAAAAUGUUAAAUGCGUACUUCCACUUACUUGACCAGGAUAUAUUGGCCCACGAAGAGCAAGAGCGUCAAAGAUUAAAAGAAGAAGUGAAAAAGUUGCUAGCGGCUGCCCCAGAUGAUUCAUUGUAUAAACUAGACCUCAUCGAUGCAAUCCAACGUCUUAGAGUCAGUUACCAUUUUGAAAAAGAAAUUGAAAAAUCUUUAAAAUACAUCUAUGAAACUUAUCAUGAAAGUCGCAGUAAACAAGACAAUGAUCUUCGUACAAUUGCUCUUCGAUUUCGAUUACUCAAACGACAAGGAUAUUAUGUCUCAUGUGGUAAGUAAUUUUUGUUUUCAUGAUUCGUUACAUGUUCGGAAAUUAAAUUGAUACAGUACAUGAAAAGAUAAUGUUCUCUAAAUAUGAACUUACACCUUACACAUUUAAGGGUACAUUUCAUAUUUUUUACGGGCUGAGGCAGAUGUGUUCAACAAAUUCAAGGACUGCCAAGGAGAAUUUGAAAAUUCUUUGAUUAGUGAUAUAUGGGGCUGUUAAGCUUGUACGAGGCUGAAAACUUUGUAGCACACGGGGAGGAAAUUCUAGAAGAAGCAUUGAAGUUUUCUGCCACUCACCUCAGAUCCACGAUCCACCAGGCGAGUAAUUCUCUCUCCGGACAAGUUAGUGACGCCUUGGAGAUGCAAAUUCAUAAAACUUUGACAAGGCUCGAAGUUAAGGAAUUCUUAUCCAUUUACCAAAAAUCAGGUGAAGACGUGCUCCUGAAUUUUGCAAAAUUAGACUUCAACAUAGUGCAAAAGAUCCACCAGAAGGAGUUCAGUGACAUUACAAGGUUAGUUUGUUGUGUGAAGCUUUACUACUUGCACUUAUAUAUCUGAAAAAUUGUUAAAAUUUUACUUUUGAAUAUAAAUUGCAGGUGGUGGAAGGCUUUAGAGUUUGGGAAAAAUUGUCUUUUGCAAGAGAUAGGCUGGUGGAGUACCGCUUUUGGAUAUUGUGUGUCUACUUUGAGCCCCAGUACUAUCUUGCAAGGAAAAUUCUAACGCAAGUAAUCGCCAUGACUUCUAUAAUUGACGACAUCUAUGAUGUUUAUGGGACCCUGGACGAACUUGAACAUUUCACAGAUGCAAUUGAAAGGUGAAUUAUUCUUUGUAUCUUAAUAGUUAAUAGCACAUUAUUUAUAUUGCAAUAUAUAGUCAAACAGAUUCAGAAUUGAUAUUGAAUAUUUUUGUGAACAGGUGGGAUUUUAGUGCCAUGGAUCAGUUACUAUCAUACAUGAAACAUUUUUACAAAUCUCUUCUAGAUGUUUAUCUCGUAGGUCAGAAAGAGUUAGAAAAGAUAGGAAAAUCGUAUAGUGUUCAGUACGCGAUUGAUGAGGUAAACAAUAUUGAUAAAGUAGCUUAACUUUUAUCAAAAUUACAUCCUAUAUAUCUAGUCAAAGUUUCAAUUUACAGAUGAAAAAAUUAGUCCGAGCAUAUUUCAAAGAGGCAAAAUGGAUACACAAUGGAUAUGCUCCAACACUAGAAGAUUAUAUUAAAGUCAUACUAGUAUCUAGUGCUUACAUGAUGCUAUCUACAACAUCUUUAGUAGGUAUGGGAGAACUGGUCACUAAGGAAGCCUUCAAUUGAAUUUCAAGUGAACCAUUAUUCGUACGUGCUUCAUCAAUAAUCUGUAGACUAAUGGAUGACAUGGUGGGAUAUGAGGUAAGAAGUUUGAAUUCUUAGUUGACUUUAUUCUACAUUACACAUGUUCAUCGCACAGGUUUUUUGUUCUCAUGGCAAACAACAUAUGAGAAAAAUGUAAUAGCCUGCUUAGUGUUAGAUUAAAAAGUUUUGUGUUGAGUUACUUGUCUGCAGUACGAGCAAAAAAUAGCGACAAUUUGAAUGUUAUAUGAAAGAGACGGGGCCUUCAAAAGAAGAUGCAUUUGCUGUAUUUCAAACACAAGUCAUGAAUGCAUGGAAGGAUAUAAACCAAGAAUGCCUUAGUUCAAAUGCAGUACCAAUGGCUGUUCUCGUACGAGUAGUCGAUCUUACACGUGUCAUCAAUCUUCUAUACAAAGAUUGUGAUGGAAACUCAAAUUCUACAACAAAGUUAAAAGAUUUCAUAACAUUGACACUCAUACAACCAGUGACAAUAUCCAAUUGAACGUAGUAACUGCGUGGGCUACUUUCAUUUUAAUGUAUCACCAUAUUAUCAUCCAUAUUUAGUGCCGUGUUGUCAAAUUCUACAACACAAUUAGGUCUUGGUUAAGGUUAUGCAAUCAUUGAAUUUCCUUGUAUGUAAGUGAAUGUUAUAUCUACUGGAAAGACCUUUGAGUAGUUAAAAACUUUGUAUUGGUCUUGUCUGAUGUUCUCAAUAAUGAUAUUAAAGAUUAAAGUUUUUUACAACCCCAAACAACUCAUAACUAUCUAAUACUAUAUACCAAACCAAAUUUCGUCCCAAAAGAAUGUUGAGCCAUUAUUCAUUGAAGAGGACAUCCCGUUAAAGAUUAAAUAUUGAUUCUAUAUUUCUCGUCUCAACGAGAAGAUAUAUACAACGAAACACCAAAAGAUAAAAAAACACCAAUAAACCUCUACCAAAUAUCUUUUAGAGUUUUAUACAUCCAGAGAAGUGAUUGGGGUUAUCGUUUGUGAAGAAUGAGUUCGUUCUUGAUGAUACACUUGGAGAAAAGAAGUCCAGAGAUUCUAGAGUUGGUGCUAGAGAAUACAAUCAAGGAGUUCUUGGGUGAUUACAUGUUGGGGUUUAGAGUUUACUGGGGUUUAGUUGUGUCUAGACCUACUGUAAGUGACUAAGUUCAAUAUUUUCUAGUGAAUUAUUUACUGGCACAUGUGCCUGGAUGUUUUUUCUCUUGAAGAGUUCUCCAAAAUUUUUCCUUCGUAAAUAAUUAUUGGUGUUCUUUAUUUUAUAGCUUCGAUAUUUAUGCUUGAUUGAUUACUAGGGUUUAAAUUGGGUAAAACCUAGUUUAUUACAGUAGUCAUAUCAUUAAGAAUAAUUUGUAUAACUGUAGUUCAAUUUCCAAAUGUUAUAAGCCCAUAUACUAUCUCAUACUUAAUUGAUAUGGGAUUUUCGUUGCACUUUCCCAAUAAUUUGAACCCACCUGUUGACUUCAUAUGCUCCAUUACAAUUUGUCCCAUCUGGAAAUAUUGUUAGCAUGCAUCAUGUUUUUAGGUACUUAAUUAGUGACACGCACAAAAAAAAAAAAAAAAAAAAAAAAAAAAAAAAAAAAAAAAAAAAAAAAAAAAAAAAAGAAAAGAAAAGAAAAGAAAAGAAGAAGAAGAAGAAGGAGCUUUUCACACAUCACGGUAUUUUUUUUUAUUUUUUUUUUGUGCAUAUUAUUGAUUUGAAUCCCCUUGAUUGAUUUUGUACUUUACUUGUUAUAAUUUAUAAUUCAAUACUUAGUAUAUAAAUUUUGUUUCAAUUAGUAGGUUAAAAACACGUAAAUUCUUCGUUUCAAAUCCAACUAAAAGGAUUCUUGUCAAUUUUGCAAUUUGAAUGCAAGAUUCAACUAGUGUGCAAUAAAAUAACGCUUGAUUAUUUUAAUUACAUAGGCUUGUUAAGUUUUGAAAUCUAAUUAUUGUUGUUGUACAGAAUCAGUAUGAGAAUCAACCUUCACGGCGAGGUCAUUGUCGGGUUAGAAGGCGCUGGAAGCCCCCUCCCAGGAUGUCUGGGUAGAGUUUUCGGACCAAAAUUUCAUUAAGGAUGGUUUAGAAAUUUACACUUGUAAUUUAGAUUUUAUUCUAGUUUUAUCUAUAAGUAGAGAACUAUCAUUAGAGUUUUGUAAUCAUCAUCAAAAGAAAGAUAUUAGAGAAAAAUAGGGUAUGCGAUAUUUCUCUUAUACACUUCUUUUCAUUAAAGUGAAUCAUCGGUAGAAGAGAAUGUAGUCUCACGUUAAAAUUGACCUCUAUAAAUUUUACGUGUUCUUGUGUCUAUUUUCUUUCUACAAUUUUAUUUCUCUCGAUGAUGUAGAAUUAAAAUUUCUAAUUAUCAAUUAUUGUAACUUUUUAUCAAUUGUUUUUAACGAUCGAAAAGCAGAUAACUGAUAUGUGGCCAAGACUUUCUAGGCCUACAUAUCUUAGUCUUCAAAUUAAAAACGGGCAUACAGUUGAGCUUUGUCCUUUUGGAUAAUGGAAAGCAAAUACAUUUUCAUUUUGCGGUGUUUUUGUUGCACAAUGGUACUGGUGGUCCAUCUACCUAAAUGUUUCAAUUUACUUGUGGGAUACUGAAGAAAAAAAUAUCCACAUUGCAAUAAAAUAUAAAUUGUGUCUUGCAUAUAACAAAUAUUUUAAGCUUUAAAACACUUGGACAGGAAAUACUUUCUCAUAAAGAACAAGAAAAAGACUACGAGAAGAGGUAAAUAAUUUGUCGCAGGAAAUGUUAAAUCAAAUAAGCACUAUGGGUUUCCUAACUUUAAACCAAAUAAUCACUAUGACUUCCCUAUGAUAUUUAUGGUAUCCUCGAUGAAUUUUCACUUUUCUCAAAUGCAAUUACAAAAUAAAACCAUGUAUUCUCUUGUGCAGCUCAUUCUUUUGUAUUGAUAUCGUUAGAAUAUUUAUUUAUUUCUACUAAUAUUUUUCUCGAAUUAGUAGAAAGUUUUGUGUGUCCUUAAAUAAAAAUGUAGUGGAAGUAGCAUUAAUAUCUUUAGCACUUUCAAAUUCUUCUUUUCUUUUCUCGUUGUAUUGUUUCGGAAAUAGAAUUAUAUUUUUCUUUCAAAUUUCGUACCGUAGAAUUAUAAUUUAAAAAGUAGAAUUAUACCGUCCAACUUCAUCAAAUAUUUUUCUUUUUCAUCGAUCAUAUAUUUUUUAAUAAAAUAAUAUGAAAUGUAAAUUUAAAAAAAAAAAAAUAUAUAUAUAUAUAUAUAUAUAUUUAUUUAUUUAUUUUUAAUCACAUAUUUUUAUGGAAUUUAUUAUUUCUUUCAUUAUAAUUUAAAAUAAUGAAACCCAGUAAUGUAAAGUCCCCGUCUGGUCCCCAUUGGAAACCAUUUUCAACUUUUUCAAACAAGCUGGAGCCCCAUGUCUGAAUAAUAGCAGACAGUACAGUUAUGUGGUUCAGAUGGGUUAAUUCGUAAAAUGACAUUUAUGCCCCUAGUUUUGCCACCGGUUGAUUGAUGGUAGGGGUAAGAAUGACAUUGCACAAGUAAAAUGAAGGGUAUAUAGGUCAAUGGGUUCCAACGAUUUAGUGGAUUUUUUUGGAUUCUCUGGCAUUUGAAUGAUAUGAACGGAAGUGGAUACAGUUGUGUCCACCAUGUUGAGUUGAACAAUGAAACAAAAUGUGAAAUAACGAGAGUUAAUGGGUGCCAAAGGGGGCCCAGCUACCAUGUGAUAUUUUGUCACUAUUAAUUACGACAUUUCUUUUUUCCUUUAGCAUUGUUUUCUUCCUAACACAGGAUGGUAUAAUUCUACGGUAGGAAAUAGCACUUGCAUUAAUACGGUAGGAAAUAGCUUAGGGGGUAAGGCAAAGAGGCCUCCAACCCCUCUUGUAUUUGACUUGUUUAUUUAUAAGACGCGGUCAGAGUCGAAAUUCACAUUGGAUCUGGGUGGAGACCUAGAAAUGCUGUCUAGGCUUUAAUAGUACUUUGAUUAAACAAUAAAAUAAAUGGAUAACAACAGCAACAAUUGAACUCAACACCAUUUGCAUCCUUAUAUAUUAGGUUGAACUAUCACAUUUAAAAGCUUAAAUUAUUCAAAAUUAGUCUCAUUUAUUUAACUUAAUUAAGUUUUCAACGACAUUUUAGCUUGUUUGAUAUCCAUUUUUUUAAAAAUAUAUUUUCUUUUUUUUCUUUUCAACCACUCGUUUUUCAAUAAAAUAAUAUUACCGCAACCCAAAAACUUUUUUUUUCAUUUUUAACCACACAUUUUCCAUCAAUCUACUAUUCCAAAAUGCAUUUUACACUAAAAAUGGGUCUCGAACAUAAUGUCAAAACUUUAGAAGUGUACCUCAGGUCCUGUUUGAGCAGCAUUCUUUUAAAAAAUACAUUUUCAAACAGUGAUUUGACAUCGUUUUAGCCAAAAAUUCUUCAAUAAAAUAAUAUUAUACGCAAAUCCAAAUUUUUUUUUCAUUUUUUAACCACACAUUCUCCAUCAAUCUAUUAUUUCAAAAUAUAUUCUUUCAAAAUAAUAUGCCUCAAACACACACUGAUUAUGCCUCAUCCCCAAAUUUCAAGACUAAAAAAAAAAAAAGCAAAGCCUACACAGUUUUCAAUACGAUACUCAUGUCCACCCGCCAUUGCACUUAAAUGUUACUAAGGGAAAGAGUAACCCCCCCCCCCCCCCCCACCCNNNNNNNNNNNNNNNNNNNNNNNNNNNNNNNNNNNNNNNNNNNNNNNNNNNNNNNNNNNNUGAUAGAAGUGAUAUUAGAGAAAACUAAUAUAUGUAUGCAUACCCCCAUAUGUAACGAUCCAGGUCUUGUGUCCAAUCCGUUGUAUCAUAUGUACUAUCCGCUCUCUCACUUAGGGGUGUUUGAGAGUCAUUUUUAUGUAAAAAUGCAAUUUAGAAUAGUAAUUUGAUGGGAAGUGUGUGGUUGAAAAAUAAGGAAAUUUUUUUGAUUUACGUGUAAUAUUAUUUUAACAAAGAAUGUGCGAUUGAAAAGAAGAGAGAAAAAAAUGCAUUUUGAAAAAAAUAGGUACCAAACGGGGGCUUAAUUUGAAAUGUUAAGAGUUCGAAUCAUGAGAUGAGAUAGAAAUUCUGAAGGGUAAAUGGGCUCAAACUCUUUUAAAGCAAAUAGUACGUAUAAUAUAAAAAUUUAGACACGAGGCCUGAGUCAUUAAAAAAAAGGCUUGUUUCUUUGUAAUAACUCGGCCAUUGUACCCGUACCCAAGCCGUUAACUAAUGAACUAUUCAUUCUGGGAGAAUUAGAGUUCAUCUUACCCCUUACGAAUUUCUGUUGCAUCCUCAUGAUUCAAACCCUUGACUUUACCAUAAGAAUGACUUAAGUUAAAUUCAGUUACUAAAUAGAAAAGUGUGCUUAAAUUCAAAAUACAAAUUCUAGAAAUUGUAUUCUUGGCAACUGAGUAAUUUGGAUGUGGGUUCCAGCUAGAAUGCGAUAGCAAAAACAUGCUUCAUCAUGCAAAUUUGAUUUUUAUAUUUAAAUCAUGAGACAUUUGAGCAUCAUCAAUUUUGAAAGUAGCAAAGCAAAUAAUUUUUUGUUGUACAGACAAUGAUGUAUAGCCGUGUUUGUUUUUCAAUUGGAACUAGCUGUCCAAUCCAUCUGACUAAGUGCUAAAAUUUACUGCGAGUGAUAUUCAAAGAUUUUUUAACAUUGCACUAAAAUAUAUACAAUCACAAUUGAAAUAUCUAAUUCCUAUUGAACAUGUUAUAUUUGCUGUCAAAAAUAUUUUUCACUAUAUGCAAAUGGGAAAAGAAAAAAAAAAAGAAAAAGGAAAUUAGUUUCUGUAUAUUUUGAAGAAGUUAAAUGGGUGUAGAUACGGCUGGAAUCCGACACUGAAGGAGUAAAUUAAUAGCGUUCUAGCAGUUCUAUGUUGUAUUUUUCAUUUAUUAACGGUUAAAAAAAUUUUAGUUCAAUAUUUUUUUGGCAUUUUAUACAAAUGGAUUUAUAAAUUUUCAAUAUUUCAAAGGAAGUAAUGAAAACGUGGUCUACAUUGUCUUGGCCUACGUUCUCCUGAAAUCCUAGGACUAUAAAUACCCUUCAAACGAACUUGUAAAUUCAAACAAGACCAUUGAAGAGAGAAGCAUUUCUUUGAUUUUCUGCCCAAAUUUCAAGAGUGAAAUACAGAAAUGGAUAUCCAAAUCCAUGCAUCUGCUGCUCCAUUUUCCACCAAAAAUACGAGCAUUCAGGAUACUCGUCGCUCUGUCACAUAUCAUCCUACCAUUUGGGGAGAUUAUUUCCUUGCGUAUACUUCUAAUGUGAAUUAGCUAGAGCUUUUGUUCCUCGUUAAUUAACUGAAAUAUAAUUGUGUUAAAAUGUUAAAUGCAUGCUUCCUCUUACUUGAGCAGGAUAUAUUGGCCCAUGAAGAGCAAGAGCGUCAAAGCUUAAAAGAAGAAGUAAAAAAGUUGCUAACGGCCGCCCAAGAUGAUUCAUUGUAUAAACUAGACCUCAUCGAUGCAAUCCAAUGUCUUGGAGUUGGUUAUCAUUUUGAAAAAGAAAUUGAAAAAUCUUUAAAACACAUCUAUGGAACUUAUCAUGAAAGCCACAAUGAACAAAACAAUGAUGUUCGUACCGUUGCUCUUCGAUUUCGAUUACUCAGACAACGAGGAUAUUACGUCCCAUGUGGUAAUUAAUUUUUGUUUUCAUGAUUCAUUACACGUUGGGAAAUUAAAUUGACAUAGUACAUGAAAAGAUUAUGUUCUCUAAAUAUGAACUUGCACCUUACACAUUUAAGGGUAUAUUACAUAUUUUUUACGGAUGAGGCAGAUGUGUUCAACAAAUUGGACUGCCAAGGAAAAUUUGAGGAUUCUUUGAUUAAUGAUGUACCCGGGCUGUUAAGCUUGUACGAGGCUGCACACUUUGGAGCACACGGGGAGGAAAUUCUAGAAGAAGCAUUGAAGUUUUCUGCCACUCACCUCAGAUCCAUGAUCCACCAGGUGAGCAAUUCUCUCUCUAGACAAGUAAGUGACGCGCUGGAGAUGCCAAUUCACAAAACUUUGACAAGGCUCGGUGUUAAGAAAUUCUUAUUCAUUUACCAAGAAUCCGGUGAAGACAUGCUCCUGAAUUUUGCAAAAUUAGACUUCAACAUAGUGCAGAAGAUGCAUCAGAAGGAGCUAAGUGACAUUACACGGUUAGUUUGUUUUGUGAAGCUUCACUCUGUAUAUAUGCACUUAUAUAUUGGUAAAAUUUAUUUACUUUCGGAUGUGAAUUGCAGGUGGUGGAAGGCUUUAGAGUUUGAAAAAAAAUUGCCUUUUGCAAGAGAUAGGCUGGUGGAAUGCUACUUUUGGAUAUUAUGUGUCUACUUUGAGCCCCAAUACUCUCUUGCAAGGAAAAUUCUAACCAAAGUAAUCGCCUUGACUUCUAUUAUUGAUGACAUCUAUGAUGUUUAUGGCACCCUAGAUGAACUUCAACUUUUUACAAAUGCCAUUGAAAUGUGAGUUCUGAGUUGUUCUUUGUAUCGUAAUAUCUAAUAGCAUAUUUAUUUACAGCAAAAUAUAUAAUUCAAAUAGAUCCCAAUUUGAUAUUGAAUAUUUUCGUGAGCAGGUGGGAUUUUAGUGCUGGAGAUCAAUUACCAUCAUACAUGCACUACUUUCACAAAUCUCUUUUAGAUGUUUAUCGUGAAGCUGAGAAAGAUUUAGGAAAGAUAGGAAAAUCGUAUCGUGUUCACUACUCGAUUGAUGAGGUAAUCAAUAUUAAUAAAGUUGCUAGAAUUUUAAGCACGGUUACAUCCAAUUAAUAGUAUCUAAUCACAAUUUCAAUUUAUAGAUGAAAAAAUUAGUCCGUGCAUAUUUCGAAGAGGCAAAAUGGACGUACAACAGAUAUACUCCAACACUUGAAGAGUAUAUGAAAGUCGCAUUGGUAUCUAGUGCUUACAUGAUGCUAUCUACGACAUCUUUGGUAGGUAUGGGAGAACUGGUAACUAAGGAAGCCUUUGAUUGGAUUUCAAGUGAACCAUUAUUAGUUCGUGCUUCAUCAAUAAUUUGUAGACUAAUGGACGAUAUGGUUGGUCAUGGGGUAAGAAGUUUGAAUUCUUAUAAAUUGAUUUUCUUUAAAUUACACAAGUUCAUCACAUGGUUUUUUUUUUUUUUGCCGUCAACAUAUGAGAAAAAUAUAAUAGCCUGCUUAGCAUUAGAUUAACAAGUUUUGGGUUGUGUUACUUUUAUGCAGUUUGAGCAAAAAAUAACGGCUGUUGAAUGUUACAUAAAAGAGAGAGGCUUCAAAAGAAGAUGCAUUUGCUGUAUUUCAAACGCAAGUCAUGAACGCGUGGAAGGUUAUAAACCAAGAAUGCCUUAAUUCAGAUGCAGUACCAAUGGCUGUUCUGUUACGAGUAGUCAAUCUUACACGUUUCAUCAAUCUUCUAUACAAAGACAGUGAUGAAUACACAAAUUCUAAAACAAAGUUAAAAGAUUUCAUAACGGCUAUACUCAUCCAACCAGUGCCAAUAUCCAACUGAACAUAGUUGUGGUGCGGACUUUCAUUUUAAUGUAUCAUCUUGUUGUCAUCCAUAUUUAGUGUUGUCUUCUCAAAUUCUACGACUCAAUUAGGUCUUAAUUAAAGUUGUCCAAACGUUGAAUUUUCUCGUAUGUAAUCAAACGUUAUAUCUACUGGAAAGCUCUUUGAGUAGUUAAAAACUUUGUAUUUGUUUUGUUCGAUGUUCUAAAUAAUGAUAUUAAUGUUGAAAUUUUCUUACGAAUAAUUAGAACUGGAAUCUAUCUUACAAUUCAUUGAUAUUCAACUACUUAUAUAACAAAUACAGGACAAAUCUUACAUGAAAAUCCAUGAUUCUACGAGCUAUAAAAGGCUGAAUCAAAUCUAUAAAUUGUUUGCUAUUUAUACAUAUUUGAGGCAGAUUUCUCCAGCAAUAUAUCAGCAAUAUUGAUUUUCUUGUGAUUGAUUGCUUCAUUGCCACCAGUAAAGGGAUCAUUGUCUUCAUCCUUUUUGAAUGCUUCAUUACCAAUAUUUUUGUGAUCAUUUCCUUGGAACUAACAAAGCGGAAUGGACAAGGAUAGCUUGCUUACUACUUUCUUGUCUCAUCCAACAUCUACAGUGGAGAAUUAGUUAUAGCGUAGGGGAGGAAAAAUAUGUGGUCUGAAAUUUAAGACAUUAGUUGGAGAAAGUAUAGACACUGAAUUUGACAUGCAAUACCAUGCACAUGGUCACAACACCAAGAUUGUUGUUAGUUUUUAUAUUGAAAUCACUGUUCAUUUUCUGUCCAAAUUCAAAGACUAAAAGUAAAUGAAUAUUUACAUUCCUUCAUGAUUUCCACAAAAUAUAUAUGGUAAAUGAGAAUACACGGUGCUCUGUCACAUAUCAUUCAACCGUUUCACAAUAUUUCAUUGCAUAUACUUUAGACCCCAUAAUAUAAUUAAUUAGUCCUUUAUCUGGAAAUAAUUCAUUGCUCUAGAUAUAAUAUUUAGGCAUUUAAUUUCUACAAAAACUGUAUUUUGAUGCACCACAAAUUUAUUUACAGCAGCAGUCCUAACGGUUAGUAUUUUAUGGAAAAUAAAUAUUCAAAAACAAAUAACAAAUUAGAAAAUUAUAGACACCCCUUGAGAAUAGUGAGUAUUACAGAUUCGUUCAGCCUCUACAUUUAAAAAUAAAAAAAAUUAAAAAAUUAAAAAAUUAAAAAAUUUAAAAAUUUAAAAAACCUCCAACAAGGUUUCAUUACAUAUUCGCCCGGUAAGCAAAAAAGCAAAUAUAUAUUUUUUGUUUAAUCCCUUUGCUUUGUACUAUUUUGAAAUUCUUAUUACAUACAAUUAAACUAUUUUUCCUUUAUAUUUCUUUUAAUUUCUUAAAAUACCUUACAUACUAUUAUUAGCCUUAGUUAAAAGAAUAUCAUUAUGAAUUGUGAUAAUAUCUUAAAAGAUUUUAAAAUACAAUUUACUUUCUAAAAACAUUAUAUGUUUUGGCUAAUAUGAUUGACGAAUAUUUAAAAAAUGAAAAUAAAAACAUGUUAUAGAAUAAUAUAAUAAAGAAAGAAAAUAAUUUUUAAAUAUUUUAUAUUUCUUGAUUUAGUAGCAUUUUCUAAAAUUUUUACUCAUUUAUACUCUUAAAAUUUAAACUACGUUUAGAAAAUCAAACUAAUAAUAUCAUAAUAAAGUUGGCAUUAAAGAUUUGUAGUUUCUUUUUAAGCCAAUAUUUUAGAUCUAUUUUUUAUUUAUUCAUUUUUAAAAUGAGAAAUUAAUUUUAAUUAGUGGUUUUUAUUACUUACUUUAACGAUAAGUAUAACUUUGUACUCAUUGAUCACGGCCAUAAGAAAAGGGACAUAUGCAAUGACUUUAAUUGAAUUGAUACUUAAUUUUUAUUGUAUAUAGAUUGAUUUAUGAGAAACUAGAUAUUGUAUUGCAUAUGAAGAAAUAGGGGCAGAAAUUGAAUGAUAAGGACUAAGAAUGAACAAAAUAUUGAAAAAAGAGGGAAAAUGAUAAGGACUAAGAAGAAACAAUUUGUGGAAAUUUGGGACUGAGGUAUAAAUAUUCGAUGAAGGACCAACAACGUAAAUAGGAAGUAACUUGAGCUGAAUUGAUAGGAAAACUUAGUGACUAACUUGAAUUGGAAGCAAAAAGGAUGCACCUUGCAAUCGCAAGACUCUACCUAUGCAAUCACAAGUUUCACCAAGUUCAAGAAUAUUAUCAUACGAUCACAAUCAACGUUACCCUGCUAUCGUGUUGAUUUCAAUCACGUGGUUUUACAAGGUAGCAAAGAUUUUAUUUCUUAAUUUAAAUCAAGUUCUACAUGGAAUGGGAUUGGAGCACAAAUUUCACCUAAUUCUAGGGGCUACAAAGACGAUUAUUCAUCGAGCAAAAGGGGAAGAGAGUUUUGGGGGAGACAAAAACAUACAUUCUAUACACUUUAACCAUCAAGAGCUUCUUGCAAUUACAUAUUCCCGGUUGUAAAUUCUCAAUUUAUUAUGUAUUUUUGUAAUUUAAACAUGAUAGGAUAAAUCUUUAGUAGUUCUCAAUUUAUUUUGUCCAAUGUUCUAAAUAAUGAUAUUAAUGUGUGGUUGAAAAUUUGAGACAUUAGUUUUGUCUUUAUGAUAGUUAGAAAGCAAGUAUAGCCAUUGAAUUUAAAAUGAAAUACCCUCCAUAAGGUCACAACAACACAUGUUAUUUUUAUUUUUAUUUUUAUUUUUUUAACUUGAAUAAACUAAAAUAAAUCACCAUCAACACAAACUUCCAUUUUUAAAAAAGUAAGAUUGACACUGUUUUUAUAUUAAAAACACAGUUCAUUUUCCGAUCUAAUUCUAAGACUAAAAGUAGGUAUUUAUAUUCAAAACACAGUUUAUUUUCUAUCCAAAUUCUAAGACUAAAAGUCAAUUAAAAGAAUAUGGAAUGAAUAUUUAAAUUUCUCCAUCGACUGCUCCCAUAAUUUCGACAAAUGUGGCAUUGAGAUUCCAUGGUGUUCUGUCACAUAUCAUUCAACCCUUUGAGGAUAUUUCCCUGCAUAUAAUUCAGACCUCACAAUAAAAUUAAUUAGUCCCCCUACCUUGAAAUAAGGCAUUGUUCUAGAUCUAGUAUUUAGGCAUUUAAUUAUUACAAAAACUUUAUUUUGAUGCACAACAAAUUUAUUUACAGCAGAUAGUAUUUGUUAGAACAAAAAUAUCCAAAAAAUUAAUUUAUUUGAAAGUAUAUAAAAAAAUUAGAAAAAUAUAGACAUCAAAGGUUAGUGACACUCCUUGUGAGCAAAAGCAAAUAUAUAUUUUUUGUUUUAUUUCUUCGCUUUGUACUAUUUUAAAAUUCUUAUUACAUAAACUUCAAACUUUUGAUUUAGAUGACAACAUGAUGUUUUAAUGAAAAGAAAUAUCAUUACAAAUUGUCAUAGUAUUUAAAGUCGUCGUAAAAUAUUAUUAUUUUAAAAUAUAUGUAUACACACACGUGCGCGCGUUUGGCAAAUAUGAUUGACAAGGAUUAACAAAUCAACAUAAAAACAUGCUACAAAAUAAUUUAAUGAAGUAGAUUAUUUUUUUAAUAUUUAUAUUUCUUGAUUAUGUAACAUUUUCUCUAAUAUUUACUCAUUUAUACUAUUUGACAUUUAGACUAUGUUUAGAAAAUUAAACUAAUAAUAGUGUUAUAAAGUUGGCAUCAAAAGAUUAAAGUUUAGAUCUCUUUUUAGUUUUUUUUUAGUGAAUAUUUUAGAUCAAUUUAAUUUAUUCAUUUGUAAAAAGAAAAUUCAAUUUUAACAAUAUAUUAUCAAGAUGAUGAGAGAGAGAGAGAGAGAGAGAGAGAAUAUUUAUUAUAAAGGGAGAGAAUUCUUUAAUAAUUAAAACAAGGGGAUGACCGUGUCUUUACUUUUUGUAAAUUUCGUGGGAGGUUUUUGGUAUUUACUUUAACGAAUAAGUAACAAUAUGUCUGGAAUUCCUAGGAGUGUAUCUCGACUGUGAUGACAACUGUGCCAAAAACAUUGGGUGAUAUAGGAUCUAGAACUGGGAAUAUACAGCUCGUGAGCUCUUAUGACUAUCACAAAUAGUGUUUGGUAGUCUCUGUUAUAUUCCUCUUUGUCCUUUAUACACGGUUUGUGGUGAUUUGAUUAACGCAAAUUUUCAUUUGCUUUCCUUCAAAAACAAAAAAAAUAAAAAAAAAUAAAAAAUGAGAUUAUCGUAAUGGUUAUGAGCAAGCUUCUUAAAGACAUAAGGUGUGCAAGGAGUCAAUAUCAACCCUCAAGCCUUACGAGUCUAGACGUAAUAAGUUGUUUUCUUGUUUUUAAUGUUAUUUUAAUUUUUCUAAGAUUAUUGAUAAUAUUUCUUUUUAUUCAAUUAGUUUAUGUAACUUAAACUAUUAAAAAAAUUAAAUAUAAAAUGUGCGUGGCUUGGCCUGAAUGAGUCGUGCCUUCUUCACUAAGCUCAACUAGACAUCACCAGCUUUUUCGACCUUUCAGAAUACUAAUUGUGAGGUAAAAUCACACAGAUUUCUACUAUGGGUACUCAAUCUAUUCUUCCACCUGCAAGUUGGUCUCAAAUUUUAACAAAUAACUUCUCAAUCUUUCAUUAGCAUUGCACACUAACUCUUAGUUCGAGAUGUCAAUAGGUGCAAGUUGUCAUCAAAUUGUUAGUUUGGUGCAUGCCUAUAAAUGGCAUUGCUCGCCUUUGAGGCAAGUCUUAGGGUGAGCCAAGUAGGGCUGCACAAAAAAAAUCGCAAAAUCGCAAAUCGAAUCGAAAUCGUUGAGUUGAAAUCGUUGGUUUGGGUCCACAUGGACCCGUGGUUUCUUUUCCCUCAAACCAAACCAAACCGUUUCAAAAUGAUUUGGUUUAGGUUUUGAUUUUCAAAAAUCGCACAAAACCGAACCGAACCAUUUUUAAAUUUUUUAAUUAAAAAUAAAUUUUAUUAACUUAAAAAUUUUAAUUUUUUUCAUUUUUUAAAACAAAAAAAUCAAUUUAGUAAUACGAAUUAUAACUAACCUAUUGAAAUAAUCAUAGAAAGUAAAUUAGGUUCAUCAUUAUUGGCCUAUGAUUUAAUAGGCUCACAACACAUAUCUUCACCCGAUAUCUAAGCUAAACUAAAAUUAUUCCAAAAUCAUAUGAAAUGAAAAAAAAAACAUAUAUUUUUAACAAUCCAAAUUAUAAUUCAACAAAACUAUGUCAACAAAUCACGUCCAAAGUUUCAGAAACCCUAAUAUAAACUCUCAUUUCCUAACAUUUGACAAUUGUUUGCCAGUGCUAAACGAAUCGCUAGUCGCCUUUGCCUGUUAGUUUACUCAUCUCUACCUGAAUCGUCUCUUUCUCUAUUCUCUUUUGGUAAGUCCUAGAUUUUUAUUUAAGUCAUUUGUCCAUUGUGCUUUCUUUUAUUUGUUUUAUUUGAAUUUAUUAUACACUUAUGAUUGCUGGUUUGGAUAGAAAAAUGAUUGUUUGUGUGCUUAGAUAAUUAAUGAACUUAUUUGUUAUUUAGAAAGAAUGAAGGACGAAGCGUAUUAAUUGUGAGAAAUUGUUAAAGUACCCUAAUUAGUACUACUGUCUUCUACUUUUAUAAAGUAGUUAGAUGAUGAAAUUUGUCAAUUCUCAAUAAGCCGAAACUCUAUCAAUCUUUGUACAUUUAAACAUAUCAUGUUCAAUCCUUAUUUAAUAUCUCACUAGCAAAAUGAAAAGAGUUUUAACCAAACUAUAAUAGCAGAAUGUAACUCUACUUUUACCAACCGUUAUAUGACAAUAUGAAUAUCAAGCAAGAAAAAGUAAAUAAAAAUGAAGAAAUAUGUAUUUGUUCUAUUAACAUCUUUUAGCAACCAAUUUUGAAAAUAAUUUAUUCACGAGUUUCAUGGUAAAUAUGAAUGUAAUUUAACAUUUAACGUUAUUAGUUCUCGUUUAAACUUAUAUUUAACUUAUGUUGAAUACAUUACUAUAAUGCCGAAAGGUAAAUCGCGAAUUAAAAUCGAAUCAAACCGCAAAUUAUGGUUUGGUUUGAAAAAUAAAAUGGUUUGAUUUGGUUUGGUUUGAAAAAAUUUCAAACCAUAUAAAAUGGUUUGAGUUGAAAAUAUAGCACAAAUCGUCCAAACCGAAAUGCGUUCACCCCUAGAGCCAAGUCAAGAACUUCCCAUGCAAGGGCUGCCUCAUUUUUGCAUUUCAUUAUUAUUAUUUAUUUAUUUUAUUUGUCUACAAAUGCUGCAAUUUCUCAAACAGUUUCUUCACACCCUUAUCCAUUGUUCAAAAUUUCAUAUACCACUCAAUAGUAUUAUAAAUUUGCAAUUAUUCUUACUGUUGUCAUUUGUUUGCAAUUAUUGCUUCUACUUCUCACUACUCCCCAGUCUCCUACCCUUUAUUGCCUUUUUUCUUCUAUUUUCUACAAAAUUUCUAAUGGAUUUUAGAGGAUGAACCCCAGUUAGGAUCUCCAAAUAAGUAUUUCUAAAUUUAAAACAAAAAAAAAAAACAAAAAAUAGGGGCAAAUAGUUUUGUUUGGUUUCAAACGUGUUUUAACUAUCAAAACCUAAACCUAAUAAUUAUUAUGUGGCACCUCAAUUUGAAGUCGAAGAAGUCGAAAUAUUAAUGGAUACACGUGGAACAAACCAACAGUUUCGUUGUGAUUUCUGUUUACGUAAAGGAUAAACCAUAAAGAUAUAUUUGAGCGACCACCAUUACAAUUAGUAUGUUGGGGAUUAUACGUAAAAUGAUCUUUGCAUUUAAGGUCAUUGAGUGUCUAUACACUAUAUUAAAUGUUAACAAUGGGUAAUUUUCCUAACAUUUUAAUUAAAUGUAGGUGAUUUUUAUUAUUUUUUUGUUUUUUUUUUUUUAAAGAGAGGUAUUUUUCAGUUUUUAAAGAAAAUAAGGCUUAUAGCAUUAUUAUCACUUAAGAAAAUACUCAAUUUGGACUCUUAAAAACUUCUUUCAAGUGACAGACUAGUGUGAAAUUCGUAAACGUGUACUAUCUUUUAUAAAUUUCAUGAAAAUUUUUCAUAUCUUCUAUAAAUUUUCUUUUAAGGGCUUCUAUAAACUUCAUUAGACUUUGAAAGACUACUACUUUAAGGGGGAGGGGGGACUUAUUGCAUAUUCAGCAAUAGUAAUAUAUUAUUCAUCCGUAUCAACUGAAAGAACAUUUACAAUGCUCGUUAGGGAGCUAUCAAGUCACACAUCACCCAGAAAUCGGGAGAGAGCAGCAGCAUUAACUUCCCUUCCCUUUGAAUUGAACAUUGGAGGUCAGCAAAUAAGGCUAUCAUUCCAAAUACAAUCAUCAUGAUCCUUAACAUAAUGACACAUUUAUUAUUGGACUGUUUUAAAUACAGCCAAUUUUUUCAUUCAAUCACAUCUUGCCAAUAUCGAUUAUGACAUUCUAUCUAUCAACCAUUUUCUGGUAAAGUGGUAUAACUUUGUUUCGAUCGUACAAUCAAUGGUGAAUCUAGGACGAAAGGUUAGCUAGGGCAGACAGUGAAUGUUGACUGUUGACAAUCAUCGACGGUAAUAGCGAUAUUGUUUAUUAAUUUUUAAUUAAAUAAUUUUAAAAAUUCUUCAAUAUAUAUGAAAAUGCACUAAAACGUAAAAAUUCUACACAUGGAAUAUAAUUCAAUACAACAUUUUUUAUUUACUUAUGAAAAUAUAAUUCUACACAUGGGUGAAUUGAGCUCAACAUCUUUUUAUUUACUUAUCUUACAUUUCCUAAACAUAAAUAUCCAAAUCACAAAUCAAAAUUCAUAAAUGAUAAAUUGUAACUCGUAAUUCAUACAACAUAAAUUAUUUAUCAUAGAUCACAGCUUGACAAUUACAAUUAUUUCUCUGUCAUUUUGUCAAUUAACUUAUAAAACAUAAAUCAUAGAUUCAUAAGAAAUUAAGAAUCAUGACACAUUUAUAAUAAAUCAGAUAAUGAAUUAUAUGAUUACUAAUUAUGCGAACUUGUGACGUGUCAACACAGAAAAAACCCAAAAAAAAAGGAGAGAAGCAGCUCACUGACUUGAACAAGAAAGAUGUGUACUGGCUGCUCAAAAACUCCGCGUCCGAGAGUUUACCGAUAGCGACUUCUUGUUGUCGCCACUCGUUCGUCGACAGCAAGUCUGCAACUACUUCCUUCAGCCCUCGCAGAUCGCAUAGAAGUGGCCAGGAGAAGGUGGAAAAGGGUUUGUGUUGGUAAUUGCCUUCAUUUGGUCUUGGACUUCUGUUAUAUAUAUGAUGCAUGGAUUCAUUGGAUUAGGGCUAGUUUAAAAAAAAAAAAAACAAAACAAAAGGCCCACAACUACAACCAUGAGGCAUUAACCCCAAAAAAAAGGAAAAAAUUCAUAAUCCAAGUAUACCAUUUACACCAAUUUAAAAAUCAGGUAGAUAAUUUGAAAAUUCAAAUUCAGGUACAUAUUUAAUUAACUAAAAAUACUUAUUAAAUAAAUAUAAUAAAAUCACAGUUAUUCAAUUAAUGGUCACAUAUCUGAUUAAUGGUCACAUAUCAUCAAAUUAAUUAGUUACAGAUUAUUUCGUGGUCACAAAUCAAAAAUUUUGAAGGUCACGGAUUAUUUUUGAGGUCACAAAUCAUUCAAAUUGCAGGUCACAGUUCAUCUGUAAGUCACAUAUUUUCAAUUUAUUGGUCACAAAUUAUUUUUUUAGUUACAGAUUGUCAAAAUUUAAAUAUCACAGACCAAAUCAUUGGUCACAUGCAUAAAUAACUCCACCCCCAUUUCAAUUCACCACCAAUACUUGGUCACAAAGCAACCAAAUAAUUGGUCACAAUCACCAUUACACCCCACCACAACACCUCUACAACGAGCCAACAAUAACAAAAAUGAUAACCAAAACACAACGAACGACUGCACCACACCAUCACACAAUCAUUGACCACCAUCUCGUCGCCAGCACCACCACCCACCACUAGCAUCACCACCAUUACCCCGAAGUCCCCAACAAUGCACCACCACCACAAUCUCCAUCGAACACCGACCGCAUUAACGGAACGUACUGCUCUUCAUAAAUCAGUAAGAACUUCCUGAUCAGAAGGAAGACCUACAACACCCUACUCAUGUGUGCCGUCUUCACAAAUCCAUCUAUGGCCUUAAACAGGUCCCCAAGCAAGCCACCCAUAAAUGCAAUUUUCUAAGACUUCUUAGAGGGAAGGGUUUCCGAAACCAUAGUUCUUCACCUUCUCUCUCCCAUACAAAACAAUGAGGGUUUCCUAAUAAUUAUUGCAAAGACAAUUUAUCCCUUUAGUUCUUCACCUUCUCUCUCACACACAAAACACACACUAGGUGAGUGGGGUUUAUAGAAGAAGACGCCGCAAAUAGGAAAUAUAUAAAAAGAACUACGAUUUCGGAACACCGAUCGCACUGCCGCUAACCAGUGUCACCGCACCCACAGCCACAGCAACGUCGAACUAGCACUUGUCAGAGCAUCGAUGCUCAUCCUGCACCUAAUGCUAGUCACGACACCAGCAAAGAGAGAAUGUUGGUAGAGAGAAGAUCGAGAGAAUGGAGAUAGAGUAGAGAGAGAAUGGAGUGAGUUAGGGUUUGGAAUUGAAUUAAUUAAUUAAUAAAAUAUCCAAUUAAUACCUGAUUUUUUAUUAAAUAAACUUUAUACCUGUAUUUUAAAUUUGAAAGUUUAACUACCUGGUUUUAUGUAAUUUCCUCAAUAAAUAAAUAAAAUAAAAAAUUACAAGACCCAACUCCGAGACCUUGCCUUCUUCAUCAUUCGUCUACGGUCUCCCCUGCAACUGAUCUGGUGCCCGACGGUCAGUGGAAACUCAAAGUUUCGAUAGAGUCCAACACGUGCGAUCACGCCCCCUCGUCGAGUGCUGGCUCCGCCAUAUAAUGACAACCAGUCUGCUCUAGCACGUUGUGCCCCAAAAAAUAAAAAUAAAAAAUUCUUCUCUCUCACUCAAAAUAAAAAUAAAAAAAAAUAAUAAUAAGACGACGACAAAGAAAAAUUUAAAUUAUCCCAGUAUUAUUCCUACCAGUGGGCAAAGUAGGUAAUUGUCAGGUGUGGCCAAGGGCGACAUCACAUGUACAGCGAGAUUACAUCCCCCAUCAGAAUAUGUACUAUUUUGGUUAUAAAGAGGUCGACUAGACUUUAGAAACCGACGGUGGUUCAAGCAAAGCUUUCAGUUUUCAGUAUUUAGAUUGAUUUCCUAAUGGAGCUUUUAGCCAUUCGCCAAACCCGUGUUCUGGAUUUCGGAGGAUGGGCAAGCCCCCCCCAUACAUUCGGGAAAAGUGUGGACAUAUUUCCAGCAUAGGGUGCAGUAGGAAGUUUUUCAUAUUUGUAGUUCAGUUUAACCAGGGGCGAAGCCAAGAUUUUAGUUUAGUGCGGGCAAAAUUUUUUCGAUGUGGGACGUCGAGAUUUUGGUCAUUGAUUUAAUAAUGAUAAAGAAAUAAAACAAUAUUACAACAAUACUAAAAAACAAAGUGCUAAUUUCAUAUAUUAAAAAAAUAAAUAUUAUUACAAUUUACACAAAUCAAACUAACAAAAAAUAAGGGAAAAAAUUCAAUUGAAUGAAUGGAAGUGGCGAAGUGUGAAGGGACGAAGUCAUAGACUCACAAUUCACAAAGAGUUGAAAUGAAUGAAUGGGCAUGGGUAAAUUGAUUCAAUUGAAUUUUGAGGGGAAUGGGUCUAAAAUGGGCCAUGGGCUUCUCUCUCUUGGCUGGACAAUGUACACAGAAGUAAGAAAAAAAAAUUUACUUGGCCAUGUGGAGCUGGGCCCAAAAGUCCAAUAUAGGCAUCUAGGGAAGUGAGUUAAACAAACAAACAAAAAAUUUACUUGGGCCUGUGGAGUUGGGCCAAAAGUUUAGUACAGGUCCGCACUGGACAUAAUUAGGCUCCGCCCUUUAGUUUAAUAGUGACUCUAUUCUCGCUCAAUUGCAUGAAAGAGUUCAUCGGAGAGGUUGCAAUAUAUAAUCUUCACACGAAUCCGUUAAAAUGACAAUCAUUAUUUAAAAACUCUUUUCAAAAUACUCAUUUUCAACUACACAUUCAUACAAUAAAAUAUUCUACAUGUAAACCUAAAUUUUUUUACUACUUUUUAACCAUACAAUCUCCUAAAAAUAUUAUUCAAAACAUUACUUUUUCCAAAUAAUGACCAUCAAAUAUAUGCUAAUUUAUGUUAUAUUUAUGUCACUAGUAUCAUUGUUUGAAACCAAAUCAAGCCGCAAAUAACGGUUUGAUUUGCAAAAUUAAACGAUUUUGUUUGACUUUAGAUUUUUUCAAACCUUUGAAAAUGGUUUAAUUUUAGGCCCUGUUUGAUAAUCUCCUUUUUUCCAUGGAAAAUGGAAAACAUUUUUCAUUUCCAUCCAAAAUUGUGUGUUUGAUGGCACCCAAAUUCCAUGUAAUUGGUUUUCCAUUUUCCCACCCAUGUGACCCCCUUUCUAGCUUUUCAAGGAAAACCAUUGGUUUUCACGAGAAAAUGAUUUCCAGAUUUUUUUGGUUUAACAUUUUAUUAUUUAGUUGCAAUGGGAACAAAUUCUAUGCACAAUUGUAAAAAAAAUUAUUCUUUUAAUUGACAAUUUUCAUGGAAAACGAACAACAAAAGAUCCAAAUUUCAACAUUUUCCAAGGUGGAAAAUUAUAUCAAUCAAACACAUUUAAUUGACAAUUCCCAAUAAAAUAAGUUCUAGGCAAUUCAAUUUCCUGGAAUUCAUUUUCUUUCCAUCCAAAUUUCAUUCUUGCUAUCAAACAAACCCUUAGUAUAAUUUAAAAUCGUUCAAACAAAACUUUGUUCAACCCUAAGUGAUUAUUGCAUUAUGAUGUAGAUUGUUGUAGAGGUGGUCUUAGUGAUGGUGGGUGAUACAUAUUGUAUUACUGGUAGUGAGUGGAAAGUAUUACGAUGUAACACGAAAUGUUACGAGGUGAUGAAGACUACGACAGUGAAUUUUGCAUAACAUUGUAUUGCAAAGUGUAGUAUAAAAAAAAUUAAGAAUAUAUAUAUAAAGUGACGUGGAGAAUAAUUUUAUUUUUUUAGCUUAUUCGUGUGAAGGUCUUUUCAAAUUGAAUGGUAUAAAAAAUAAUAUUAUUCAACAUCAUUGGUACUUAGCAUUAAUUAGGGAUUCAUUAAGUAACAUUUUAAAUAAAAAUAUAAAUGAGUCAUAUUUAAAGUUAAAAUUACUUAGCACUAAUCUAGGUGUUUCGGGAUUAAAUUGGAAUAAUUGUGUGAACUCUUCCACAUACAACGUCCACACGUACCAGUGAUGUGUAGAAUCAACAUAUGACUCAUCCCCCAAGUUCCCUGCCCGCAAUGUAUUUGGUCAACAUGUUGGUAAUUGUUCUUUAGCCCUGUUGGGGAUAUUAAGCCCCGUUUGGUAAUAAUUUUUUACUUAAAAAAAUCAAAUUUUGACUGUUAUUUCAUUGUUCCAGCCAUCAUUUUUUAUCUUUUCACUCACAAGUAAAAUUCACUUUUCUUUCUAACGAUCAAAAAAUCAAUCCUCAUAAUUACUACCGAUCAGACCCUAAAAUUAGAUUUUUAAUAGAUUUUGAUAAAAAUUGAUAAAAUGUAUGAUUAAAAAGUUGUGAGUUUAAUAAAUUAUGUGAUUAAAACUAAUUAUUGAUUUUGACUCUAAUUUUAAUCCGGAUCAAAUUGGGGUUACUAUUUAUUAUUUAAGCACUCAAAAUAGUGCUUCUCCUGUACUCAUUUAAUUGCUGUUGGCUUUUUGAUACCCAGUAAAUUCCGGGCUAUGAUGUUAACGUGGGUUAAUAUUAUUUCAUAGGCAUAGGCCGAUGAAUGAAAUAAGUCCAACAACCAAAUCCAUGAGCUACACUCGACCCAAUUGUAUUCCUUAUGGAUAGCUUGAAUCUUGGCCCGUUUACCACUUUAUUGGCCCAACUUAAAGCCUAACCCUAGAGUAUAUAUAUGAAUAUAACCCUAGCCACUUUGAUAUGAUGAUUGUGUGAUUUUGAGAGAAGAAAUAGUGAAUCCCGGCUGCCCCCCUUUUGUGUGAGAAAAAGGUGCCCAGAAGUGUCCAGAACGCUUGUAUAACGUGUGCAAUUGGUGGUUCUUUCAUAGUAUACAUUUGUGGUGUCUUCUCUUAGCCUUUGUGGCCAUAAAUCAUCAUCCUUUCUUGUCCUACGUGGGUAAGAUUGCAUAGCAACCAAGGUGAAUCAAUUGGCUGUAGUUUGGAGCCGAUUGGACUGGUUGUUGGUUGAGAAAGGUACGUUGGACUGAGCCUGAAAAACCACCGUUUGAAGAUCCUUUUGAGAGAGCUUCCGCAACAAUUGGUAUCAGAGCUUCAAGGUGAAGGUUUUGGCUCGUGAAAUCUACCAGAAAUCGUCCAGAAAAUCGGCAGAAACGCAGCAGAAAUCAGAUCGAAGAAGCUGUCCAAAACUGUUAAAAUCAGUCUUCGUUUUUCGUGUUUUUUGAUCAAUCCAGAAGGGGUUUGGGAAAAUGGAGACCACUGGCGUGACGUGCAGGAGGAGGCGAACCCUUCAAGCCGACGCGUGUCAGUCUAAGGCUGCGCAUGAGGCCCACGCGCAGAGGGAAGGAGACGGAUGUGAGGGCGCGUGGAGCGUUUUUUGUGACGGUCUCUUCAGGCAGUUUGUUCCUCAUAUUAUUUCUGACAUUUUUCAUGUUUAAAGUUUUCUGUUUCAGGGUACGCAGAAGAAUCUGGACAGCGUUGUUCUUCGGGCGUUCGGGACUCGAUCGUGAUUUUUUGGUUGCUGCAGUUUCCAGAGACUUUAGGACGAAUAGUGGUGGUCCUAAAGUGUUAAAUUCGUGUGUCUCAUAAUUUACGGACUCAGAUAGGUCCGCUCUGGUAUAUUGGCUUAACUUAGUUUAAAUUUCAACAUUAGCAGAUCAUCGUGUGGGGUGAUCGUCAGGAUUGGGGGUUGUCAUUGUUUGGCAACCAUUGCUUGUGCUAGAAAAUUUAGGAAUUAUUUGCUCUGUUUUUGAAGUGUUGAGUUUUGAUUGCAAGUUGGUAGUUGAUUUUGUGCUUUACCUGUCAUAUAGUCACUGUGUGAGACUUGUUGCGUGGAAAUUCGAACUUUUGUUUACAUACCUUCGUUUUGCAUUGAUUUUCCUGUUAGAACACCUGGACUUGACCCGUUCGAACAUUCCCUUGAUCUAAAAUCGGGAAUCUUACAAAACCCUGAGAAUCUAGAACGGUGUAUAUUGAGGCCGUAGGAUAACUUCGUGUGACCUAUCUGUGCUUUUUGGUUGUUCUAGUUUUUUAAAAUAGUCUUCACGCUUUGAAGUUGGAAUUUUUAAUGCGAAGGGGGAUUUUUCAAUUUGGCAACAAAAGAUGAAGGGUAUUUUGGUCCAACAAAAAGUUUCAAAAGCCAUAGAUGGCAAAUUUUCUGCAAAUUUAACAGAAGUACAAAAAGAAGAGUAUGAUGAACUUGCAUACACGUCAAUUAUUUUACACCUGUCUGAUACUGUUUUGAGAAAAGUAGGAAAAUUGGAUUCUACAAAACAACUUUGGGAAAAGUUGGAGGACUUAUAUUUGCUUAAGUCAACUCCUAGUAAAUUGUACUUGCUUGAACGAUUUUUCAGCUUUAAAAUGAAUCCUUCAAAGGAUCUUGAUAAUAAUCUGGAUGUCUUUAACAAAUUAGUUCAAGACAUCAUUAACUGUGAUGAAGAGGUAUCCGAAACGUAUAAGGCUAUUAUCCUGCUUAAUUCCAUGCUUGAUUCAUAUAGGGAAGUUAAGAAUGUAAUUAAGUAUGGUAGGGACACAUUAACACCCGAGAUUGUCAUAGACUCACUUAGGAGUAAGGAGAUGGAGAUUAAGGUUGAAAAAUAGGAUAACAUGAGUGGCGAGUUACAUAUGAUGAAGAGUAGAAUGAAGUUUAAGCAGAUGAAUUUGGGUAGAACUCAAGACGGUAGUGAUUCGAGUAGUGACUCGAGUGUUGAGGGUAGUAAGAAGAAGGGCAAGGGACGAGACAAGUCUAGUGAUAAAAGGUGUUACAGUUGUGGUAAGUGUGGACACUUUAUUAGGGACUGUCCCAAGAAGAAAGAUAAGCUGAAAGGAAAGAUGAGAGGUGAGACGAAUUUGGUUGAGGGGUCGAGUUAUGACCCCAGUGAGGUUUAUUAAGUGUAAACCUAGUCACUGCAUAUGCAUCUGUGUGUGAUCCUUUCUGCAUGUGUGUGAUUGUCUAAAUUUUGUUGCAUGAUUAUCUGCUACAUUUCAAUGUGUUUGAUAUGUGCAUUUGCAUGAAUUUGAGACAUUAGGAUUAUUUGGUGUAAUUGCUUGCAUGCAUAGUGGAUUAGGAUGCAUUAGCAGUGCAUUGUGUGUCUUUUGGUGAGGUGGAGUAUAGAUGCCUAGAGGUACAUGGUGGUUUGUACCGGGGAUGUGGAGAGUGACAUUUGGAUCACGAGUGGAGAUGUGAUCAAAUGUCUAGAAUCCUUUAUCUGGAAAGAGACCUUGAUCAGGUGGAGUGUGAGAAAGACACUUCUAUCACUUCUGUUAGGUGGAGACCCAUUAUCCACGUAGGUUGGGAGAAGUGAUGUGGAGAUAGAGGAUUAUCCCGUGGACUUAGGAUCUAUUGUGACUUACCAGUUAGACAUCAGUUGAGUGAUCUGUCUAGUGAGCCGUGGUGGGCGAUGAGAGGAGAUAUGUGAUCUCGAGGUGUGAGCAACACGGAAUGGGAUAGGAUAAGUGUGGUGAGAUCUUUUCUUAGGGUCAUUUAUGCAUGUGUUGCAUAUGUGGUUGACCGUGGUUUGAUUGACUUGGUGUUAAUCUAUGGUUCUAUGUGAAUGUGUUUCUGAAAUGAUCUGUGUGUGUUAUCCUAUAGUAUAUCGUCAACGCAUGUGUAUUUACUCUUGAUUGUUUACUGUUAAAUAUUUGCUUCUACUUGGGUGUUUUUGACCUUAGCCCCAGUGAGUACAUGGAGCAGGUAUGGUAUGUGUUUCAAGUUGGAAACACGAGGUAAGAUCUGUGAUCCAAUUCUAUUGGCGACCUUGAUUAUGCAAGUGUUAACUGUAUGUUUUGAUUGCUUGCAGAUUUAUUGGGUAUCAAGGUGGAGAUUUGUUGGGUUUUUGAUACCCAGUAAAUCCCGGGCUAUGAUGUUAAUGUGGGUUAAUAUUAUUUCAUAGGCAUAGGCUGAUGAAUGAAAUAAGUCCAACAACCAAGUCCAUGAGCUACACCCGGCCCAAUUGUAUCCCUUAUGGAUGGCUUGAAUCUUGGCCCGUUUAUCCCUUUAUUGGCCUAACUUAAAGCCUAACCCUAGAGUAUAUAUAUAUGAAUAUAACCCUAGCCACUUUGAUAUGAUGAUUGUGUGAUUUUGAGAGAAGAAAUAGUGAAUCUCGGCUGCCCCCCUUUUGUGUGAGAAAAAGCUGUCCAGAAGUGUCCAGAACGCUUGUAUAACGUGUGCAAUUGGUGGUUCUUUCAUAGUAUACCUUUGUGGCCAUAAAUCAUCAUCCUUUCUUGUCCUACGUGGGUAAGAUUGCAUAGCAACCAAGAUGAAUAAAUUGGUUGUGGUUUGGAGCUGAUUGGACUGGUUGUUGGUUGAGAAAGGUGCGUUGGACUGAGCCUGGAAAACCACCGUUUGAAGAUCCUUUUGAGAGAGCUUCCGCAACAAUUGCCUUUAGGCCCCGGUGAAGUACAAAGAAGAAACCUGCAGGUGACUAACAUCUAUGUCGACAACGGCGGACUGUGGAUCUUUGGGCCUCACUCAGUCUGACCUUUGGUCACCGCUUCUCAUUAAAGGUGUGUUUGAUUGCAAGCAUGAAAAGAAAAAAAAAUCUAAGCAAUUCAAUUAUUUUGACCUUAUUUAUAUUAAAAUUGUUAAUUAAAUGUGUUUGGUUGAUUUAGUUUUCAAUUUUAAAAAUAUCACACUUAUCUAUUUUUUAUUGGUGGAUAGAUGAGAGAGAAUGAAUAGAUGAUAAAGAGAAAGAGAGUGUAAAUUACCUGAAAAAUAAAAACUACAUCUCUCUAAAGAAAAUAUUUUCCUUGUUUUCAAGGGAAAUAAGAUCGCGUCACUAGAAGUUGUAAAAUAUUUCUCAUGAAAAAAAUUGUCAAUCAAAUAACACAAAAAUAAGAAAUUAUAUAGAAAAACACAUUUUCCAUGAAAAAUAUUGAUAAUCAAAUGCACUCUAUGUAAUAAAAGCAUGUAAAAAUUGAUAUAAUAGAAAUUAAUACAUAGUAGCAUAAAAUGAAGGGCAAAAUGGAAAAUAAUUAAAACUAUAUAUGUUACAAAAAUGAAAAGUGACACUGUUCGUUACUUUAAUUUGGUGUGAAGAUUUGAAGUCCGAUUGGAGCAUCAUUUUCACACCAAAUUGACAUUUUACUCCAUUUUGAACUUGAGUCUGAGAUGCCCUAAUGGAAUGUUGUUUUAUUAAAGAUAUGCACCCACCACUUAAUUAUAUUAUUUCUAAAUAAAGAAGAGUAUAAGGAUGUACUUAAACUCGAGUGAUAAACAUAAAUUCUCUCGACUAAAAUCUGCUGUCACAUUUGAAGCCUAAUUUUUUUUUUUUUUUUUUUAAACAGACUUCUUAAUGUGCUUUAGGAACUUAAGUUUAGUAUAAUCUGCUGUAGGUUUUAUGCCUUCUUAUUCCUUUCCUUCAUAUGUUGCAUUUCUUCGCUUUCGGGAGGUCAAGAUUAUGCCCACUUCAUCUUGCUUUUGAAAGUUUGAUUUUAUAUAUAUGGUUGGGGAAUCCAAACCCCCAUCAGCCUUCCCUGGUGGAGCCUGAAAAUCCAUUGAAUUUGUGUUGUGUUUUCCUUAAAGGAAAAAGUCCAUAAGUUUUGCAUGUCCGAUAGCAAGACUCCUGAAGGAUAGAAGUUCAUAACUAGAGAUUAAUGAAUAGAAGAAUUAAUCAAGUAUACACUAAGUGUUGAAUUUGGAUCGUGAAUGUAAUUUUUUUUUCUUUUUUGGGUAUCGUGAAUGUAAUACUUGUGCCUUUUACAGGUGCAGGAGUAUCUGGUCAUCUCUCAGACUCUAAGUUGGGAAGGAAAGGCUCGCUAUUAGUUGUUUGUAUCAUGAAUGCAAUUUUCGGUUGUCUAAGAGCACUUUCUCCAGCUUACUGGACUUAUGCCCCAUUACGCCUUCUGACCGGCUACAGCACCGAAGGAGUGGGCCUCUGUGCUUUUGUCCUAGCGACAGAGCCUGUCGGCCCUACAUUUCGUGGCAUUGCCGAAAUGUCCACGUUCUAUUUUUACUCAGGGGGAAUAGCUACUCUUUCUGGUAUAGCUUAUAUUUUUCAAUCAUGGAGAUCCCUCUAUAUUGCAUCUUCUAUUCCCUCCGUUCUAUUUGCUGCUAUUAUACUUCCUUUCUUGUCUGAGUCCCCUUGAUGGUGUCUUAUUGGAGGAAAGAUGAACCAGGCUAUGAAAACUAUGCACAGAAUCGCUAAAACGAAUGGAAACCAUCUCCCUGAUAGCACCCUUCUUGCCCUUGAUGAAGAAGCAAACAGUGUUCCAGAUAAUGUUCACAGUGAAAGUAAAGUAGAAUCGGAAUCACAAUGACACAAUCAGCCAUAACCGGAUCCCUCAUAGACGUGCUUCACUUACCACUAACACGAAUUCGUUUACUUCUAAUAGUGGCCAUCAACUACUUGUGUUCUGUUGUCUACUACGGCCUAAGUUUGAAUGUGGUCAACCUUGGAACCAGCAUUAAGGUGAUCCACUAAGUUUAAUUUUGGAUUAAUGGGUAUUAAUUCUCAUGGGAUUAAUAUGUAGAGAUCGGAAUAAUUAUUUUUUGAUGAGGGGCCAAUUUAAAAUAAGUGAAACAGAAUAAUCAAUUAUUUAAUAUCGGGUCAUAGUCCCCAAUUGCAAGUGACUUUUCACAAUUCUUUGUAUCCCCAUCAACAAAGAAGAGAUUUCAAAAAAUCACAUAGCAGUUGGAAGAUCAUAAUCCAUUUAGAAAAAUUCAGAUAUAUGGAUUAAGGUAUGCUUCCGCAAUUUUGUUCUCAUUGAUUUCAACAUGGAGAUUUAUAAAUAUAUGUGAAAGGAUUGAUAUAUCUGGUUCCUAUCAAUUUGCUACAAGUGGUAUCAGAGCCACUCCAUUGUUGAAUUCUUUAAGAAAUUGCAACAUAUAAUGUUAUUAUAGUUUUUUUCUUUUUUCUUUUUAUUGUGGAUUAUUAUUUGGAUCUUCAUCAUGCUAUUAUGUGAAAAAUAGAUAUUUCAAUAUUUUUAAAGGAUUUUCAGAUUUGACCAUUUGUAAUUGUGUUUGUUGAAUUUGAAAAUCAUUUGGGAUAUUAUUCAUGGUUAUUUUUCAAGAUCUAAAUAAAUUUUUUGGAAAAUUCGUGGUUGUUUUACAAGAUUUUGAUUAAAAAUUUUGACAAUCAAGUUUUUGUGGAUUUUUGAGUCUCAAAAGAAAAAAAUUUAGAUCCCGCCGUCGGUGUUGCUGUCGGUUGGCGCCGGCUGUCGGCACCGUAAAAAGGGAGAGAGAGAAAGACAGUUAUAGAUUUGAAUGGAUUUUGGGGACGGGGGCCUGAGGUACAAUUUUGGUAUUCUCAGGCCUUUGCUUGCAAUUUAAAAUUAGGGUUAAUUAUUUUUUCAAAAUAAAAUUUUAAAUUUCAAUCCCUAAAGUUUAAAAUCAAUCCAAAUUGGACCUUUAAGGUUAUGGGUUUAAUAAUUCAUCCCCCUAAAUUUUGAAAAUUAUUUAAUUUGGACCAUUAAACUUCUAAAAUUUGCAAUUAAAGCCCUCAAUGUUUAUAAUUAAUUAAAAUUGGCCCCCAAAGUUUUAAAAAUUUUCAAAUUUUGAUCCUAAGGUUUUGAAUUAUUAACCCUUAGGUCCCUGAAGUCUAUAAAGGCAUCUAAUAAUGCAAAAUCAAUGAUUCUCUUUCUCAAAUUAUGGUACUAAUGAUUCUUUUAAGAGAAAUAAUUAAGGUUUAAUUAUGUGAGACAAUCAAAUUCGAAUAAUUUGGUAAAUCAUUUAUAAUGAAUUAAGGUUAUCUAACAUUUUUAAUAAACUAAUUGAAACAAUAUGUCACCAAAGUGACCUCUUUUGUGUAGAUUGGUUUGUUUGCGAUGUUUAGAUGUUGUGUGCGUGUUUCUUCAUGCGGGUAUUAGCCGACCCAAAGGAAGUUUAAUACUUGGUUGAAUUACAUACACACCUACGGUGGUAAUUAUGUGAUAAUUAUAAGAUUUCCAUGUGAAUAAUAAAUCAAUUCAAAGAUGAUUUUAUUAUUUAACGAGAGUUAUUGUCAAUGUUUGAUCACUGUACUAAAAGCACCAUUAGCAAUUAAUAUUACUAUCCAAAGACUUGAUAUUAAUGUUGCACUAGGAAUCUUGAGAUAGGAUUUACCAUUAUUUGAAUUUAUUGUACAUUAAAUAUGGAUAUGAGCAUGAUUAUUUUUUUAUUUUUGUUCUCUGUACAGCUAAUUCAUCUGCUACCACAAUAACUGCUAAUAUCAUUUCCAUUUUCAUGCUUAAUGGGAAAAACUUCAAGGAUUGGAAGGAGAACGUAUUGAUCGUUCUUGACUGCAUGGAUCUUGACCUAGCACUUCAGAUUGAGGAACCCACUAUUCUUACAGAAGAAAUUCUCCUGAUGAAAAGAGGAACUUUGAAAAGUGGGAUCGCUUAAAUCGCAUGAGUCUAAUGAUCAUUAAGUGCGGCAUUCUGAAAGCCUUUAGAGGUGCAGUAUUCGAAGGGAUAACUAAUGCUAAGGAGUUACUUGACAAAAUUGAGAAAAGUUUUGCAAAAAAUGAUAAAGUUGAAACAAGCAUGCUUUUGUAAAGCUUAAUUUCAAUGAAGUAUAAAGGUAAGGGGAACAUGACGGAGUACAUCAUGGUGAUGUCUCAAAUUGCUUCAAAACUUAAAAGGCUAAAGCUUGAGCUAUCUGAUCACUUGCGUAUACAUUUGGUAUUGAUCUCACUUCUUGCACAGUUCAAUCAAUUUAAAGUUAUUUAUAACUGCCAGAAGGAGAAAUGGUCUCUAAAUGAGCUCAUUUCAUAUUGUGUGCAAGAGGAAGAAAGGACGAAACAAGAUAGAACUAAAGUUGCUCACUUGGCAAGCACUUCUAAGGAUAAAGGCAAGAAAAAGAUAAAAGAAUAUGAAACUGCUCCUAAGGGUUCCAGUACAAAAGAAACAGAAGGAUGAUAAAUGAACUUGUUUCUUUUGCAAUAAGAUUGGACAUUUAAAGAAGGACUGUGCCAAAUAUCAUGCAUGGCAUGUAAAGAAGGCUAUAAUUCUUACUUUGCUCUGUUCUGAGAAUAAUUUAGCUUCAGUACCUAGAAACACUUGGUGGAUAGAUUCUGAUGCUACUACUCACAUAAAUGUCUCUAUGCAGGGCUGUUUAAGCUAUCGAAAGCCAAAUGAUAGUGAAAGAUACAUUUAUGUGGGUGAUAGCAAAUAGGUGGAAGUUGAUGCAAUAGGCACUUUUAGGUUGUUAUUGGGAGCUGGUUAUUAUUUGGACUUGAAGGACACUUUUGUAGUACCGUCUUUUAGAGGGAAUUUAAUUUCUGUUUCUUCAUUGAACAAAUCUGAAAUUUGUUGUUCAUUUGAAAACAAUCAGUUUAGUCUUUCAUUAAAUUACAAUAUUAUUGGUACUGGUUCAUUAUCUGCAUAUGAUAACCUAUAUUUGCUUAAUAUUAUUGCAUCAUCUAAUGAAACCUUGCAUGUGGAAUCACAUGGUACUAAACGCAAAUUAAAUAAAGGAAAUUCAGCAAAAUUAUGGCACAAGCGCUUAGGUCACAUCUCAAAAGCUAGAGUUGAACGACUUGUAUCAAAUGGUAUUUUGGAUUCCCUUGACUUCACGGAUUUUGAUGUAUGUGUUGAUUGUAUCAAGGGAAAACAGACCAAAAUAAAGAGAUUAGGUGCUAACAGAACUUUGAACGUCUUAGAAUUGAUACACACAAAUAUUUGUGGGCCAUUCCCUACGGCUUUUUGGAAUGGUCAACAAUAUUUUAUAUAUUUCAUAGAUGAUUACUCACAUUAUGUACCUAUAUCUCAUCCGUGAAAAAUCUAAAUCAUUGGAUGUAUCCAAAGCCUUUAAAGCUGAGGUUGAGAAUCAACUCAACAAAAGGAUAAAGACCGCUAGGUCUGGCCAUGGUGGUGAGUACUACGACAGAUAUGACAGAUCAGGUGAACAAUGUCCAGGACCAUUUGCUAAAUACCUAGAGCAGUGUGGAAUUGUCCCAUAGUACACCAUGCCAGGAUUGUCUAGUAUGAAUGGUGUAGCUGAAAGACAAAACAAGACUCUUAAGGACAUGUGAAGGAGUAUGAUAAGUCAUUCCACCUUACCAAAAUCACUCUGGGGAGAGGCAUUAAAGACUACAGCUUAUAUUCUGAACAAAGUACCAACUAAGGCUACUGCUAUAACGCCUUUUGAGCUUCGGAUAGGUAGAAAGCCUAGUCUAAAGCAUUUUCACAUUCGGGGAUAACCAACUAAGGCAAGACCUUAUAAGCUACAUGAAAAGAAAUUGGACUCCAAAAUAGUUAGUAGCUAUUUUAUUGGUUAUUCUGAGCGAUCUAGGGGCUAUAAAUUUUAUGAUCCCACACUUAAGUCAAUUUUUUAAACAGGAACCGAAUCAUUUUUUGAGGAUGUUGAGUUUGGGGGAGAAAUAAGGUUAGGGACAUUGUCUUUGAGGAAGAAGUUGAGGAAGGAUUGGUUCUAAUUCCUACUAUUGCUUUUAACAAUGUACAGGUUUCUGUACCUGUCAUUGAUCAAGAAGCAUAUCCAAAACCUCAACAUGAUAAUGUUGAAGAAGAUCCCAUCCAAAAUGAGGUAAUUAUUCCAGAAGUACAAACUCAACAACCAAUGCAAUUGAGCAGAUCCAUGAAAGAGGUGAAAAAUGCUAUUCCGGAUGAUUUUAUAGUGUUUCUCCAAGAACACGAGGAAAAUAAUGGAAUAGCGAAAGAUGAUCCAACUAAUUUACAUCGGGCCAUGUAGGGUUCUGACUCUCAAAAGUGGAUUGAUGCCAUGAAUGAGGAGUAUAAGUCUAUGCAAGAUAAUAAGGUUUGGGAUUUUGUCCCAUUACCCGAAGGUGUGAAGCCGAUUGGUUGUAAAUGGAUUUUUAAAACCAAAAGGGAUUAAAAUGGUAAUGUGAAAAGAUAAAAGGCUCGUCUUGUGGCUAAAGUCUUUACCCAAAAGGAAGGCAUCAAUUUCAAAAAGACUUUCGCUCCGAUUUCAAUGAAAGACUCUUUUAGGACAAUUAUGGCACUUAUUGCGCACUUUGAUCUUGAGUUACAUCAGAUGGAUGUUAAGUCGGUAUUUCUCAACGACAACAUUGAUGAGAUGAUCUAUAUGGCGCAACCAGAAAACUUCGUGUCAGGAAACCCAAAGAAUAUGGUUUGUAAAUUAAAGAAAUCGAUCUAUGGGCUCGAGCAAGCUUCCCGUCAAUGAUACCACAAAUUUCAUCAAGUCAUUAUCUCAUUUGGUUUUGAAAUGAAUGUCGUUGAUGAUAGUGUGUAUCACAAGUUCACUAGGAGUAAGCAUAUUUUCCUAGUUUUGUAUGUUGAUGACAUACUGCUUGCCACUAAUUAUCAAUGUUCUAAAAAGCAUAAUGCGUGGCUAGGCGUAUAGGCCAAGCUUCACGCAUUACGAGCCUAGGCUAGCCUAGGCGUUAAAAAGCGUGUUUUAAUUUUAAAUUUUUAAUCAUUGUAAAAGACAUUUAAUAAUUCAAAUAAUACAUACCAAACAUCUAAAAUUAUAAAAUAUUGUAUUUACUUAAUAAUUUCUACAAAAAGAUAAGAUUCUAAAUUAUAAUUACAUAACGGAUAGCUUGUAGUUUAAAUCUUAUCUAGCUCUUUAUCGGAUUCCAAUUCAAAAUCUUCUUCUUCAUCCAAUUCGUCCUCUGUGUCGUCCGAUACAAAAUCAUCUUCAUCGGGCUCCCUUAUUUCAUUUUGAUCAUUUCUUGUACCUCUUGUAGGUUGUGAGAUAUCAUUCCCCAACCUAUCAUUUUCCUCCUCACCCUCAUCAUCACAACCCUCUACAAUCCAAGAUUGUGCAUUAGUAGCAUCACUUGCUAGUAAAGUCUCUAUUUUGGCCUUCUUCUUCUUUUUGUUCAUCAACCUUGCAUUAAAUUGGACAUAAACAAGAUUGUUCAUCCUCGUAGUAUCAAGUCUAUUCCUUUUCUUGGUGUGUAUCUACAAACAAAAGAAGAAAAGAAACAAAAAGAAAGGUACAUUUAAUGGAGCAUAGCAUAUUCAGGUAAUUAUUCAUUGGCCAAAAGAAAUGAGUUGUGUACAACCUAAUGAGUACUUACCCCUUCAAAAGCACUCCAAUUUCUCUCACAACCCGAUGAACUAGUAGUCAAACCAACUAUGUCUUUAAAUUUGGUGCUUCAUUGCCAUAGAAAUCCCACCAACUCACUAAUACAUAUAAAUGAAAGAGAAAUAUGUUACAGGGUAAAUUCAAAUUCAAUGAAGAUAUAAAGUUAGGUAUAGAUCUUACUCGGAUUGUAGUUUGCAUCAUUGUUCUCACAUCCACUUAUUGCCUGCUUUUUUCCAAAUGAACUUUCUUUUUGAACAUAUUUUUGCAACUCAAUGUUUACCACAUGAUGUUGCAUUUGAUCAUCAGGAAAGAAUUUCUAAACACAAGCAAUCAAAUUAUUUAUAAUCAAUUGGUCAUCUUUGAUACCUGGAUUCUUGAAAAAAUAGAACGGAUUCAACAUAUAAACUGUUGUAUGAAGUGGACUAUCAAGGCGACCCUUGCUUUUAGCAUCAAUAAUGUCUAAAAUAGGCCUAUAAUCACACUCCCUCUUCAAUGUCCUUUUAAUGUCAUCAUUUGCCUUUAGUAGCUCUCCAUAAACAAAGCCCAUUGAAGACUUUGCUUCUCCAUCAACAAGUCUAAGCACUCUCACUGGUGGAGUAAACACUCUCAAACACAACUCUAUCAUGUUCCAAAAAUCAUUCAGAACAACAAUAUCAAAUGCCUCUUUUCCUUUUUUACUCUUAGACCAUUUCAUGGUAUCCCAUUCAUUGCUAGUCAUCAUACUUCUCAACUCUUAUUUUUUAUCAAGCAAACUUUGCAAUGUUAAGAAAGAAGUUGCAAAUCUAGUAACUCCCGGCCUAACUAUCUCUUUUUUUGUGAACUUUCUCAUCAAAACUAAAAUCUUGUGAUGUGCAUAAAUGAAAAUAUUGAAGGAUUUUGCUUUGUUAAUCACUCCCUUGAAGCUAGGAAGUUUUGAGAUUCCUUCAAGCAUAAGGUUUAAAGUGUGAGUGGCACAUGAUGUCCAAAACAUGUUAGGCCUUUCUAAUUCCAUCAAUUUUGGGGAAGCCAUAUUAUUGGAAGCAUUGUCGGUUACAAUCUGAACCACAUUUUCAACCCCAACAUUUUUAAUAUAUUCAUUGACAUAGUCAAAUAUGUAUUGACUGGUAAGAGCAUCAUUUGAAGCUUCCUUUGAUGAAAUAAAUGUGGUCUCCAAUUUACAAUUCACACACAAAUUCAUGAUGCUUCUUCUUUUUCUAUCAAUCCAAGCAUCAGUCAUGAUUGAACACCCAUUAUUUUUCCACUCUUCUUCUUGCUUCUUUAAAGUUUCUUUUGAUCUCUCCACCUCUCCCUUCAAAAGUGGCUCCCUUAGUUGGUAUUGGGAAGGAGGAUUGUAACCCGGGCCAUAUUGACCAAGAGCUUCCACAAAUAGUUUAAAACUAUCAUUGUUAAUGGCAUUGAAAGGAAUUCCGGCUUCAUAAACCCAUCUUGCCAAAUAUUGAUGAACCUCUAAUAACCUUUUCUUAGAAAUUGCAUCACUCAUAUUUUGUUGUCUCAAUUUUUUACUUGCAUUCAUAGAAGCAUCAUUAACAUUGGUAGACCUUGCAAACUGAUCUAUGGGUCCCACAUUAACAGGCCUUUUCCUAGUUCAUCUUUCAAUAAUCGAAAUUUCAUUAUCUUCUUCCUCCUCUAGCUCCUCAUCUAUUGUAGGCAAAGAUACACCCACAUCUUUUGUCAACCAAGCAUCAUUCACUAGCUUCUCUAAUUUUUUAGACUUAUUCCCUUGAAUCGCCUCUACACACUUGGCUUUUUGUUCUUCAUUUGCCUUAGGACAUGAUGCCCCACACCUUUUCCCUUGAUUCUCGCUACGUGAAUUUUAUGCCUAUAAAUUCUUCCCUUAGUAACCUUAUCACAUAACGUGCAUUUCACAUUAUUAAGAUUUUUUGGAUCUACCAAAACCGCAGUUUCCCAACCAACAUCUCCGGAAUCUCUUUUUAGUUGACUCGCAUGGAAUUUAGAUGCCGUUGAGGAAUCAUCUUCCUCCAUUGGUUCCUAAAAAAAUAUGAACAAUACAAAUUUUUAUUAUUCAUAACAAACUAAUAAUAACUGAAAUUAGACACAGAAGCUGAAGGCCUAAAAGCAUAGGAAAGUGGAAACAUAGGAAAAUUUAGUUACAUAAACACUGGAAAAUUUAGUUUACUCUUCCAUGUUAUUAAUGUAACUGAUUGAAAGACAAAAAAAAUUUCAACAAUGGUAGCAAAUGGAGUUUAUCAAGUGCCCACAUAAAUGAAAUUUCAGCAACAAUUCCAAUUUCAAUACACACAUAAAUGAAAUUUAUCAAGCACCCACAUAAAUUUCAGCAACAAUUCCAAUAGUUCAUGGUAAGAACUUGUAAUUUCAGUCAUGUAUUUGCAGCCGAACUCAUGAAAAAUAGUAAAAUACACAAUCAAGUUAAUUAUAAACCCCCACUAAAAAAUGGGCAAAGCUACAAAAAGCUGAAACUGUAAUUUUUCAUGGCAAGAACCUAUAAUUUUAGUCAUGUAGUUGCAGCCAAACUCAUGAAAAAUAGUAAAAUACACAACCAAGUUAAUUAUAAACCCCCCACUAAAAAACGGGCAAAGCUACAAAAAGCUGAAACUGUAAUUUUUCAUGGCAAGAACUUGUAAUUUUAGUCAUGUAGUUGCAGCCAAACUCAUGAAAAAUAGUAAAAUACACAACCAACUUAAUUAUAAAUCCCCCACUAAAAAACAGGCAAAGCUGCGAAAGGCCGAAACUGUAAUUUUUCAUGGCAAGAACUGUAAUUUCAGUCAUGUAAUUGCUUGUAGCCAAACUCAUGAAAAAAUAGUAAAACACACAACAAAGUUAAUUAUAAACCCCACCACCACAAAAGGAGCAAAGCAGGAAAAAGCUAAAAUAAAAAAUACAAAAACCCACUAAUAUAAUUAAUAAUAUUACCAGGAAAAUGUGGGCCAAAGAAAUGGUCUUACUGGAGGAAUUGCGGAAAUGAUAAUUUGGAUUUGGAAGAGAAAUGAAAUUUUUUGAAUUUUUGUGUUGAAACUCUUGAUUUUUGAAACCGUGGUUUGUAAUUGUUGUAGACUUAUAGUAUGUUUGGUUGUCUAUAAACAAAAUAAACAAAUAACAAAGCCCACCUAGGUGUGUUUAAUAACUAAGCGCACCUAGGCACGCAUUAAGCAGUCAACAUUGUCGUUGAUCGCUUAAUUCUCGCUCAGCCCGUAGGCGAGGCUUUUUUACCACGCUUCGUGGCUAGGCGUGCUUUUUAGAACACUGCUAAUGAUAUAGGCAUGUUACAUGAAACCAAGAGAUUUUUAUCAAGAAAUUUUGAGAUGAAAGAUCUUGGUGACGCAUCUUUUGUAUUAGGGAUUCAGAUACAUCGGGAUUGCUCUCGAGAUAUUCUUGAGUUGUCACAAAGGAGCUAUAUUGAUAGAGUACUUAAGAGGUUUCGUAUGCAAGACUGUAAACCAGAUGACACCCUUGUCGUUAAAGGAGACAAAUUUAGUCUCAAACAAUGCUCGCAAAAUGACCUUGAAGCUAAGGAAAUGCAAAAGAUUCCUCAUGCAUCAGCUAUUGGAAGUCUGAUAUAUGCUCAAAUUUGUACACGUUCAGAUAUAGUAUUCAUUUUUGGAGUGCUAGGCACAUAUUUAAACAACCUUGGGAUGAUCAUUGGAAAGUAACCAAAAGAGUUAUGAGGUAUUUAAAAAGAACAAAGGAUUAUAUGCUCACAUAUAGCAGAUCGGACUAGUUAGAGAUCAUAGGAUACUUCGUUUCUAAUUUUGCUGGGUGUCAAGACAGUAGAAGAUCCACAUCAGGCUAUAUCUAUCUUCUAGCUAGAGGAGCUAUUUCUUGGAAGAGAGCCAAGCAAAGAUUCAUAGCUUCUUCUACCAUGGAAGUAGAGUUUGUACCAUACUAUGAGGCAUCUAACCAUGGAAUAUGGAUGUGAAAUACUGUCAUUGAGCUGCGCAUUCUAAAUGGAAUAGAAAGACCACUAAAGUUAUAUUGUGACAAUAACUCGAUAGCUCUAUAUUUUAACAACAACAGAAGCUCAUCUAAGUCAAAAUAUAUUGACAUUAAGUUCCUGGUUAUGAAGGAAAGAGUACAAAGUAGACAAACUUCUAUAGAGUACAUUGGAACAAACUCCAUGAUUGCGGAUCUGCUUGCUAAGGGAUUACCACCCAAAGUCUUUCAUGAGCACACUGCUAACAUGAGUGUUGUAUUUCUUGAGGAUAUCAUGUUUUAGUGGGAGUUUGUAUUCUCAUUGAUUUAUGCUUACUUUGGACACAUUUGUGUAUUUGGAUAUUUUUUUUUGUACAUAAAUGAAAUAUUCAGUUCAUUCCACUCUAUUAUUAUGUUCAGUAUUGAUCUCACUUAAGAAAUAAGGUUGGACCAGUUGGAAAUAGACUUGUUCGGAUCACAUAACAUGUAAUUUCCAUGCUACACUCCCAUGAUUGAUCUAUGUCAUUUGGUUGUAUAGCUGUAGGUGACCAUUGAUGGAUUUAGUCACGCUAAAUAUGACGAAAAUCGCCUUGAUCCUACAUUAAUAUGACUGAUGGAUGAGAUUGUUUGGAAAUACUCUUAAAAAUGAUGGCAAAAGUUUGAGCUCAUAAAGUUGUACACAUUUGUAAUAUUUCAUGUAUGCCUCAGUGGGAGAUUGUUGGAAAAAUUUCUAUCGUAUGAGGGCCAUACAUGUAUAUAUAUAUAUAUUAAAAUAUGUGGUGCUAUCUUUAAGAUUUAGUCGAUAAGGUGAUCCACUAAGUUUAAUUUUGGACUGAUGGGUAUUAAUUCUCAUGGGAUUAAAGUGUAGAGACCGGAAUAAUUAUUUUAAAUUGAUGAGGGUCCAAUUUAAAAUAAAUGAAAGAUAAUAAUCAAUUAUUUAAUAUGGGGUCAUGGUCCCUAAUUACACGUAACUUUCACAAUUCUCUGCAUCCCCAUCAGCAGAGAAGAGAUUUCAAGAAAUCACAUAGCAAUUUGAAGAUCGUAAUCUGUUCAGAAAAACUCAGAUCUAUGGAUUAAGGUACGCUUCCACAAUUUAGUUUUCUCAUUGAUUUCAACAUGGAGAUUUAUAAAAUAUAUGUGAAAGAAUUGAUGAAUCUGGUUCCUUUCAAUUUGCUACAAGAUCCUUCGAAUGGUCUAUGGUGUUCUGGGAAUUUUUGGCAUGGCCGGAACUUAUAAUCUGUUGUUCAUUUAUAUGAUGGAACUUUUACUUACAGUUAUAAGGAAUGCAGCUACUCAAACUACCCAAAUGGGAGCCAUAUUAUCACCGUUCGUGGUGGUAAUGGGCGACAAAAUACCCUUUGUGUUGUUUGGGAUUUGUGGGAUUGCAGGAGGAAUUCUAUAUUUUACUUGUCGAAAACUUUAAACAAGCCUUUGUAUAACACAAUGACAGGAAUACAAGGUGGAGAAAGCUCGAGCAUGGUUGUUUAAGGUCAUUGGAUGUGACAUACCUAGACCUACUCAUAAAAUUUUAUAUUGUACUCUAUACAAUCCUACUUAGUGUUUUGUAUCAAACAUGCUCGUAAUUCAAAGUCAUCUUUACUUCUUUGUUUACAAAUUUCGAGGUAAGCAGAUCGAUAAUACAAAACUCAAAUAAUGUAAAAGAAACCAGAACAAGUCCAAUGUUGAUAAUUGCAUUAUAUGUAUUGAUUCCAUAUAAUAGGGGAAAAUGUAGGCAAUACUACUGGAACUAUAGCUCGUGUGUCAGUAAAAAUGUAAAAUAAUUCACAGUAAAAUUACCAAAUUAAUUUAAACAAAUGAUAGAUCAAAAAACAAUAUUAAUAAAUAUAUAAAUUCUGCAUCUAUGAGACAAUCAUCAACAACAAACUAGGCAUUAUUCUCAAUUUUAUUGAUGUAGGAGUUAGGGGAAAAUGUUAUCGGCAUUAUUUUGUUGAGACGAAUGGGCACGAUCUCUAUGUGAAAUGGGUGCUCCAGCACCCUUCCUAUUAAGGCUAUGCUACGGUGGCUAUUGAGUAUGUUGGAAAAUAUGGAGGAGAAAUGGAGUAGAGACAAGAAUAAUAUCACAAUAACGCAACAACAAAAUAAUUAACACCAGAAACUUGAUAAGAACAAGAUCAAAGGCUAGAACGCGUAAUCGCUAUCCUCAAACUACAUUUGCCUCCUCUCGGGAUUGAUUAAGAUGCUUAAGGAUUUUAGCAAGCGGUUUGUAGGAUUAUAUCAAGCCUUGUAAAUGAUCUAGCACUAAAUCACAAGUGCGACCCUCCAAAAUUUUAAAAACACAAUGAAGAAAAGAGUAUGAAUGUAAAUCAAGAAUUUGAUCUUUGAUAUUGGAAUGAUAUGGAUCACAAAUGUUUGUCACUUGUUUUUGGCUUGAAAUGCAUCGCCUAUAUAUAGGUCACCACCAAUGUGGACGAAUUAGUGCUAAACGAAUUAGUGCUAAAACAAGUCGAAAAGCCACCACAAUUUGGAGUUGCAACGGUAGGAAACCGACCUCCAAUGGUCAAUUUUGUAUAACUAUACGACUACAUAGUAUAAAUCUUUGCGAUAGCAUAGAACAACUUAAAGAGGUCCCAGAAUUCCCGGCAAUUGGCCAUGCGACUGCAUAGUACAAAUUUAUGCAACAGCAUAGAACAAGGUUUUACUUCUAAUACCCUUUUUUUAUUUUUCUUCACAUUUAUUCAUCCCAUUUCAUUUUUCUUGAAUAUGGAACAACAUUUCAACAAUCCCCCACUUAUUUAAAAUUCGAGAAAAAUCUUCGUGCUCAAAUCAUAUGAUACUCAUGCAUAAGGACUAGAUAUCUUUCGAUUUGAAUCUAGCCACAGUGUAAUCCAAACAUAGUAAAAUCGGAAUCAAAGAUAGUUGUAGCUUCGAACCAAUUAUUCUAUGUGAUAAUACUGGUUCGAACACAAACACAAGUACCAAGUGUUCUCAAGUUCCUUAUAACUCACUUAGCGCUGUUAUGGCCUUGCGCUCAUCCUUUUCGACAAACUUUUGAGAGAGAAACUUCAACUCUCAAUUGAGGCAACACCACCUCGAAGUUUGUUUAGGUAAAGUUCUUUCAGUACCUUUGUUAUUUUUAGAAGUACUUGUGUUUUAGCACUGAACUUCAUUAAGAACUUUAGUGCUAAAUCCUCAUUUCAAUAACAACUAGUAUUAUUUUACUUAGGAUAGGAUUAUUGUAGAUUUGAAUAAUGCUGAAACCAUCCCACAUGUCAAAUGACUUGUUUUUACCCUUUGAACCCAUGGAUUACCUUUUGAGUAAUGACCGGUAGGGUAGCCGCCAUUGAUGGACCUUUAUUGCAAAAUGAGUUUCAACCCCAUCCUACUCGAAGUAGAUGUCACUAAAUCUCUAUUUAGUGGUUUAGUAAAAAGAUCUACUAAGUUCUUUGUUGACUUCACAUAAUUUAGGAAAAUUAUUCCAUCUUUGAUUAAUUUCCUUAUGUAGUCCUAUCUUAGACUCAUAUAUCUAGGCUUUCCAUUGUAUAUCUCAUUGUAUGCUUUCGCUAACGUAGUUUAACUAUCACACCUGAUAGGUAUUGAAGACAUAUCCUUUGAUCCCAAAGGUAUCUCAUAGAAGAGAUCCUUAAGCCACUCAAGCUCUUCCCCGGUAUCCGAUAGUGCCACAAAUUCAGAUUCCAUGGUUGAGUGUGUUAUACAUGUUUGUUUCUUUGUUUUUCAAGAAACAGCACCUCCUCCGAGAGUAAAAACCCAACCCAAAGUGGAUUUACUUUCACCCAUGCUAGAUAUCUAACUAGUAUCAGUAAAUCCCUCCAAUACCGCUAGGAAAUUAUUAUAUUGUAGGCCUAAGUUCUUGGUUUUCUUUAAGUAUCCAAGAAUUCCUCGAAUAGCCUUCCAAUGAUCGUUGCUCAUGUUGCUAAUAAACUUGCUAAGUUUACUUAUUGCAUAGGCUAUGUCCGAUCUUGUGCAUUGAAUUUGCAUACAUAAGACUCCCUAUAGCACUUGCGUAUUCCAAUUGAACAAUCACUCUUCCACUAUUCUUUACAAGUGUCAGAUUUGGAUCAAUUGGGUUACUAUACUCCUUUAAAUGUUUGAACUUAUUCAUCACAUUCUCGAUAUAAUGUAAUUGACUCAAAUGGUAACCCCCACAAGUCUUUGUGACUUUGAUAGCCAAAAUGGUAACCACAUGUCCAAGAUCCUUCAUUUUGAAUCUGAAAGAUAGAAACCUCUUCAUUUAUUCUAUACCGUCCAUGUAAUUACUCAUAAUUAAUAUGUUGUCAACAUAUAAGCAUGUAAAUGUCACAUAAUUUUCACAUAUUUUGAAAUAUAAACAUUUAUCUAGACUAUUAUGUUUAAACCAGAAAGAUAUAAUUUCUAAGUCAAACUUUUCAUGCCAUUUUUUAGGUACUUGCUUCAAACUGUAUAAAGAUUUCACCAAAUUACACACCUUAUGUUCAGUCCCAGGUAGGGCGAACCCUUUAGGUUGUUCCAUAUAGACCUCUUCAUCGAGAUCUUUGUUUAGGAAUGCCAUCUUGACAUCCAUUUGAUGAACAUGCAAGUCAUACAUUGAAGCUAAAGCGAAUAAUAUCCUAAUCGAUAUUAUUCUAGCAACUGGUGCAUAAGUAUCAAAAUAGUUGAUUCCUUCCUUUUGUUGAUAUCUUUUGGCUACCAUUCUAGCCUUGAAAGUAUUUAGGGAUCCAUCAACAUUAUAUUUUCUCCUAAAUACCCAUUUGCAUUCAAUAGGCUUGGAUCCUGAAGGUAAAUCAACAAGUUUCCAAGUAUUAUUGGACAUUUCAUCAUGUGUUCCACUUGAGCUAGGGACAUAUUCAAGAUUAAUCCUCAAAGAACUCCACAUCAUUGGAUUUUAUAAUCACAUUGGAUUCCAAAUUUAGCAAUCUAUAAGAUUUGUUAUUAUUCACAAAUCCCACAAAGACACAUUUAAUGCCUCUUGGACCCAAUUAGGUCCUAUUUGGAUUCCUGUUCUUCCAAUAAGCAAGACACCCCCACACCUUGAAAUAUCCAAUGUUUGGUUUUCUUCCUUUCCACAAUCCAUAAGGAGAAACCUUAGUAUAUUUUGAAGGAAACCUAUUAUGUAUCCUACUUGCACUUAAUAAAGUUUCACCCCCACAAGUUAAAUAGAAACUUAGCAUGAAUAAGCUUGGCGUUAACCAUUUCAACUGAGGUUCUAUUUUUUCUUUCAGGUAAACCAUUUUGUUCGGGUGUCCUAGGUGUAGAACAUUGAUGAAUAAUUCCAUGUUGUUCACAAAACAAGUUAAAAUUGCUGAAAAAAUAUUCAGUACCUCUACCACUUCUUAAAGUUUUAUUUUUCUUUCCUAGAUAAUUUUCAACCUCAUUUUUGUAUACUUCAAACAUAUCAAAAGCUUCACUUUUAUGCUUUAUCAAGUAAACAUUUGUAGAUCUAGAAAAGUCAUCAAUAAAGGUAAUAAAAUACCUAUUUCCACCCCUAGUUAACAUGCCAUUCAUUUCACAUUUAUCGGUAUGAAUAAGUUCUAAAAUGUUAGAAGUCCUUUUUACACUAUUAGAAGACUUUUCGAUCAUUUUAGAUUUUACACAUAUCUUGCAUUUAAUUUCAUUAUUUCCAUCAUUGAGAUUAGUUCACAAUUUUUCAUGCGUUUCACGGUACUUAUUCCAACAUAACCUAAUCUAGCAUACCAUAAUGAAAAUAAAUCCACAACAUAAACAAAAUCAGUUUUAUUCAAUUCAUUGUCAACGAUAUAUAAUUUGACCAUUCCUUCACAAUAAUAACAUUUUCCAACAAAUUUCUCGUUAAGGGAUAAUACAAGUUUUACAGAAUUGAAUACACUUUUAAUGCUUGGUUUGCCUAAGAGAUUUCUACUAACCAAGUUCUGGUUCAUAUUCGGAAUGUGUAAUAUAUUUGUUAGAGUAACGGUUUUCCCGGACGUAAAGAUAAUAUCAACAUUUUCCUUGCCAAUUACUUUGGACUGCACUUCGUUACCUAUUUGAAUCUCUUGGCUUCCAUCCAUCUCAUGAUAUGUUUUGAAUAAAGAUUUAUCAUAUGAUAUAUGUAUGGUUGCACAAGUAUCAUACCACCACCUAGAUACUUUUCCUUUGAUAGCAUUUAUUUCAGUUAUGGUGGCCACAAUUUUGUCCUCUUGGAUAGAAUUCAUUUUACCCUUCGAGUUGUUUUGUUUUCGAAGUCUACACUCCUUAGCAUAGUGACCAGAUUUUCCACAAACAAAAUAUCCUCCUUUGGUGUUCUUUUUGGAUUUGUUAAAGUUCCUUGAAAGCUUCUUCUUGUUGGAUUUUGUAGGCCGAUCGGAUUUCUAUACAGCAUUUGCCUUGGAAGUUCUUUCCAAAGGAUUUUCACUCCUAUCACACAUUUUGGAUUUCUCCUCAAUUCGAAGAUUUUUUGCAAUUGUUUCAAGGAAUAAUCUUGGGAACUAUGCAUUAUUUUCUUCCGGUAUCCUUUUCAAGUCCCUGGGAGUUUAGUAAUUAUAGCCCUCACUUGAAAAGUCUACGGGAUUUCAAUCUUCACCGCCUUUAAUUUGUUGACAAUCACUUACAACUCAUGCACUUGGGGUAGAAGGGGAAUAUUUUCUAAAAAUUUAAAAUCAAAGUAUUUAGAAAUCAAAAACUUCUUUGUACCUUCCUCUUCCACUUUGUAUUUACUUUCCAACACGUUCCAGAUUUUUUUUGCCAAAGAAGUGUUGGUAUAUAGAUCAUACAAGCGAUUUGACAAAGCAUUCAAAAUAAAACCACGACAAAUCAACUCAUCUUCUUGGCAUUUUUGCCUCUCGACCUUGAUUGCUUCGGUUUCUCCAUUUGCUGAUUCCGACAAAGGCACCAAAUCUGGAUCAAGAAUUUAGAUGAUCUUCAAUACUGUUAAUAGAAAUUUUAACUUGUCUUGCCACCGAGAGAAGUUUGUCCCAUCAAACCGAUCCAAUUAAAUCAGAUCUUGAUUAAUAAAUUUGAUGGUCGCCAUGGUCAUCUCAUUCUCUAUCGUAGGAUAAGUAUAGUUUGAGAUUAUUGGAAAAUAUGGAGGAGAAAUGGAAUAGAGACAAUAAUAGUAUCACAAUAAUGUAACAACAAAAAUAAUUAAUACUAGAAACUUGAUAAGAACAAGUCGAAGGCUCGAACGCGUAAUCGCUGCACCCAAACUAUAUUUGCCUCCUCUCGGGAUUGAUUGAUAUGCUUAAGGAUUUUGGCAAACGGUUCGUAAAAUUAUAUCAAGCCUUGUAAAUGAUCUAGCACUAAAGCACAAGUACGACCCUCCAAAACUUUAAGAACACAAUAAAAAAAAGAGUAUGAAUGUGAAUCAAGAAUUUGAUCUUUGAUAUUGUAAUGAAUAUGGAUCACAAUGUUUCUCAGUUAUUUUUGGCUUGAAAUGCAUCACCUAUAUAUAGGCCACCGCCAGUGUGCAUGAAUUGGUACCAAAAUAGGUCGAAAAGCCACCACAAUUUGGAGUUGCAACAGUAGGAAACUGAUCUCCAACGGUCAAUUUUGUAUAACUAUGCGACUGCAUAGUAUAAAUCUAUACUAUCGCAUAGAACAACCCAAAGAGAUCCUAGAAUUCCUUGAAUAGGCCAUGCGAUUGCACAGUAUAAAUCUAUGCGACAACAUAGAACAAUGUUUUACCUCUAAUACCCUUUUUUUUAUUUUUCUUCCAAUUUAUUCAUCCCAUUUAAUUUUUUCUUGAAUGUUGAACAACAUUUCAACAGAAUAACCCUCUCCGACAAGACGUUGUCCUCCGAUAUUGAUGAAAGAGAUGGCUGCCAAUCAAUAACCCCACAACGCCUCUCCGUGGCGGCCCUUUCCUGCUUCCGUCCUACGCGGGGCAAGCUUCUGGCAGCACCUGCAAUCUCUACUUCUCCGGUGGCUGCUGUUGAGCCCCUGCACUACUAUAGCCAGAACCAUAACAGAAGAAAAACUUCAUAAUUACACACAAAACACCCAAUUGCAACAAAGAAUGGGAACAACCUAUGAGUAAUUAUAAUCUCUACAAAAUAGUGAUAAGUGUUAAUUUGAUUUAUCUUUUCUGCUUUUGUGUGUGUUUCAUAUGCGUGUUUCUUUUUUCGAAAAUCAAUUGUGCAAUUUGUAAUUUAGUGUUAUUAUAGAUUGGUGGCUUGGCUUUUCAACAAAAGUUUUGUUUGUCAUUAUCAUAUAAUCGAAGUUAAUGCUCCCCCAAAUCUCAAUUUUAUUACGUGCAAUUCCUGUUUUUAAAUAGUGGAGUUCCCAUGAAUCGCCGGUGGGAAAGAUCCAGUUUUUUUGGUGAUUGAAGAGUGGCAAUUACAGAUUGAGCCAACUUUAUAAAUGUACUGCUUAAAAUCCCUAUUUAAGUUUUCUUGGCAUAUGCAUCCUGACAUCGAGCCCAUGUUUGAUUUAGCUAAUUAAUAAAAAAAAAAAAGAUUUUUAACAAAAAUUGGUAAAAGUUAUAGAUCCUGUGAAAUGUGUGAUUCAAAAUAAGUUUUGAAAAAAUAAUUUUAGAGAAUGUGGAUCAAACAAGUCUAAAUUUGGCGUACAAAUUCAUUCAUUUUUAUAUUAACGUGACAUUAUUUACACAAUCCUUUUAUUUGAGAGAUUAUUAGAGUAGGGAUGUUAAAUAUGUGAAAGUUUAGCUCAAGAUUGUAGCUCAAUCGAGUCAACUAGACUGAACUUUAUGGCUAAAAAAAUAUGACCUGGCACAGUCACACAGUCUGCUAUAAUAGACAGACCAACCUGUGCAUAGGUCCAAUUUAAGUACCAGUAGCAUAGAUGGCAAACAACAUAUUAUAAAAUAAUAAUAUUUAACAUCAGUCUAGGUGGCCGUAUUUUUUAUGUUUAAUUAAUUGAGUUAUGUGGCUUUGCAAAUAAUUGAAUCUAUUUUUUAAUACCAUGCAAUUAUUAUAUAAACUGGUGUUUAACGCCAAUGCAUAUGAAUAGCAUUACACUACGGUAUAACUUCAUCAUUUCACUCCACACAAAAAAAUAAAAAUAAAAAUAAAAAUAAAAAAAUUAAACGAUUCGCUAUAACUCUACAGCGAGAUGGAUAAAGUUGCACAUCAAGGUAUGAUAACAAUCAUUUUCUAUCAACAAUAUGGACGUACAUUGUACCUAAUAGGUAUAUCUCAAAUUUAGAAAUGGUUUAUCUCAAAUUUCGAAAUGGGUUUAUUAUUAUUAUUAUUAUUAUUAUUAUUAUUAUUAUUAUUAUUAUUAUUAUUAUCAUCAUCAUCAUCAUCAUCAUCAUCAUCAUCAUCAUCAUCAGAAAAAUAGGCUUAUUCUUGUCGAUGAUAUUCUAUAGUUAACAUGAUUUUCUACAAUUCUAUUCCUCUAACUUAGAUUUUAUGUCAUCAUCAGAAAAAUAGGCUUAUUCUUGUCGAUGAUAUUCUAUAGUUAACAUGAUUUUCUACAAUUCUAUUCCUCUAACUUAGAUUUUAUGAAAUUUAUAGGCGAUUUAAUAUAUAUAUAUAUAUAUACUAGUCUUGUGCCAUGCAAUGCAUGGCUUGAAUUUUAUAAAAGGAGAUAUUAGCAUAUUAAAUAAGGAAACAAAGGGAGACUGCAAACAAUAAAAAACUGAUUCGAUUAAUUAAACGAUUUAAUUAUAUCAAUUAGAUAUUCAACAAUAAAAAAAUGAUUCGAUUAAUUAAACGACUUACUUAUAUUGAAUAUAGUAUUAUCAAAUACGUCAUUUAUAAGUAAAAUAAUCACUUAGACUAAAAUAAUAAUGUUUGAAAAAAUACAUUUGAAUUAUAGCAACAAGAAAUUGAGCCAACAAAUUUUUUAUCUUAAUUAUUUUAACAUCUAAAAAAAAUUUAUAUAUAAAAAAAAUUCGGUAAUUUUUAGGAAUUUUUUUUCUUAUUGUUACUUUUUCUUCUUGAUAAAUUAAUUUUUAAAAUAAUCUAAUACAAUUUUUUGCAUAAAAGAAUUAUUAUUAAAAAAAUUUACGUUAAAACCAAAAAAAAAAAAAAAAAUUUGACGUCAAACAAAAAAGAAUUAAAAAGGAAAAAAGAAAUAAUUUUUUUAAAAAAAAAUGCAUUUUUAACACAUACGUUUAAUCUCCGUUUAACUAUUUUCGAUAUUUAUUUAGAUCAUUCGAUAUCUCUACGAUAUAGUUCUCAAAAUGAGUUUCGAGAGAAUGUAAACAUUUACUGAUUCGACUAUCGUACAAUCGUUGACGAAUUUUUAAAGUUAACUUGUUAUCGAAAAUUUUGAAAUAGUAAUAAAAUAAUUGAUUUUUUUAAGAAAAACGAAUUAUGUGUAUUUUUUAACACAUACGUUUAAUGUCCGUUUAACUAUUUUUGAUAUCUAUUUAGAUCAUUCGAUGUCUCUACGAAAUAGUUCUCAAAAUGAAUUUCGAGAAAAUGUAAAAUAUUUAUCGAUUCGACUAUCGCACAGUCGUCGAUGAAUUUUUAAAGUUAACUUGUUAUCGAAAAUUUCGAAAUAUUGUUUGAAAAUGUCUACAUUGACGUCCGAUAACAUUUGCUAUGAUUGACCGUUUCACGCACCGUUAACGACGUGCAAUACUAUAUCGCGAGUAUUUCAAAAUGAUAUUAAAAAUAUAAUAUUUCGACUUCAUUUGAUAUCCCGUAAUGAGCCUGAAAAUAAAAAAAAACAUAAGUAAAAAAAAAAUUCGAGAGAAUGUAAAACAUUUAUCGAUUCAACUACCGUAUAAUCGUCGACGAAUUUUUAAAGUUAACUUGUUAUCGAAAAUUUCGAAAUAAUAAUAAAAUAAUUGAUUUUUUUUAAGAAAAACAAAUUAUUCGUAUUUUUUAACACAUACGUUUAAUAUCCGUUUAACUACUUUUGAUAUCUAUUUAAAUCAUUCGAUGUCUCUACGAUAUAGUUCUCAAAAUGAGUUUCGAGAAAAUGUAAAAUAUUUAUCGAUUCGAUUAUCGCACAGUCGUCGAUAAAUUUUUAAAGUUAGCGCAUUAACGAAAAUUUAGAAAUAUAGUUUGAACAUACCUACUUUGACGUCCGAUAACAUUUGCUAUAAUUGACCGUUUCACGCACCGUGAACCACGUGCAAUACUAUGUCGUGAAUACUUCAAAACGAUAUUAAGAAUAUAAUAUUUCGACUUUAUUUGGUAUUCCGUAAUGAACCUGAAAAUGAACACAAAAACAUAAGUAAAAAAAAAAUUGAAUUAAGGCACUUCGCACUGCGCGGAGUGCUUGCCAGUGAGCACUCCACGCAGCGCGGAGUGCUUCACAGCUUUUUUUUUAUUUUUUAUUUUUUAUUUUUUUUACGGAUUGUUUUGGUAAUUCGAACGUAACUUUGGCUACGGUUGUCAGAAUCGUGCCCAUGACCCCAAUUCGGAAAGCUUUUUUCGAUGCGCACGUCGUGGCCACCUCGCUAAGCUGGGUGGACAUCGUUUUCGAGGUCAAAAUUCGCUAUUUUUCCUUCCUCUUCAUUUACACGUUUGAUGUUUGUUUAACUAUUUUCGAUAUUCAUUUAAAUCAUUUGACAUGUCUAUGACAUAGUGCUCGAAAUGAGUUUCGAUGUAAUAUAGAAAAUAUAUUUUUUUAUACAUUUUACGUAAAGGAAUUAAGAAAAGUAGGGUGAUAAUAAUUUUAUUAGGAAUUUUUAUGCCAAAAACAAAAAAAAAAAUAUUUUACGCAACAUCUAUAAAAAAUAUAUUUUCUAUAUUCUAUCAAACUCAUUUCGAGAAUUAUAUUAUAGACAUAUCGAAUGAUUUAAAUGAAUAUCGAAAAUAGUUAAACAAACAUCAAACGCGUAAAUGAAGAGGAAGGGAAAAUAGCGAAUUUUGACUUCGAAAACGAUGUCCACCCAGCCUAGCGAGGUGGCCACGACGUGCGCGUCGAAAAGAGCUUUCCGAAUUGGGUUCAUGGGCACUAUUCUGACAACCAUAGCCAAAGUUAUGGUCGAAUUACCAAAACAAUCCGUAUACAAAAAAAAAAUAAAAAAUAAAAAAUAAAAAAAAAAUUGUGAAGCACUCUGCGCUGCACGGAGUGCUCACUGGCAAGCACUCCGCGCAGCGCGGAGUGUUUAAUUUUACUCUUCUUCUUCUGUUUGCUUUUUGCUUUUUUUUUUUUGGACUAAUUUUUUUUUCUAAAUUUAUUAUUAUUAUUAUUUUUUAAUUUGGCUAUAAGUUUUGCUACAGUUAUCGGAAUUGAGUCCAGGACCCCAAUUCAAAAAGCUCUUUUCUACACGCACGUCAUGGCCACCUAGCUUCGCUUGGUGGACAUCGUUUUCGAGGUCAAAUUUCGCCGUUUUCCCUUCCAAAUCUCCAAUUAUAGUUUGACGUCAAAUUUAAAAAAUGCGUAUAACUCGUCAUUUUUUUUAAACGCAACAUCUAUAAAAAAUAUAUUGUCUAUAUUUUAUCGAACUUGUUUCGAGAACUAUAUUAUGGACUCAUCGAAUUGAUCUAAAUGAAUAUCGAAAAUAGUUAAAGUUACAUCAAACGCGUUUCUUAAAAAGUUUACAAAAAAAUAUAUUAAUAGUAUAAUUAAAAAAAUUAAAAUUAAAAUUAAGAAAAAAACUUGUCUGUGCAAAGUCAACAACUGUGGGCGCAAGUGACCAUUAAGUCCUCAAUGUGUUAAUUAGUGUAGGGUGAGAUUUUCAAGGGUAAAGUGGGAAAACAAUGUAAAGGAGGAAAAAAAAAGAACAGGACAAACUACUGUAGCAAAACUGGAUAAAUUGGAAUCAAGUGUGAAAACGGCUGUGACAUAAAUGAACAGUACCAAAAGCCUCUCUUUUAAGAGAGUAAAGAUGUGUGUGUGUAAAGCUUAUACAUUUCUUCCUUCGAACUCCAUUUGUGGAAGACAAAGAACCUCCAAUAGUUGUAUUAACUAUUUCUGUAGUUAUUGAUUUCUAUUGUUUCAAACUUUGAAAUUAAGGAAUUGAAUGGACAUGUUUAAGAUUUCAUCGACGUUGUUUGUUAGUUUGUAGAUUAAAAUUUUAACAUCAUCAUUUUUUUAGUUUUUUGAGUUUAAACUUUAAUAUAUUAACUUCCCGAAAAAGAAUAAUCAAAAUACUAAUCAUAAUUUUUUUAGGCAAACGAAAAUAAGGUAAUCCAUUGCUAAUCAUUGACAAACUUUAGCCGUAGGUAAUUUGUGGCGGAAAAUUGUUGCUAAAAUUGUUGUAAUUAGAUGCAAAAAUUGUCAUUGGUAAGUACCAAUGAACUUUUUUUUUAUCGCUAAUUUAUCAAUGGACAAAUUAGCAACGAGGAUUUCAUCAUCCGAUAUCACCCAUUUGCAAAUCAAAGAACCAUUAAAUUCACGAAAAUAUAUAUAAAAAACUUGAAUAGUGAUUGACCAGUGCUACGACCUUAUAGUACAAUGUGUCAACCCACAUAAAUUUAUGGUGAAUAAAUUAUUUAUGACCAAAAUAUAAAUUGUGCCAGAAUGUUAUUCUCAAUUCAAGCACACUGUUGGAAAAUAUUUUAGACCCAAAUACAUGGAAUUAAUCAAUAAUAGGCAACACGUCACUUUAAUUAUUGUUCUUUGAUGUUUCAAGUAAUUAAUUCAAUUAACCCUAAGUUAAACAAUCACAUAAACGUAUAGAUCAAAAUCGGAAUUGGUGGCCAGAAGUUUGGCCUACACAAAUGCCAAUGCGGUCACAUGGUGUCAUGCAGGGACUAAAUGCCCUGCAUGACCUUGUUCAAUGCAACUGCAUAGGUUAGUUCUAUGUAGUCGCAUAGAACAAUUAUGUUAUCGUUGGUGACCGUUUUGGUUUAAACCAUUUUGUGGGGACUGAUCAGGGCAUAAACGAUUGAAAAUACUUAUGAUCUAUACAUCAUUCUACAAACAAAGAUCAAAACUCUAUUCUAUUCCAUAUUCAAUGUUCCUCCCUUGUGUUCUUCAAGUUUUGGGAGAUUUCACUUGUGUUGGUGAUAAUCUUCUUCAAGGCUUAUUAAGAUCUUGCAAACCAUUUGCCAAGAUAUCUUGAAGCAUCUUAUUCAAUUCACGAAGGACCAAAUAUCGUUUGAGGACAAGGAUAUCAUGUUUGGGCCUUUAUCUUGAUAUCUUGAUCCUAGAUUUAUAUUCUUGUUUUGCAAUGUCCUAAAAUUUCAUAGAUUAGAAUUUAAUUUAUAUGUACUAUAUUUUAAUAUUUUGGAAGUUUAGGGACCAAAAUAUAUAUAAAGUAAAUUUCAAUAUUAUCGGAUGUUAAAAUAUAGACGUUGACGAAGCGAUGAUAAGUAUAUGAAUAUUGGGCUUAUUGGAAAGAUCGUAAUUAAUCAUGCAUGUUAGGCUCGAGAAAAAAUUAAUUUGGAUUAGCGGAACCCAAGUUAUCGAGAUUGAAAGAUAUAGCUUUAAACUUAUAUUUUAAUUGAUUAUUUAAUGUAUCUAAAAUUUAAUGCAUCUAAGGAAGGCAAGUGGAAUUUACAAUUGAUUCGGUUCAUGGAGUAGCACCUGUAUCCAAAGCCCCAUACCGAAUGGCAACAAAGGAACUUCAAGAAUUGAAGUUGCAAUUAGAAGAGUUGCUGGAGAAAAGUUUCACUCAACCAAGUGUAUCUCAUUGGGGGGGCUCGUGUACUUUUUAUCAAGAAGAAGGAUGGGAGUAUGAGGAUGUGCAUUGACUACCGAGAAUUGGAUUAUUUGACCAUCAAAAAUAAGUACCCGCUACCAAGAAUAGAAGAUCUGUUUGACCAGUUAAAGGGUGCUGCAGUGUUUUCAACGAUCAAUUUGAGGUCAGGAUAUCACCAGCUGAAAAUCAGGGCAAGCGAUAUAUCGAAAAUUGCUUUUAGGACUCAUUAUGGGUAUUAUGAAUUCACUGUUGUGCCUUUUGGUUUGACCAACGCUCCAGCUGUAUUCGUGGAUCUCAUGAAUAGAGUGUUCCAUCAGUAUUUAGACCAAUUCGUCAUAUUGUUUAUUGACGACAUACUUGUGUACUAAAAGGAUAAGAAGCAGGGUGAGGAACAACUUCGAAUAAUACUCGAAACUUUAAGGAAUGAGGAACUACAUGCCAAAUUCAAGAAAUGUGAAUUUUGGGUUGAUCGCAUAGGUUUUCUUGUUCACGUGGUUACAGCCAAAGGGAUCAAAGUGGACCUUGCUACAGUGGAAGCAGUAACAAAUUGGCCAAGGCCGAGUAGUGUGGGUAAACUUCGCAGUUUCUUGGGAUUGGUGGGUUAUUAUAGAAGAUUUAUUGAAGGCUUCUCAAAAAUAGAAGGGCCAAUGAUUCAGCUAACAAGAAAGGGUAAGAAGUUUCAGUGGACAGAAAAAUGUGAAAAAUGUUUUCAAGAACUUAAGCAGAGACUAGAUUCAACUCCUAUACUGGCGAUACCUGAAGGUUUAGAGGGAUUUGUGAUUUACAGUGAUGCUUCCAAGCAGGGUUUAGGUUGUGCACCGAUGCAGCAUGGAAAAGUGGUUGCUUAUGCUUCCAGACAGUUGAAGCAAUAUGAACAAAACUAUCCAACGCACGACUUGGAACUUGCAGUAGUAGUUCACGCCUAAAAAAUAUGGCGUCAUUAUCUGAAUGGUAGGAAGUGUGAAAUUUAUACACACCACAAGAGUCUUAAAUAUUUCUUCACAUAGAAAGAAUUGAACAUGAGACAGGGAAGAUGGUUGAAAUAAGUGAAAGAUUAUGACAGCAUGAUUCAUUGCCAUCCGGAUAAGGUCAACGUAGUUGCAGAUGUCCUAAGCAAAAAGACGGGAUCACAGUUAGCAAUUCUGCCCAUGGUGCAGGAAUACUUGAUACGGGACUUUGAGAAACUAAGAUUGAAAGUUAUCACACCGCCGACUAAGACUACAGCAAUGAUUAAAGUGUUCAUGAUUCAACCUACACUUCAGGAUCGAAUUAAGGAAGAGCAAGAUAAGGAUCAAUUUCUAUGGAAGAUAGAGACUGAGAUUGGUUCAAACAAACGUAUAAGGUUUGAAGUAUCUGCAGAUAACGUGCUAACUUUCAAAGGAAGGUUAUGUGUACCUAAGGAUAAAAGUAUAAUAAAGAAAAUAUUGGAAGAUGCUCACUUUACCCCCAUAUUCGGCACAUCCAGGUGGUACAAAAAUGUAACGAGAUCUCCGAAAUACAUUUUGGUGUAGAAACAUGAAGAGAGGAAUUGGUCUACUCGUUGAAAAAUGUAUUAUGUGUCAGUAAGUCAAGGCUGAACAUCAAAGGCCAUCAGGACUAUUGAAACCGUUGAAUAUUCUAGAAUGGAAGUGGGAACACAUAAUAACGGACUUUGUGGUAGGUUUCUCAAGGUCAGCAAAAGGAUACAAUUAUAUCUAGGUAGUGGUGGAUCGUUUAACGAAAUCAGCCCAUUUUCUACCAAUCAAAGUAAACUUCAACAUGGAACAACUCACAUAGUUAUACAUCAAAGAGAUAGUCAGAUUACAUGAAGUUCCAGUCACAAUUAUUUCAGAUAGAGACCCAAGGUUCACAUUUAAAUUUUGGAAAAGUUUACAAACAGCCAUGGGGAUGAAACUGAAGUUUAUGACCCUUCGUCAUCCUCAAAUGGAUGGACAAUCAGAAAGAACCAUCCAAACUCUGGAUGAAAUGUUGAGGGCAUGUAUUUUGGAUUUUGGUAGUAGUUGGGAGACACGCCUACCUUUAGUGGAGUUUGCUUGCAACAAUAGUUUUCAGGCCACUAUAGGUAUGGCCCCAUAUGAAGCUCUUUAUGGUUGAAAGUACAGAUCCCCUAUCCAUUAGGAUGAGGUCGAGGAUAACAGAAUUUUGGGUCCUAAAAUCAUUGAACGAACAGUUGAGGCAGUUGAUAAGAUUAGAGCAAGAAUAAAGGCAGCACAAGACCGACAUAAAAGUUAUGUUGACAAUAGAAGAAUGAAUUUGGAAUUUAGUAUGGGAGAUAACGUUUUUCUUAAAAUAACACUCAUGAAGGGUGUAUUGAGAUUUGGUAGGAAGGGACAGUUGAGACCACGAUUUAUUGGACCUUUUGAGAUCCUUGAAGGGAUUGGUGUUGUGGCUUACCGAAUUGCCUUACCACCUGAACUUGCAGCUAUACAUAAUGUGUUCCAUGUUUCGAUACUCAGAAAAUAUGUUGGAGAUGCAAAAAGACUUGUCAAAUGAAGAAAUCCCGAGAAUGAUAGAAAAGUGCAUCAACUUAGAAACAAGGAAAUUUCCCUAGUCAAGGUCCAAUGGAAAAAUCAUGGAUUUGAUGAGUCAAUUUUGGAGAGAGAAGAGAAGCUAAACCAAGUAUAUUCAGAGCUCUUCGAUUAACUAAGGUAAAUUUUCAAAGGCAAAAUUAUUUUAAGGAGGGGAGAUUGUAAUGUCCCAAAAUUUCAUAGAUUAGAAUUUAAUUUAUGUGUACUAUAUUUUAACAUUUUGGAAGUUUAGGGACUAAAACAUAUAUAAAGUAAAUUUCAAUAUUAUCGGACAUUAAAAUGUAGAUGUUGACAAAGGGACGAUAAGUAUAUGAAUAUUGGGCUCGUUGGAAAGAUCGUAAUUAAUCAUGUAUGUUAGGCGCGAGAAAAAGUUAAUUUGAAUUAGCGAAGCCUAAGUUAUCAAGGUUGAAAGAUAUAGCGUUAAACUUAUAUUUUAAUUGAUAUAUAUAUAUAUAUAUAUAUUAUUAGUCACCAACCACCACCAAUAUAAAAGAAAAGGGGAGAGAGAGAGAGAAACUUUAUUAAUUCUAGUUUCAAUUUGUUGGCCAUGUGUAUGAGAUGUAUUGCUUGUUGAGUAGUAUAGUUGGUUGACAAGACUUGGUCAAUUAUUUUAUUUCAAAAGUCCGUUUCCCAAUUUUUAUCCACUCUCCUAUCCUACUUCUACAUGUUUCCCCAACUGCACACCUACCUUACUAGACUAGAUCAUGGGGUGAUAUAGAUGUAUAUCAAAAGGAGACAUAUGCAUAAGUACACAAUUGUGGAGAAAGAAGAAAGUUGAAAUCAGGUAAAUUACAGACUUCAUAUUUUAUGCAGUGUAAAAGGAAUCUUACUUUGUACCUUAAAAUUUAUAGAUACUUAUACCUGUGGUACUGAAAUUUAAAAUAAGAAGUCAAUUUCAAACUAUAUAAAUUCUUGAAGCGGGGAGAAGGAUUUUUGGAGUGUGAUUUCUUUGGUUUUGUCUUCCAAAAUUAAAACGAUCUAAUAAGGUAGGAUAUUAAAGUGCAAUGUUCUCUGUCCCGUUUAAUUAUUAUUUUUACAUGUUAAUGAAUUUUGUACUCAUGAAAGUUAAAGUUAUGAUAUGAAAUGCUAUGAUAUGAAUGAUAUGGCCAUUUCUGGUACAAUGAUAUGAUAUGAGCUUUUACCGGAUCUUAAAGAUAUGAGACGGUAUGAUAUUUUAACACGUCUUUAAAAUUAUUAUUCGGGAUCAGACCAUUAAAAAUUUAGAUCCUAAUGAGUAUUCCCACGUACUCACCAUUUUCUUUACAACUCAUCAUUUAGAUCGGAUCGUGUUGGAGCGUGAUGGUUCGAUGGUACGGUUGUGCCUCAUUUUUCGCUGGAAAAAAUUUAACACUUAAUUUUAUCUCUUUUAUUUUUGUUGUCGUGGACACUUAACUUGAUUGAAUUAUCGUUAAUGUUAUUUGUUGGAAUAUAGCAGUGAUUUUGCAAUUGCUCGUGCUUAUUGUUGGAUUUAAAACGAUGAAUUAUAUCUCUUUUGUCAUUGCCAACUAUUGCUUGAAUUGGAUUUUCACGUGCAAGACAAGGGGAGUUAAAUUACUUAAAUUGACUUAGAUGAUUUGAUAUUUAUUAUAACAUGUUUGGCCAUGCUCAAGCAACGCAUUAUUUCAUUGUUUGUGGAUGAGGAACAUCCUUUGAUGAACUAGUUGGCUUGUGUGUAACUUUAAUACUUCCUGGACAUUUGAUGUAGGUCAUAGGAUAUGAGAGUCAUAUAAAUCACCUGCUUGCUUACCAUCUUUGACUAAUUAAUUGGAUGGGGACAUAGUAUCCAAUAAAAUUUGCCUUUCAGUGGUUGAUGUACCCAAUAAAAUAAUAAAAAUGUGUGCCUUUCCUAAGAAUAAAUGAAUUAAUUUAUUAGUCUGUUAAGUUAACAUACAGAAUUGUAUUUGUAGAGACCUCUGCCUAUUUCCAUUUAUACGGUUCAGAAAUUAGUUCAUUCAUACGUCACCAUUUAGCCUCUUCUUUUCAAAUGAAUGAAUCAUAUGUGGUUUAAAAUAACAUUGACCAUUUUAUAAAUAAAUCUUUUGGUAGCAAUUCAAACCCUUAAUUAUUGGGUCGUUAUACGUUUCUCCAUUUCUCUUUUGUGAAAGAUAUAUUUUCCAAUAAUCCCAAAUGAUAUUUUGCAAUAGAGAACGAAACCACCAUGGUCACAAUUAAAUUGAUAGAUCAAGAUUUCGUCCAAUUGGAUCGCUUCGAUGGAACAAACUUCACGAGAUGGAAAGAUAAAUUGAAGUUUCUACCAACAGCGUUGAAGAUAUUCUAUAUUCUAGAUCAAGAAUUGGAACCACUACCAGAACCAAUGAAUGAAAAAAUCGAAGCCAUAAAAGCAGAAAGAUAAAAGCACCAAGAAGAUGAACUCAUAUGUCGUGGACAUAUUUUCAACACGUUAUCUAUAGAUUAUAUGAGUUCUACAACAAUACCUUUUCCGCAAAGGAGAUUUAGAAUGCAUUCGAAAGUAAGUAAAAGGCUAAAGAUGAAGGUACUAAGAAAUUUUUUAUUUCAAGGUAUUUUGGUUAGAUUUUAUACUGUAAUUCGCAAUUCUAUUAACAAAAAUGAUAUAAUUGAACUUUUGUAAAGUCAAGGACUUGGGUUGCAAUUUUUAUAGAUGAUUUAGGUUUGGGUUUGAGAUUGGAAUAAGGUAGAAGAUUCGCUGGAUUUUUGCUAGCUACUCGCCAAGUUGUUGCUCGAGCGUUAGAAACAGAACCAUCGUCCCUCGCUUGUCGUCCCUACGUCACUCGAGUGAAAAAGCUAUCGCUCGCUUUUCGUUAGAGUGUCACUCGAGGGACAGUAUCAUGUGGCCAAAGCUUAGGUCACGGUUUGAAGAAUGUUAGACGGCCUAUGACGCUUAUUUGCCCCCAACUCUAAAUACUAGAAUCAUGGAUGAAAUUCUAGAGGUUGUUACACUGUGCUUGCACUUCUACACCUAGUUAUAACAUCAAUUAAGAUCCAAGGAGUGCUACAUGUAUUGAUUCAUCGACAUUGUUCUUGUAAUCUGGCAACCAAGUUUUGGAAAACAUCUACAGUUUAAUAAUCCAAAACACCUGGCUUCCUCAAUUCAUUAAGGAAUGGACAUUCUCGUUGGGGAUUGAGAGAAGUGGACUUCAAGCGUAGAGAAAGCACCAAAGUAGGAGAUUCUUGAGAAUUCCACUUGGAAGAAGCAAUUUGUUUAAUGGUUAGUCUUCUCCUAGUACCACGGUUAAUAAUGUUGUCACUCCCAUCCCAUAGAAAACUAGUCUAAGGCUGAACUAGAUAAUUGUAACUAGAAUAGCAAAGCCCUACAUGCCCUUUUUAUGGUCGUGUCACCAGAAGAGUGUAGGAGAGUGUCCAUGUGUGAGGUUGCGAAAAAAGUUUGGGAUAUCUUAGAAACCACACAUGAGGAAACUCAGGUAGUUAAGAAUUCGAAGCUGCAGAUGCUGACCACUAGGUUUGAAGAAAUUAGAAUAAGAGAUGAUUAAACUUUUAAUUUCUUCUUUGCGAGCGUAACUGACAUAGUAUAUUCUAGCUUCAUCUUAGGAGAGAAAAUCCCCGAGCCUAAGAUAGUGAGAAAAAUUCUUAGUUCCUUACCUAAGCGUUUCAGACAUAAAUUCAUGAAAAUUGAGGAAAGUAAGGACAUAGGUACUAUCAAGGUGGAAGAGUUAGUUGGAUCCCUCCAGACCAAUGAGCGGACUUUAGAUAAACCUGUUUAGGAUAAGCCUUUGAGCCUAAAAUCUGUGAAGAACAAUCAGACUAAAUCUUUUGAUUCAGAUUCACCAAAUGAUAAGGAGUCAGCCUACCUAGCAAAGAAAUUUCAAAAGAUGAUUAGGAAUAAAAAGAAAUCUCAGGAGAGACAAAGAGGUGGCCUGAAUGAAUCUAGGAGAAAAUGAAAUUGGUGAGGUGCCAUAACUGUCAAGGCUUCGGUCAUGUAAGGAAUGAGUACCCUAGUACUAGAAGAGUUGAGGAAAAGGCUAUGAAUUCUACCCUCAUUGAUGAUGAAUCUAGUUCGGACAAUUAGAGUGAGAAAUCCACUCGUGAGGAAAGUGGAAGAUAUGUUACCUUUGUUGCUAGGGUUACGAGUGGAUUCGUCCAGGGAGUGGGAGAUAUGAGGACAUGGUUAGUGGUGAGGAAAUUGAAAAUGAGGAAGAUAUCUAAGAGGCAUAUGAGAAAAUGUAUCAGGAGAGUCUUAAAAUUCUUUGUAAGAACAAAGCCUUAAGUACGAUGGUUAAGGAGCUUUAGCUGGAGAAAGAGAAGUUAGUAGCAUGCAAUAAGGAAUCUUUCACAAUCCUGAGUGAACUUAAAAUGAUUAAUGAAUCUUUAUAGUCUCAGGUUAAGAAUCUUACCAGUGAGCUUGAGAGGUCCUCUAUGAAAGUCAAUGAGCUGACCGCCAAGAAUGAGACUUUAGAAAUCAAGGUUAUGAACCUUGUAACCGAUCUAGAACUUGAAUAGAAAUAGGAACAUGAACCUUAAUAGGAAUAAAAAUUAGAUGUAUGUGGGUCAUAUUGGAUUCCUUACUAAUCAAGUGAAUCAUUCGACCAAGCUGGUGACAUAGUUGUCUAGGAACUAUUCUCCCACUAGACAGGUAUGGGUGAAGAAGAGUGAUCAGCAAAACCUUGAGAUAGAUCACGAAGCUCUUAAGGGAAAGAGCACUCUUAUACCUAAAUGAAGAGGUAUUCUUGGUGCAUGCUUGUUUUUAACUAUCAUAUGAUUUAUGCAUGCAUCACUUUUAUUUGUUGUUUAAUUUAUUUAUUUAUUAUUUUUUUUGUAGUGGUUUCAUACAUGUGCAUUUCUAUCGUGUUUGCAUUGGCACAUGCAUAUUUUGUUGUGUUUUUGGGUGCUUAAAUUUUUUUUUCUUUUUUUGUGUGAGAGAUUCAUUUUUGAAAAAGAAAAACACAAAAAAAAAUGAAAAAUGAAAAACAAAAAAAAAAGGUAUGUUGGAAAUGAAAUUUUUACUGCAGCACAAUGUAUAAUAUUCUUAAAUUUGUAUGUUGGGAUCAUGUAUGAGCUUGUGGAGUACUUUGUAUAGGUGUUUUCAUGUAUCAUUUGCACUGCACACACUAUGACACUGUUAGUAAGACUCUAUCGCACCUAUGAGAUUUGGGAUGGUUGUCACAUGUUAGUAGGGUGACUUUGAACAUGAAUUGAUCGAAUUUAUUAGACCUAAACUCAAAAAUAUUCCCCGAUCAUAUAAAAGCUCAGUAGCUUAAUGUUUUUCUUCGGGGCCUACUUUACUCGAGUAAUUGGGCCAAUGGGGUUCUUUAAAACGUGGUGCCUAUGGUCAACUGACUUGAAUUAAUCGGUCUAAAGUUCGUUACAGAGGUCAUCAUAAUCACCUAAUGGAAAAGAACUUGUACUUAAGAUGAAACAUGAAUGAGCUUGGAAAAUGUGAAAGAUAUAACGAGCUAGAAAAUGUGAAAAUUUUAAAAAUAUAAAUGCUCGAAGUUAAGGGGAGAAAAAUGAAUAAUAAGUAUAUAUCAUAAUGCACUCACAUGGUUUGACAUUCAUAAAUCGGAGAAUAUACAUAUUGAUAGUGAUUAGCAUGUACCUUCUCACAAAAUUAAGGUUUGGAGUUCUGCUUGUAUUGGAUUAGUGACACUUAACACACACAUGAGUCACUUAUAUAAUUUACUCCACUCUAACUUAAAAUGAGUACGUGGGGAGGUUUACUGCUUGUCAAUUAUACUUUUGCAUGCUACCAACUUCAUUUCUAAAUGGUUAUUUGUUAUUGCUUUAAUUGAUUUGAUAUCAUUCCCUUCAGUAUCUGUGACAAAAGGAGGAGAAAAUAUGGAACUGAGGGGGAGAGAAUAAAAGGCAUAUACAUAGGGAGAGCGAUUACAUUGCAUUUGUUAAUAUUUUUGCAUUUUAUGUCUAGGGGUCGUUGGGAAAAGACAUAGAUACAUUGUGUUACUGAACAAAAUUCAUGAGAGAUUGUAGGAAGGGAGAGCAUUGCAUUACAUUCCUGUUUAAGUUUUAAUGCAAUCAUAUCCAUUACUAUUUGAGUUUUGAUGUUUAUUGAUGUUGGUGUUUUAGUUGACAUCAAUUUGAUGUCUCAAACUAGCAUGUUGAUUUGUGAUUAAGUGCUUUAUUUGUUAUAUGUCAUGUAUUACGUGUUUUAUACUGGGUAUGUGAGCGUUGGAUUUCAAGAAACAUGUUUAACAAGGAAUGAAGACUCAGUGAUCGGGUAUACUAGGUAGAAUAGGUUAUUUGUUUUCAAGUCUUGACUUAUUUUGUAUAGAUUUAUCACAGAAUGCCAAAGGGGGAGAUUGUUAGGUUUUAUAUUGUAAUUGGGAAUUUUGUGAACAAAAAUGACAUAAUUGAACAUUUGUAAUAGUCAAGGACUUGGGUUGCAAUUUGUAUAGAUGGUUUAGGUUAGGGUUUUAGUUUGGAAUAAGGUAGAAGACUCACCAAAUUUUAGCUAGCUGCUCACCAAGUUGUUGCUUGAGCAUUAGAAAUAGAACCGUUGUCGCUCGCUUGUCACCCCUGUUUCGCUCAAGUGAAAAAGUUGUCGCCUGCUUUUCUUUGCUAGAGUGUCGCUCGAGCGAUAGUGUCACGUGGGCAAAUCUUAGGUCGUAAUUUGAAGAAUUUUACACAGCCCACGGCACUUAUUUUUCCCAACUCUAAAUACUGAAGUCAUGGACGGAAUUCUAGAGGUUGUUACAUUGUGCUUUCACUUCUACACAUAUUUAUAACAUCAUUAAGAGAUCCAAAGAAUACUACAUUUAUUGAUUCGUCAACAUUGCUCUUGUAAUCUGGAAACCAAGUUUUGGAAAACAACAACAAUUAAAUAAUCCAAAACACCAGGCUUCCUUAAUUCAUUGAGGAAUGGGCGCUCUCGUUGGGGAUUGAGAAAAGUGGACUUCAAGCGCAGGAAAAGCACCAGAAUAGGAGAUUCUUGGAAAUUCCACUUGGAAGAGGCAAUCAAUUUAAAAUUAGGAGGCUGGAAGAAGAAGAUAGCAGAUCUUGUGGGCUACAGAAGGUAGAAUAGGAAGUCUAGUGGAAUGGCUAGACAGUAUCUACGACAGUAGAUCGUGAGACUGGAAGAUGGACAAUGGGUCUUAGAGAUUGUAAAAAUAACAACUGCUAGAACUGGAGGGACUUGCUAGUUUGGAAUCAUACUACAAACCUGAUUGACUAUAGUAGAGGUAACUGUUUUGCUCCAGGAGUUUUUCCCCACAUUGGGUUUCUCCGUCAACAAAUUGUGCGUAGCUUAUUUUUUUCCAUAUCAUUACAAUUGCGGCAUUCAAACUUAGGAAAAAUGGACUUGUGUGUUUAAUCAUCUAGAAAACUAAUUAAAAGUGACUUGUUAUUUUAAUCAGUAUAAUUUCACAUGUAAGGUCGAAAUAAUAAAUUGUCUAGAACGUAAACUUGGUAAUUCUAAAAUUUGAAGUUGUUUCUAGACCCGAACUCACAAGUAGUCAAGAGCGUUCUAGACGGUCCUUCAAUUUUGAUUUUAAAUUUCUUGAAAACAUUUCCCUCCUUUCCAAAUCCAUGAAUUACAAGUGUUUAUCAACAAAUUAAAGGCUGUCAAAAUUGAAAUUUUGGAAACUUUCCAAGUGGGAGCAAUUAUUGCAAAAGUUCCGGGGACUUGGAAAGGAUAUCGAAAGAAGAUCAUGCAUUAUUUCGAAGAUUACACUUUGGAACAAUUGUAGAAACAUCUUCGCAUCAAAGAGAGGUUUAAGAUACAAGAAUGACAAGUCUUAUGAAGGCACUUCAAAGGCCAAUGCCGUGGAAAAGACCGAGCCUUCUAAAUCUAACAAAGGAAAGCUUCAAGGAACUUUAACAAGUCCAAGAAGAAGACCAAAGGUGGUUGUUUUGUGUGUGAAAAACCUGGGCAUUAUUGAAAUGAAUGUCGACACUGGAAAUGAAACGACGCUGAAGGAAAGGUAAACUCCAUCAAAGAAGACAAUAUUGUGACCAACGUAAUCGAGAUCAACGCUAUCAAGGGAAAGGUUCCCGAUUAGUGGUAUGAUACAUGUACAAUCGUACAUGUAUCAUAUGACAUUAUUUGAAACAUAUAAUGAAGUUGAUGGAGGUCAAGAGAUUCAAAUGGAUAAUGAAGUCCCCUCUAAGGUUGUUGGGAAAGGAAAUGUAGAAAUUAUCUUCACUUCCGUCAAGACCAUUACUUUGACAAAUGUUCUACAUGUUCUUGACAUGAAUAUGAACUUAAUCUUUUAGGAAAAUCAGGCAUCAAAUGUGUUUAUGAGUCCGGUAAACUUGAAUCAUUGCUAAACGAAAAAUUUGUUCGUAAAUGCGAUUCCUGUGAAGGAAUGGUCAAACUCUAUACCGUUGAUAAAUUAAAUAAUAAUAAAGUUGAUUUUGCUUAUAUUGUUGAUUGUUUUACUUUGUGGCUUGCUAGGUUAUGACACAUGGAUAAAAGUACUAUGAAAAGAAUGUUGAAAUCUUAUUUGAUUUCAUACAAUGAAAAUGAGUUAUUUAAAUGUAAAAUAUGUGUUAAAUCUAAAAUGACUAGAGAGCCAUAUCAAAGUGUAAAAAGAACUUCUAACAUUUUAGAAUUAAUUCAUAUGGAUAUAUGUGAAUUAAAUGGCAUGUUAACUAGAUAUGGAAAUAGGUAUUUCAUUACCUUUAUAUAUGAUUUCUCUAAGUAAAUAAAUAUGUAUUUGAUAAAGCACAAACAUGAGGUAUUUGAUAUGUUUAAGGUAUAUAAAAGUGAAGUUGAAAAUCACCUUAGUAAAAAAAUAAAAAUACUAAGAAUUGAUAGAGGUGGCGAGUACAUCUCUAGCGAUUUUAACUUGUUUUGUGAACAAUAUGGUAUUAUUCACCAAUAUUAUGUACCUAGGACACCUGAACAAAAUGGCUUGGCUGAAAGAAAAAUAGAACUAUGGUGAAAUGAUAAACGUCAUGUUAACUUAUGCUAAGUUUCCAUUUAAUUUGUGGGUGAAGCUUUAUUGAGUGCAUGUAGGAUUAAUAGGAUUCCUUAAAAAUUUACAAAGGUUUCACCUUACGAAUAUGAAAAAGAAAGGAAACGAAACAUUGGAUAAUUCAAAGUGUGGGGGUGUCUUGCUUAUUGCAAGAACAUGAACCCUAAUAAGACUAUAUUGGGUUCAAGAGGCAUUAAAUAUUCUUUUAAUACAUAUGCUAGUAAUAGCAAGUCAUACAGAUUGUUAAACUUGAAGACCAAUGUGAUAAUUGAAUCUAGUGACAGAGUUUUUUGAGAAUUCAUUAUCUUCGGAUAAUGAAUUAAGGGAAAGUCAUAAAGAAAUUCAAAACUCUAGUAGAACACAAGAUGAAACAUCUUCUAAAGAUGUUAGUGAAUCUAGUAAAUCUUGAAUGAGCAAAAGAACUCGAAUUGAGAAGUCUCUAAGACCGGAUGAAAUUGGCUCUCAACAUAUUUUCUGUUACAUAGUAGAUAGAAGAAAGACGAAUGUUGUAAGAACGAUUCCUUUUAUUCUACAAGUGAAAAUCAACCCUAGGACUUAUAGAGAGGCUAUAGCUUCUCGUGAUAGCAUCUUUUGGAAAAGAAGUAACUAAAGAUGAGAUAGACUCAAUUAUGUCCAAUAAUAAAUGGGAGCUUAUCGAUUGACGACCAAAUCCAAACUUAUUGGUUGUAAAUGGGUAUUUAGGAGAAAAUAUAAUGUUGAUGGUUAUCUGAAUACCUUUAAGGUUAGACUAGUAGCUAAAGUUUAUCGACAAAUGGAAGAAAUAAAUUAUUUGUAACUUAUGCACGAGUAGCUAGACUAACAUCAAUUAUGAUAUUAUUUGCAUUGACUUCAAUAUAUGAAUUGCAUAUUCAUUAAAUGAUGUCAAGAUGGCAUUCUUAAAUGGGGAUCUCAAUAAGGAGGUUUGGGUUUGCACUAUUCGGAUAUGAGCAUAAGGUAUGCAAGUUAGUGAAAUUGUUAUACGGUUUAAAGCAGGCACCUAAAAUGGCAUGAGCAAUUUAACUUAGCUAUAGUAUCAUUUUAUUUUAAAUACAAUAGCGAAAACAAAUGGUUUAUAUUCGAAAGAAUGUGAUAAUUAUUUGAUAUUUAUAUGCUUAUAUGUUGAUGACACGUUGAUUAUAAGUAAUCACAUGAAUGGAACAGAAGGAACGAAGAGGUUUCUAUUUUUCACAUUUAAAAAUAAGGAUCUUACAUAGGUGGAUACCAUAUUGGGUAUCAAAGUCACUAAGACUAGUAGGGGUUACAAUCUAAGCCAAUCACAUUAUAUCGAGAAUGUGAUAAACAAGUUUAAACAUUUGAAUGUAAAAGAAUAUAAUAUCCCAAUUGAUCCAAGUUCAAAGCUUGUAAAGAAUUAUGAAAGGGCAAUUACUCAAUUGGAAUAUAUGAGUGCUAUUGGAAGUCUUAAGUAUGCUAUAGCACCCCGAAAAAAAAUGUGUGUGUGUGUGUGUGUAAUAGAAAAAAAUAUAUUAUUUGUUUUAUUAUAUAUAUAUUUUAAAAAGUUGGGGACUAAAAUGGAAUAAGUUUUUAAUUUCUAUUUUAGUUAGGCUAAAUAAUUAGAUAAUGAUGGAAUAAGUUUUGGUAUAUCAAUAUUGGACUCAUUUUGUAGGUUGUAAUUAAUUAGAAGUUUUCGACUCAAAAUAAAGUUAUUAUGGAUAAGAAUGCAUUAAGUUUGAACCAAUUGAAAGAAAACAGGAUAGAUAGAAUUUUAUAUAAGUGAUAAUUAAAUUCAAUUUCUCUCCCUAGAAACGUGUGAGGUGGGUAUUAAAUUUUUAAUCAUUUUUUCAGUUUAAUAUUAACCCAUUUUGAAUUUGAUAGAAUGGCUGCCACGUCUAUAUUGGAUAAGGAUAGUAGUUCUUUUAGGUGGAGUAAAACAAUGAUAAAGUACAAUCUUUUUUAUGAUACACGCAACAUUGGAUUUGACUCUAUCAAAUAAAUUUUUUAUAUAUCAAUUACUCUAGCCUACACUUAUAUAUAGGCAUGAUGGAAGAGUUUUACAUACCCAAAUUCAAAUAUACAUUUACUAGAGAGAGAGAGAGAGAGAGAGAAUAGUGUUGGAAAUCUAAUACUUUGCGUACGUCAUUGUCAAUCAGUACACUUUCAUCGGAGUAGAGAAGUUGAGAAAAGAAUUAGGACACGAGCAAUUAUAUUUCAUUUUAUUUAACAAGGUAAGAUACUUUUAAAAGUAUUUUCAUUUCCUUAUGUUUCUAUAUUCAAUUAAAUAUACAUGGAUUGUCAGUGGACCUUCAGGUUCUAUAAAAAGAGAGAAAAAAUCCUACGGGAUUAUAAGAGGACCUAAGAUGGAUGUAUUGUUUGGUCACCGAUAUACUCCAUAAGAGCAGAGUGGUAUGAAGUAUAGAUUUUAUUUGUUAUAUAAUUGUGUGUAAAAACUGCACAUAUCUUACUGAGUAUUUUUGAAUGCUCACUCGUACAAAAUUUUACAUGUUAGCUCGGGUUGUUUGGAACUGUGACGAAUUGGUGAUGCGGACUGCCAACGGGAUCCAAAGAAAAAGGAAAAUAAAUAUUUAGUUUUUCUUUUUAUGUCUCUAAAUUAUUUGUCAAUUUUAUUUGUUCAAAAACUCGUUUUUGUUUAUUUUAAAUUAAUAUUUAUGGUUGAAAAUAAAGAAUUUCUUUUAUUUGAGUCGUUCCGCAAUUAUUAAAAAGAAAAUUAAGUUUUUCGUAACACUCCAACUUUUAUGAAAAAAUUUGGGGCGUUACAUAUGCAGUUCAAUACAUGAGACCAGACAUAGCCCAGCCUUUGCAAUUAGUAAACUUAGUAGAUUUACUUGUAUUCCGAGCAAUGAUCAUUGAAAGGUCACUGGAAGGGUUCUUGAAUAUCUAAAGAAAACUAAGAAUUUAAGCCUACAAUAUACUAAAUUUUCGACUGUAUUGGAAGGAUUUACCGAUGCUAGUUGAAUAUUUAGCAUAGGUUCAUGUUGGGUGUUACUCUUGGAGGAGGUGCUAUUUCUUGGAAAUAAACAAAAAAAAAAAAGAAAAAAAGGCACAUACAUGUAUAACACACUCAACUAUGGAAUCUAAAUUUGUAGCACUAUAAAAAAAUCGAGAAAGAAGCCGAGUGGCUUAAGAAUCAUCUUUAUAAGAUACCUUUAGGACUGAAGAAUAAAUCAUCAAUACCUAUCAUGUGUGAUAGUCAAGUCACUUUAGCAAAAGCAGAUAAUGAAGCAUACAAUGAAAAGUCUAGACAUAUGAGUUUUCGACAUGACUAUAUAAGGAAAUUAAUCAAUGAUGGAAUAAUUUAAUUUUCCUAAAUCAUGUAAAGUCAAUCGAGAACUUAAUGGAUCCUUUAACUAAACAUCUAAAUAGAGAUUUAAUAGCAUCUACUUCGAGUAUGAUGGGGUCGAAACUCCUCAACUAAAAGGUCUACCAAUGACAGCAACCUUACUUGUCGUCACUCAAAAGGUAAUCUACAAGUUCAAAGGGUAACAAUAAGUCAUUCGAUAUGUGGAUGGUUUUAGGAUUAUUAAAAUCAGCAAUAACCAUAUCCUAAUAAGUAAUGCUAGUUGUUAUCGUAGUGAGGGUUGAGCUAUAAGCUCUUAAUGAAGUUCAAUACUAAAUACAAGUAUCCUUAAAAGUAACAAAGAUACUGGAACAAUUUCACCUAGAUAAACUUCGAGAUGGUGCUGUCUAAAUAAAGAGUUGGAGUUUCUCUCUUAAAAGUUUGUUGAAAAUGAUAAGCGCAAGGCCAUAUUAGCACUAAGGGAGUUUGAGGAAAUCGAGAACACAUGAUACUUGUGUAGGUGUUCUCACCGGUAUUGUCACAUGAAAUAAAUGGUUCAAACGUUCAUGUUACCUUUGAUUCCAACUUUACUCUGUAAAAAAUACACUAUGUUUAUAUUCAAAUCGAAAGAUAUUUAAUCAUUAUGCAUAAGUAUUGUAUACUUUGAUUAUGAAAUUUUAUUGAAUAUUGAACAAAUGGGGAAUUAUUGUAAUGUCGUUCAACCUUAAUAAAAUAUAAGUGUGGAAUGAAAAUAGGAAUUGAUGGUCGGAAGUUUGGCCUACCCGACCGCACAGGCCAGAUGCCCAUGUGGUUGCAUGGUGUCAUGCAGGGACUAAACGACCUACAUGACCUUGCUCUAUGUGAUAGUGUAGGUUUGUUAUAUGUGGUAUACGGUUACAUAGAACAAAUAUGUUAUUGUUGAUGACCAUUUUUGACCAUUUUGAUUUAAAUUUUUGGAGGCUUUUCACCACAUUUUGGCACCAUUUCGUGUGGACUGAUCCAUGCCUAUAAAUAGGUGAGUAUGUUCAACACAUAAACAAUUGAAAAACAUUUAUGACCUAUACAUCACUCACAAACAAAGAUCAAAACUAUAUUCUAUUCAAUAUUCAAAGUUCCUCCCUUGUGUUCUUCAAGUUUUGGGAGAUUUCACUUGUGUUUGAUGAUAAUCUUUUUCAAGGCUUGUUAAAAUUCUGCAAACCAUUUGUCAAGAUCCCUCAAACCAUUUUACUCAAUCUAAGAGGACGCAAAUAUCGUUUGAGGACAACGAUAUCGUAUUUGAGCCUUCAUCUUGAUAUCUUGAUCCCAGAGGUCAACGUUUUAGAUAACAAAAAUAUCCAAAAGCUUAAAAUUAAUACAUUUUAAAAAAGAUAACAAAUUCGAAAAAUAUAGACAACCCUUGAGAAUACCAAAUAUUAUAAAGACACUAUCUCUCUCUCUCUCUCUCUCUCUCUCUAUAUAUAUAUAUAUAUAUAUAUAGUACCAAGUAAUGUGGCACACUACAAUAGAUGAUAAAAAAUAAUGGUUAAUUUUAAGAUUAAUUACGCCACCUAUUUUAGUGUACCACCCAAGCACGUAUGUCAUUCCAAGAUGUUUAAAAAAUCAAGGCCAUUGAUUAUUUUAAAUGUUGUUAAAAUCAAUGGCAAAUAUGUGUAACAUGUCAUGAAGUGUAAACAAAGCUGUCAAUCAUGAUGUAAUGUAUGAAAACUGAUUUUGAAAUUCUUAUUACAUAGAUUUAAACUAUAUUUUCCUUUAUUAAUUCUUAAUUAUACUUUUUCACACUUUUAACUGAGAUGAGAUAAAUAGUUUUAGUUAAAAGAAAUAUCAUGAUAAAUUGUCAUAAUAUCUUAAAAUUUUGAAAAAUACGAUUUAUUUUUCAAAAAAAUUAUAUGUUUUGCCGAAAUGAUUGACAAAUAUUUAACAAAUCACCAUAAACACUUGUUAUAGAAUAAUUGAAUAAUGCAGAUUAAAAAUAGUUUGAAUAAUUUAAAUUUCUUGAUUUAGUAGUAUUUUCUCUAAUUUCAUGAUUUAUUAAUUGGUAUAUUAUUAAUUUGGUGGGAGUUGGUGGGGGUGGGGUAGGAGUAGGUGGGGAUAAUUAAUUCUAAUUAAUUGUAUAUUAUAUAUAUUAUUUACAAUUAAUUGGAAUUACACUUGAAUUUUGAAAUAAUUUGACAAGUUUGCUAAUUUUAAAAUGUGAUUCUUAUAUGUCGGAGUUAUAUAUUAUUCUCCUAUAAAUACCCAUCAAACGAACUUGUCAAUUCACCAUUGAAGUGGGAAGCAUUUCUUCGAUUUACUAUCCAAAUUUUGAAAGUGAAAUACGGAAAUGGAUAACCAAAUCCAUGCAUCUGCUACUCCAUCUUCCACCAAAAAUAUGAGAUUCAGGAUACUCAUCGUUCUAUCACGUAUCAUCCUACCAUUUGGGGAGAUUAUUUCCUUGUGUAUACUUCUAAUGUAAAUCAGCUUGACCUUUUGUUCUGUUGGGAAUUUACUUAAACAUGCAUAGCAGAAAUAAAACAAUUUCAAUUCACACCAGGAUUCAUCUUUGUAUUUAGAUAAGAAUUGUGAUGAGAAUUAUAACUUUUCUUGAAUUUGCGAACUCCUUUGCAUUAUCUUUGUUCCAGCAACUUGGAUCUACUUUCCACAGCCGUCCAAUUGUCUAGCCUCUAAUGAAAAUCCACACAAAAAAUAGAUUGCAACUGCUGGGGUUUUUUUCUCUUGUGCCAGCAAGAAUUAUGAAAAACUAUAUGGAUCUAAAAUCCUAGCCAUGUAUUUAUAAGCCCAAACGGGCACGGACCGAUCUGAUCCAAUAUUUAAUUAAUCCAUUUAAUUAAAUCCGAUCCGUGAAUUAAUUAAUCAAAUUAAUUAAUUCAAGGCUAUAAAUAACCAAUCCAAUUAAUUAAUUUAUCCAACGAUUGUUAAAUUAAUUAAUUGGCAAUUUACAAUCUUCCAAUUCUCUUUUGUGUGCAACCCAUUAGGUUCCCGACCACAAUGUCUAACGACGUGAAAUAUUAUUUUGAUCUAAUAAAAAUGAUAAAUUAAACACCCUUAUAAUUUAUGACAAAUUCACACUCGCCGUCCCAGAUUAACAUCUAGCAAUGUAUCAGGGCAACACAUGUUGCCUAACGACGUGAAAUAUUAUUUUGAUCUAAUAAAAAUGAUAAAUUAAACACCCUUUUAAUUUAUCACAAAUUCACACUCGCCGUCCCAGAUUGACAUCUAGCAAUGUAUCAGGGCAACACAUGUGACUGGAAAUAUCACGUGGUAUGACAAAAUCAAAACUGUUCGUUUACCAUGAAACUAUAAUCCAUUCGUCAAUAUGAUCCGAUCAAUUACGAGAUAUAGAAGUCUGUCAAUCUCGAUUAUCGAUCAUAUCUUUCAUUCUACUAUUAAGUCAAUAUGAGUCGAAAACUCCUUUUCGACUUAUGUGUAUACCUUGGCCAAGGAUUUCAUUAUUGACUUAAUUGAACGAAAUGCAGAUCACAAUCUCUUUCUAUCUAAAAGUCACGAAUCCUCUAUUGGUUAUUCACAACCUUCAUAUGGUUCUUGACAUACCCAAACGAUAUCGUAUUAGUGGUAGUGGUCCUUGGUAGAGCAACAUCCAACACCGUCAAAGCAUGAUUGUCCUCAUACAAGGCACUAUGAUGACUUCAAGUCAUAGGACCAAUCCCACUACCGAACGUUAGAGAUUAACCACUGACACUCAGAUAGUUAUCUAUGUGGAAUCUCUUAGCAGGUCUCCAAUAUUUUGCUCUACAAUAAAACAUCCACGUGUUCAUUUAAGUGUAACCACACUUUAGCUUGUGAGAUCAGCUACUUACUUCACAAGUAGGAAAUGUCACACGUGAUGGUCUAUCUGUAAUAACGAUAUCCAUAUCUCAUUACUACUUACGACCACGGAUUAUUCAAGAUCUAAUUAAACGUAAUUUGUAUCUCACAAUCACAACUCCUUGUGAUUAACAAAUCACUUAAACUUGAAUCUUCGUACUCUAUUAUUUAAUAUAAUUUAUCAAAAAAUUAAUUUAAAUAAAUAAUAGAUCUUGCCAAAAUUAAAUACAUUAAACAUAUUAAACGUGUUUACAACCUAAAUCGGUUGAAUCUAGGGCAUAACACUCACAUGUUCUUCGUUAAUUAACUGAAAUAUAAUUGUGUUAAAAAGUUAAAUGGAUGCUUCCACUUACUUGAGCAGGAUAUAUUGGCCCACGAAGAGCAAGAACGUCAAAGAUUAAAAGAUGAAGUGAAAAUGUUGCUAACAGCUGCUCCAGAUGGUUCGGUGUAUAAACUAGAUCUCAUCGAUGCAAUCCAACAUCUUGGAGUUGGUUACCAUUUUGAAAUAGAAAUUGAAAAAUCUUUAAAAUACAUCUAUGAAACUUAUCGUGAAAGUCACAAUAAACAAAACAAUGAUCUUCGUGCUAUUGCUCUUCGAUUUCGGUUAUUUAGACAACAAGGAUAUUAUGUCUCAUGUGGUAAGUAAUUUUUGUUUACGUGAUUCAUAACAUUUUGGGAAAUUGAAUUGACAAUAACAUAUGUAUGCACAUGUAAUAAAAGAUUGUAAUAUGCUUAUUUUCUUAUGCUUCUAAGCAAGUCAAAUAUACUUUAUACAAGUUAGUUAUGAUUUUUAAAGCUACUUUUUUACUUACAAAAUUAACUUUUCUUUAACAUGACCAAACAUGAAUAUGGUACAUUUAAUGAUUUUUCGGGCUGAGGCAGAUGUGUUCAACAAAUUCAAGGACAGCCAAGGAGAAUUUGAGGAUUCUUUGAUUCGCGAUGUACCAGGGAUGUUAAGCUUGUACGAGGCUGCACACUUUGGAGUACACGGGGAGGAAAUUUUAGAAGAAGCAUUGAAGUUUUCUACCUCUCACCUCGGAUCCAUGAUCCACCAGGUGAGCAAUUGUCUCUCCAGACAAGU